rnacentral:lncRNA from 1 species
AUGGCCCCACACCUAAGUCCUUUCACAAGGACAUCUGUCGUGACAAAACCACGACAAUAACCCUACCGGCGAGCUGCCUGGCGGUAGGAAAAAGGGUCAUAUCUCGAAAAAAAUUGAACACGGGUCGGAUCCGGCUAAAGAUACCCAAAAGGGUCAAAAACACGAAAUUUCCUCCCUCCUUGAGAAGUUAACUGAAACUCAAUGUAUCAUGGUUCUGAUGACCAUGUUGAUGGCGUGGCUGGCAAUCCCAAUUGAGGCCUCUCGUAGUUGCAAGCCAUUUAACCUUGCUUAUGGCACUACAACAUCACCCCGAGGCUGAAUGGAUCAAAGGUAAAUAUGUUGUUGAUUAUUUUGGUGAACCUGCGUGCAAAAUGAAGCCUACACCGCAUGUGGAAUGGUGGCAUCCGCCGAUAUCCGGACGUGCAAAGCUCAAUGUGGAUGGGUCGUUUAUGGCCACCGACGGAAGGACAGGGGCGGGCAUGCUUCUUUGGAAUGAUAAUGGGACUAUGAUCCUCGUUGAUAUCAUAGGACUUGGUAAUUGUGCUGAUGUGCUAGAAAGUUUCUUGGCGGCAAUCCAUGAAGGUAUUACGUUGGCCCUCAGCUGGACUGAGUUGGAUCUUAUGGUGGAGACCGACAACAUUGAUGAUGUGCAUUUGAUUUCUUCUAUUGGACAAGAUCGCUCGACGCACAUCCAUAGAGUUAUGGAGCUAUUGUUGGUGUCUCAAGAAAGGAUGAUUUAAUUAGUUAAGAUCAAGCGCAAUAUGAACUCAACUAGCCACACUCUCGCUCAAAUGGGAUGAGCUCAACAGCGAACUGCUUGUUGGUUGCAAAACCCCCGUGGCGAGAUUGUGAGCAUCAUUGCCGCCGAUUUUAACUACAUUACUUGAUGAAUGAAUUUAUUUCCCUGCAAAAAAUCUGCAAAGAUUAUUGUAGGAUUUAGUAGAAAAUGUGUCUUUAUCUCACUGACUCAAGUAUUCAACCGAGUAGAUGGUUGGUAUAUGACUAGGAGUACGACGUUUGUCACUUUUUUGUUGGUACAAGGAUUUGUGAUGAACACGAACCCUUAAAAAUACUAACGAAGUGGCAGAUGGGAUAUCAUAGAAAUAAGAAACAACUUAGACGUGGAAAAGAGAGAUAUUCAAUUGCUAGCUCUUCAAUAUCCAGUUGCGUCUAUGUCCGUGUGUGUUAUCUUAUCAAGGUAUUUGUUCCAAGAUCUUCCUAGUAGGUGAUAGACUUUGGUCGGACAUAUGGUUGGACCAGCCAAUAUCAACAUAUGAGUGAAAUUUGUUCUUGAAGGAGUUACCUUGGUGUGUUGCACGUUUGUCUGCUGAUACAUUGUUUGUCAGUAUGCUUGUAGGAUUUGAGGGUACCGCAACUAUAUUUGUCCUUUCUUUCUUUAAGAUGACUUAUUUGCAUUAUCCAUAAUUAAUAAUAUAGAAGUGUUUUUUCCUUAAGCGGUGGCUAGGGUCACACCUACUCUCCAAGCAACGUCGGAGCCCGUGGAUUCGCCUCUCUUUUACCUACUGCUCUAGCGGGGCAUAGUGGGAGGAGAAUCCCUAACUCUCGCUAGUAGUUUAGGUUAGGUUUUAGUCCUCCCAGGGAUGACGUUUGGGGGGGGGGGGGGAGGGGGAUGACGAUGCUUCUUCUUCGAGUUGGUCUUUCAGGCUCCGAUCCUAGGAAUUUGAUGGAGCUUCGGCAUAGAUUUAUGUUAUCCCUUUGGAGAAGUGAGACUAGGGUUUCUCAUUGCCCAUGUAACAAGAUCCGGCGUCAUGCACUUCGGACCGAUUUAAGGGUUCAACAAUGAUAACUGCGGCUCCAAGGCGUUAAGCCUUAUGGGCAUGUGCACGAAAACAUUCCGAUUGUCAACGACAAGGUCAAGCUGACUGUGAUAGAGUAGUAGUAAUAGGGACACGUCGGUUGCUCAUCCUUGCGACAAUGGUGGUCAUUCGGUGGUGUGGGGAUCUCAAUAUAAAUUUUAUCAUGUUUGGGUGCUUUGUACAACUUUUGUAAUAGAUUUAGAUGCUCCUUUUUCGAUGAUUUUUUUUAUCAAUAAUGCAUGAGUAGUGCAUCAAUUGAUAAUGAGAGGUUUAUCCUCAUUGUCAGAAAAUAUAUAUUUAAAUGCUAUUUUUCCCCUGAGGAGCUCGAUGGGCUGACCCGGUAAAAAUAAUGGAAUAUUGUUAGGUUGUAGCUUGACCCGUCAUUUCUGCCGUAGAAAGAGAAAAGAAAAGGCAAAACAAGAGGGAAUCGAAGGACGGCAAUGGAGCACCCAUUGACUUCCAGUAUCAUCAUGCGGCCUCAUCAUGCCGCUGCGGUGUACGUCCCCUCCCGAGAGCACGUCGCGCCUGCACACCGGCCGGCCUGGACCUGUCAAUCGGGACGGCUCAUGGCCGGCAGCGCAUUCCAUCGGUAAUUGUAGCGACAGCGGUAGCGUCUGACAUGACCUCCACGCCUGAGGUUUGAGACACCAAUUUGGCAAAAGUUGCCUUCAUCUUUUACCCGGUCUAUCUGUGCCUGUACUGCCCGGCCCCAUCAUGCAUCAUUCCUCGUCCAGGAUUAGUCAGCAUCUACAAUUCACAUGAGCCACCUUAUCCGAUGGUUUCAGGUUGGUCUUAUGACAUCUCCAAUGCUGACCUUGUUCGAACCGGACGGUUGACAUGUGUUUUGUCAUCUAACGCGAUAGCAUGUCUGUCCAUAAAUUGCUCCUAAUGUCCAUUUUCUCGCAACCAAGAAGCAGAUCGAAGAGGGGGAGGGGGGAGGAAGCGUCCGGAUCACUGUCACGCACGUGUACAAUUAUUUGGACCCACCCAAAAUCCUCUUUGCAUUUUCUCUCAAACACAUGCAUUGCUUCCCAAACCGUAUUUAUGUCGGCCUAAAGCCACGACGUGAUCGGAUGGGAAAACGAUAAUGACCGUUGUGACUAGACGGAAGUUGUUGUCUCGAUGCUAAAUCCUCAUCUUGAGAAUCAUCUCCGGCUCAUGCGCCGCAUUGAAGCGGGAUGACCGUCCAUUCGCCUAGCUGGACUAUUUAAGCACCGCGCCGGCGUUGUCCAUGUCCACAUCUUCAUCCACUCCGUCGUUCCCCUCCUCCUACAUACAACGACGAUGGGCAAGUCUUGGGCCUUGGCGUCGGCAGGGGCCCCGGCUUUGGAUCGUGGCGCUACCACCCUCGCUCUCCGGGGCCGUCUUGCUUCACAUCGGCCGGCUCCUCUUGAUACACCCUGGAUGCAUAUGCCAACUUUGUAUACUUCUUCUUACACCAUGGGUACAUAGGCUUCUCAUGGGUUUUCAUUGCAACAUGAUAUUUUUAAAUAAUCGUGCACGCUCUAUGUUUUUCUUAGUAUCCUUGAAUAUCCGACUCAUUUAAUCAUCCACUUCCGAUGUGUCAUCAUCCUCCAUCGGUGCUUCAUUAUCAUUUGAUGUAUGAAGAGACCCCUACAUGAACUCAUCAGUUGCAGUAAUCAUAUCAACAUCAUGUUUAAUUUUCAUAAAAUUUCCCUUCCAUCACCGGUAGUGCACUUAUCCGUUCACCUUAUUUACUCCAACAUUCACAUCCCAUCACGAGUCACUCUUGAUCAAAUGUGUCUAGAUCUCAAUAGUGCGUUUGGUACUUCGCAAAUUAUGAUACAUGAAACAUUUGCAACAUAUACAUUUCACGUUUGUCUCUUCUAUCUCGAUCAGCUGACAACUACUCCAUGAACUCAUUGCUCAAACGGUUCUAUGCAUACAUUAAAGCUCGAUCCAUCUAUCCAACACAACAAAAUUACCGCAUUGAUAACCUACCAUUACAAUAAAUUGUAUGUGCAUAUUAACUUCGUCUUAUGAAAAUAUUUGUGUUCUGCCCAACUUUGUAGUCAUAUUUAUUAGCAUCUACAUCGACUCACCUAAACGCCAAUAUGCAUCGUACAUAGAAAUAGAGGGAGUAUGCACCUUUGAUUCAACUACAGAGGGAUAAUAGCACCCCCCCCCCUAAAAAUGUCGCCCAACAACAACUCUCCACUUCAAAUUGGUUGCAUGCAGCACUCGAUCACUCAAAAUGGUGCCAUAUGACAUCCCUCCACUUCACUUCGGUGACCGGUGGUAGGAAUCCCUCCUAAAAUGGUGCCUGACAAUAGCCUUACAUCCCGAAUCACUGACCAGCGAUGAAAACAAUCACCCCCCUCAAAACGGUGACCGACAGAAGCCCUGAACCUUAGAUUGAUGCCAAGCGAUAGUUGUCAUCCAACUAAACAGGGCCUCGAGUGAAUGAACACUCUCAACCGAAAUCAGGGUUUGUGACUGGUAACAAAUAAGUGAAGGCGAUUGCCAAAUGGCCAUCACCGUGUUUUCACGCAACUGGUUUCAGUUUAUAACCACGUGCAAUAAUCAAGUAUUACAUGCAGUUUCUCAACUACAUGCGGUUAGUCACGGGAAAAGUUGUCAGAAUUAUGACUCAAGUUUUAGAAUCCUACAAUCUUACGAUCCAAACUAGGCUCUCUGAUUCUACAAUUUUGCUCAUAGAAUCUAAGUUUCUACGAUCAUGAUAGUUAUGAUUCUAUGAUUCACGGUCCUAGCAAUGGAGCUCCGAUCCGAUUCAGAAUCGCGAUUCUGACAACUUUGGUCACGGGAACAACCUCCAUUGUUUAGCGUUAGAGGCAGUUUUAUCUCUCUUUGUUGAAACGCUUCUCAAGCCUGCUGUUAAUGCUCGUUUUCUACUAAUGAAAUCUCCUUCCAAGGGAAUCAUUUAGUUUAUGUGUCGAAGUUAACUCUUUAGGACGCCAAGUUAGACGCUUUCACUUAGGAGUUGAAUGUCUUGCCCCACAAGUUAGUCCAUGUGCGUCUGAUUUAAAACUCGGACGUUAGCCACGUGUCAUGAUGUUGUUAGUCUGCGUGUAAUGUUCCUACCAUCCCAGUGGGUUUUAACAAUGGGUGGUUAGCUACUCCAUCAGAAAUGUCAUAAGCGUUGGUUCAACAACCUUUCCUCCCACAGGAGGUGAGAAAAAUCUUAAGUGAUACGAAAGUCUAGAACAUAAGAACAUAAGUUAUUGAGCAUCAAAGGAGCACUUGAUCAAAGCCUAACUUCACUUAUUACUCUUGGGGACUGUGCAUACUCUUUAUGGCUAGAUGUUUUUUCAAGAGCGUCCAGCACGUGGAUCUGAUGAAGAACGAGUACGUAUCGAUCAAGAUAUUAUCACAAGAUCUACCAAGAGUGAUUGGGUGAGUUCCAAGCAACUUAGCUCAAGGAGAAUAGGACGAGGACUUUUGUGUCCUAAGAGUUGUGGCUCAAUUUGUCCAACCCAUAUGUAGAACUAUGCGAGUAGUUUGUACCGGGUUAAUAUAGCGUUGUGUGUUCAUCGAGCAACAUGCUCUUCUUCUUCACAUUGCUUGUACAUUAUGUAAUCUUCUUAUAUUUAGAAGAACAUCCCCUUUCCCCUUACUUGUGAUUGUUGCAAGGACACUCUCGAGUAAUUUCAUUAUUUUUCUGCCUAGCUCAAUGCUUAGUUUUGUACUAUGUUUUGUUGUAUUGGACUAUAUGUAUAUGUUUAUUAAAAAAAUUCAUCUGUACUGCUACUUAGUUAUUCUUCUAUCUAGCAUGCUUAUGUAUUUAGCUUAUUAAUCUGACUCACUUGCUUCUCAGUUGUUGACUUCUCAAGUUCAAUUACUUUUCAUUUUAGUGCUUAUAUGAUUAUGUUUACUAUGUUGUUCUUUGAAGAAUUUUCUCAAAUGUCCCAUCCACCCUCUUUUAGUCGAUAGCUUGAUCCUACACUUAUGUGGUACCGUGGGUUAAUAAAAAACACUAUAUAAAAGUUAAUAUUCAUGUUUUUUGGUAGUUGCAUCUUUUCUUUUUUGCCAGCAAGUCUACAAAAUCAUUUUGUCGCCAUAGUUUACAUAUGAGUAUUACAUUAGAAAACAUUUGUCCCAAAAGAACUUAGAGAAUAUUUGAUUUUUUACUAUAGUUUAAAUUAUUUUUGCUAAAUUGGGAGCUCAUAGACCCACGUUCCAAAUUGCAUGCAUGAUGUAGUACCUCGUAGUAAAAUUCCUUUGAAUUAUAUAGAGGACCUACUGUUACACAUAGCUCCAUUGAAGCAAUCUUAUGGACUUUACUUUUCUUAAAAGGAAAAUCUGCUUAAUGGGGAGUCAUCCAAAAAAUAUUUUAUAACAUGUGUUAGCAUGUUUUGUUUGUUUCGUGUGAUAUGCAAAAGAAAAUACAAAAUAAAAGAAAAUAUAAAAACGGUAAAACAAAUGUAGUUGGAUGUUGAGGGGGGCGUGGAGUUGUCUGCCGCUAGGUAAUUGCAUGUCAACUGGAAAUACAAUUGGUCGUCCUUGGGGAAAUUGUGUGUCAAGAGUGGACACGAAACGUAUCACCGCUGGGGUUGUUGCAUGUCAAGAGUGAAUGUGGAGAAACAGAGACAUUUACCCUAGGGGUCAUCUCACAAUACAAUUCUCGUGUCGUGGGAGAGUAAAACCAAAAAUUUAAAUAAAUAAAAACCCCGCCAGUAGGCCCUCCCAAGCGGCACACGUGCACGCGCACACAUGCAUGCGCACGCGCAUACUCCAUCUUCGCCUCCCCUCCCCCGACGUGUACAUUGUGGUCGUGAUGCGCCCCUUGCAGUUACAUGUUGAUGGCAUACAUGCAAUUGACUGUCGCUGGAGGCAGUCAUAUGUUAGAGGUUGGACAUGCAACUGGUAUCACCGAGAGAGCUGCAUUUCAAAGGAUGGACAUCCGACUAAAUAUCGGGGCACUUAUGUGUAAAGAGUGGAUAUGGAGCAAGACAAAAAGAAUAUUCCUCCCUCUAUUGUGUAAGUUGCGACCGCGUUGUGUCCCGUGCAAUUGUGUGCUAAUGGGGUACAUGCAACUGUCCGUUGUCAGGGUCAGUUGCAUGUUAAGGGAGGACAUGACACUAGAAAUGGCCAUCGCUAAGGGUCGUUGCAUUGUCGAGGGCGAAAAUUUGUAGUUGGCUCGUGGUAUAUAUGCAUGCCCACUCCCAUGGAAAAACACCAUCGAGUUGUAGUCACAUUGAAGACAUGUAGUUAAUGUAGAGGCGACACAUGCACAUGCAUGCCUAGUGGCCCACAUGCAAGUAUAACCACCUAAUAAAACACCAAAUUACAGCCGAAGGCGACACUUGCAAUUACAUGACUAGUGGUAGACAUACAAUUGCCCUUUCCCUAGACAAAAAAUCACUAAAAUUUGUAGUUGGGUUCGACAGUUGCAGUUGGAGGCCUCGUGACACACAUCCAAGUGUCCCUCCUUCACAAAACAUCAUUUGCAGUUGUGCCGACACUUAUAGUUUCAUGCCUAGUGUCAAACAUGCAACCACCCAUCCCAACAGAACACCACAAAUUUGCAAUCGGGUGCAAUACUUACAAUUGUGUGCCUAGUCACGGGCAUGUAGUUGCUCCCCUUCCCCCAACAAAACACCAUCAAUUGGCAAUUGUGUGGAAGAUAUGUAGUUGCAGGCGGGGCGUUGCUUGCGGUUUAUGCCUAUUGGGAAACACGAAACUACCCACACUCCCCUGACAAAGCACCUCAGAGUUGCAAUCGUGCCCAACACUUGCAAUUGCAUGUCUAAUGACAUACAUACAAAUUUCCCUCUUGACAAAACACCAUAAAAUUGCAGUUGCAUUGAAGGCAUACAUGCAACGAACCCUCCCUCCCUUCCGCCCUAGUUGCAUUUGGGUGCGACAUUUGAUGUCGCGCCUAGUCGCAGAACUACAACUAUCCCCCUCCCUUCCGUCCCCCCUAUGAAACAUUAUAGAAUUACAACUUUGUUGCAGACAUGUAGUUGUAGUUGGGACAUGACACUUUUUGUUGUUUGCCAAGUGGUAUACAUGCAACCGCCUCUUCCCAAACGUACUACCACUAACUUGCAGUCGCGUUUAAGACAUGCAGUUGUUGUCAGGGCGAUUGUGUAACUAGACAACACUAUUUUCAAAUUAAAAUAAAAUAAAAUUUGUUUAAUAAAGAAAUAAAAAAAGAAAUAGUCGUUCCAUUAGUAAGAAAAUGGUUUGAAAAGGGCACAAAAAGUAAAAAAAAAUGGAAAUAAAAUGUCACAAAAAUGGACACACACACACACACACACACACACAAAGCAUUAAAAGAGCACUUGGAAAUAAAAAGAAUAGUAAAAAAGUAGAUAAAACACCAUCAAGUUAUAGCUACAUGAAAGACAUAGAGUUGCGGUCGAGGAUGACACUUGCAGUUACGCGCCUAGUGGCACACACGCAACUACCCUUCUGCCUCAACAUAGCAUUACAAAAUUGCAGUCGGACAUGACACUCGCAUUUGCAUGUACAAUGUUUGACAUGCAACUGUCCCUCCUCUGCCCCUCAAAACACUACAGAGUUGUAGUUGCGUUGAAAACGCAGUUGCACUCAGGGACAACACUUAUAGUUGCAUACCUAAUCAGGACAUGCAACGGAACACCACAUGGUUGCAAUCGACGGAAAACACUUAUAGUUAUUUGCCUAGUGGCAUACAUUCACAUACACCCUCCCUCCCUUCCGCCCUAGUUGCAUUUGGGUGCGACAUUUGAUGUCGCGCCUAGUCGCAGAACUGCAACUACCCCCCUCCCUCACGUCCCCCCUAUGAAACAUUGUAGAAUUACAACUCUGUUGCAGACAUGUAGUUGUAGUUGGGACAUGACACUUUUUGUUCUUUGCCAAGUGGUAUACAUGCAAUCGCCUCUUCCCAAACGUACUAUCACUAACUUGCAGUCGUGUUUAAGACAUGCAGUUGUUGUCAGGGCGAUUGUGUAACUAGACAACACUAUUUUCAAAUUAAAAUAAAAUAAAAUUUGUUUAAUAAAGAAAUAAAAAAAGAAAUAGUCGUUCCAUUAGUAAGAAAAUGGUUUGAAAAGAGCAUGAAAAGUAAAAAAAUGGAAAUACAAUGUCACAAAAAUGGACACACACACACACACACAAAGCAUUAAAAGAGCACUUAGAAGGAAAUAAAAAGAAUAGUAAAAAAGUAGAUAAAACACCAUCAAGUUAUAGCUACAUGGAAGACAUAGAGUUGCGGUCGAGGAUGACACUUGCAGUUACGCGCCUAGUGGCACACACACAACUACCCUUCUGCCUCAACAUAGCAUUACAAAAUUGCAGUCGGACAUGACACUCGCAUUUGCAUGUAUAAUGUUUGACAUGCAACUGUCCCUCCUCUGCCCAUCAAAACACCACAGAGUUGUAGUUGCGUUGAAAACACAGUUACACACUCAGGGACAACACUUAUAGUUGCAUACCUAAUCAGGACAUGCAACGGAACACCACAUGGUUGCAAUCGACGGAAUACACUUAUAGUUAUGUGCCUAGUGGCAUACAUUCACAUACACCCUCCAUGUCAAAUACACCAUAGGUUUGUAGUGGUGUAAUAGACAUGCAACUACAAUUGAGACAUGACACAUGCAAUCAUGUGUCUAGUAGUAGACAUGCAACAUCGUCAUGUACCGGGUUUUCAAAAUUGCGCAAAGACAAGUACCUGCAAUGGGGCAUGUGUGCAACUAUAGUUGCACAUGAGUUAUAUUAAAAAAUGUUUGUGUAAUAAAAAAUUACAUUAAAAAUAUAUGUGUUUUAAUUUAAUGAUUUUAAAACUAUUCACACCCUAUAUAGAAACAUAUAAUUUCAAAUUCAUAAUCAGUUUAACAAACAUCACUUAGAAAAUGAACAUGAGAAGAAAAAAGGAAUACAAAUGUAACCUAAAAAUGAAAUAAAAUGGGAAAAGAGAAAGAAAAAACUAAAAUUCCUGAAAAAAAAACUAGAGAAAUAAAAGAAAUGCAAUGUUGAUAUACAUUUAAAGAAAAACUGAAAAGGCCGCAACAACCGGAUCGGUGACUGGUUAAACCCACAACAACAAAAUGCAGAAAAUAAUACUUCCUUCAUAAACUAAUAUAAAAGUAUUUAAAACACUACUUUAAUAAUCUAAAAGCUUUUAAUUAGUUUACAGAGGGAAUACAAAACUGUGAGGCCCAAUGACUAGCUAAAGCCCAUACAACAAACAAAAACAACACCGAACAAAUAAAAAAGCCCAAGCUCAUGCAACCUGAACGCUUAAACCCUUCAUAAAAGGGAGUAACUUGUUGGCUAGCGUUUUUCUUGGGAGCCUUCAGCGAUCAAUCCGGGGCGCCGUCACUUGAUGCAUUUUCCACCGUCGUCAUAUGUCACGUUUUGAGCGUUUCUUUCAGAUUCUAUUUUUUAUUUUAUUAUUUCGCAGGCGUUUUUGGCUUUGUCGGUGUUUCUGUUUUUUACCGGUCUUUCUUAGCUUUUGAACAAAAAAAAUCAACUUUUUUACGUAAAAGAAGUCCUCUUCUAUCUUGCCUGUCGAAAACGGAAAAAGGAGACAUGUGUUUUCUUUUUUUCUUUCAUAAGAGAUACGGUUUUGCUUUUGUAAAAGGCACGGAUUUAGUUUCGCGAGAGGCACGGCCGUGUUUUUCAGAAACGGAAAAACGUGUGUUUUUCAUGAAAGACACGGUUUUGCUUCCUCAAGAGGCAAGGAUUUGCUUUCGCGGGAGGUAACGCGUUUUUUAUUUUUGUUUUCGUUCACGAGAAGCACGCUUUUCUUCCGCGAGAGGCACGAAUUUGCUUUCGUUUGUGCCUCUCAGAAAUAAAAAAAACGUGUUUUCUGUUUAUUUUGCUUUUGCAAGAGGCACAUAUUUGAUUCCGCGAGAGGCACGGUUUUGCUUCUGUGAAAGGGACAUAUUUACUUCCGCUAGAGGUAUGAUCGUGCUUCUCAGAAAUGAGAAAAAAUAAGUUUUUUUCUUAUGUGAGCGGCACGUUUUUUCGUCUGGUUUUUUUCGUGAACUUUUUUUCGUCAAAACCUAUCAACAUUGAAUCUAGUUUUGAAGAUCUAGAUCUCGACGCAAUGAAUCCACUAGUAAAAUGGUUCGAGAUUUGGAUGCACGUUUUAAGUGAUAAAACAUUUGAAAAUAACGGAUCUACGAAAAAAGAAAAUCUCGCAGAUUUUUUUAACACGGUACAGAUGCAAGCGCUCAUAUACACGCGCAUGCACUCACUCCUAUGAACGUAGACACGCACACCCUAUCCCUAUGAUCACCUUCGAGAGACUGGCCUGGUAUUUCAUCUUGAGAUUUAGGAAGUCGCCGUAGGCGCCUCAUCGCCGAGGGGAACGUCUCCUUCCACUGAAAGAAUAUCGCCAGAAAUACUGAAAUAAAUUUAGAAAUAAUGCAAGCACCACGACUUGAAUCCUAGUGAGCUGGGAAUACCACUGUCCUCUAACCAUUCAACCACAGCUUGGCUUGCAAAAGAUUUCACAUGUUACGACAAGUAACAGACAUACAUAACGCCAUUUGUCACAACCUAUAAAAGAUGGAAGUAAUUUUUAAAAGAAAUAGUCUUUAAUUAAUGGUUUUGUUCCUAAACGCGACUUAACAGUAAUGUUAUAAAAUCGAUUGAGACUUGCAAAAUCUCAAUCGACUGAGAGGAUUAGCCACGCCGUGAAAGUUAUUGAGUUAAACAAUAGCCAUUAAAGAAGGGCCCUUAAUAAAAGGGAAUUGUUUCUGGCCGGUGCGCCGGCCCAAUGCGGCUCGCGCGCUGAGCGCUGACUGGGCAUGCAACAUUUUUAUGUCUAAAAUGUUGCAACCAGCGUCAUAUUUGCUACAAUCGUUUUUAUUUGCUACAUUUGUUCAGUAAAAAAACUGCAUAUACAUUUGGCUGCAACUCCAGUUCGUCGGAUUUUUCGUUACAAUCGAUGUUUUUUACUUUUGCUACAACCGUGUUAAUUUUUGCUACAACCGGCAUCAUUUUUUGCUACAACCGUUCACUAAAAAGUUGCAUACACGUUCACGUAGAUAUUUGUUACAACCGGCGUUUGACUUGUUACCACGCAACAUCAGCUUCGUUUUUUUGUUACGAUCACGUAGAUGUUUUUGUUUACUAUAUUUUUUGUUUUUUGUUACAACUGUUAAAAAAAUUACUGCAUCGUGUCGGAUUUUUGCUGCAUCGAAAACAAAUGUUGCAUGUAGAUCCAACGGUGCGGACGCGCGGGAUUGAUGAAUCGUACGGUCCGCGCGCGACCGUUUCGGCGUGCGCGCCAGCGCAUAGGGCUGCCCUUAAUAGAAGGACAACAGGACACAAAUUCGAAAGAUUGUCCCGGUGUUGCUUUGAUCCUCCUCCAAAGUAAAAUGGACGAACGAGGCAUCCAUCACCGAGUGCCAUCCACUUGAUCUCCAUCCAACGGUGCAGGCACGCCAAAUCCUUCACUACCAGACAGUUGGACGCCGGUUCAUAGCCACCCCCGCCUGGCCAUCCAGAUAAGGCGCCACGGCCACUUGCCGCCCAAAGCCUCUGCCUGCCAUCAAUGGAGAUCACCGCCUCAUGGCGCUUCCUCCCCGUCGCGUCCUCGCUGCCACCCGCUCUGCUCCUAGCCAGGCGGCAGGCGUCGUGCCCCUGGUCUCUUCAACAGCCGGCGAUCUCCAAGUCCAGGAUCCUCUGCCGUCUCCAUGACAAGGUUUCAAUUAACCACAUCUUCACGCAUGUGUAAUUGCGAGUUGCGGCAUCUGAUCCAUCUUCUUUCUUGCUUGCGUAGCCUUUCCCUANNNNNNNNNNNNNNNNNNNNNNNNNNNNNNNNNNUUUCCCUACCGCCCAGAGCUCGCAGCUGCAGAAGCUGGCCUCCGUGUUGCAGUGCGGCGCCAUCUGGGCAGCGGUAUGGACACCAUUAAGAUUCGUGUGGCAGUUCACAUUCAUGGAUAUCAAUCAAAUUCGUCUGUGCUUUGUGUCCAUAUGUGCAGGUGCAAGCCCCGGCUGCUCUGGCGACGGUGAGCGGGGAGGAGGACAUCGACAUCCUGGGGAUCCUGCCGCCGGUGGCCGCGAUCGCCUUCUUCUACCUCUUCGUUGCUCCCGUACGUGAGCCUAGCUACUUGUUCUGAGUUCUGACCCGAUUUGGGGAAUGGGUGGUUAACUGAUUGUGUUCCGGCGGUGUGGCGUGCCUGCAGCCGAUUAUCAUGAACUGGAUGAGGCUGAGGUGGUUCAAGCGCAAGUUCAUCGAGACGUAUCUGCAGUUCAUGUUCACGUACCUCUUCUUCCCCGGGUGAGUCACUGCCUUUCAACAGCUAGCUGCUGCCUACAGACAAACAAACAUGUUCAAAUUUUAUCGUAGGUCUCUCGAAAUAUUCGUAGGUGAACGGCCAAAUAUCAGUAGAUAGUUAUGUACUCUUCUUCUAGUCUGAAUAGUAUCAUCACUUCAUCAGCUGAAUUCAGUAUCCAUAUCCCACCUGCAGUUUGAUGCUCUGGGCACCGUUUGUCAACUUCAGAAAGUUCCCAAGGGAUAAAACCAUGAAGUACCCUUGGUCCAAACCGAAGGAAGGCACCCCUCUGUUCAAGGACAGAUACCCACAAAUAGACUCAUUCAAAGAGAAGUACUUCUAGGGAAGCACUGUAUAUAUGUAACAAAUACAGAUAUGGGUCAUCAGAAGCGACGUUUUCUUUUACAGAUCAACAUGCCUCUGUAACACAUAAUAUUUUCACAUGUUCUACUUGGAUGACCGUAGGAUCAAAGUAAUCGACCAGACAGGGUUGAAUGAGAGAUUUCAUCAAAUUCUUCAAAAACAAUUACUUCUUCGUAGAACAAGAAUAAGGGCUCCUUUGAUUCAGAGGGUUUCGUAGCAACUUAGAAGGAUUAGCAUCUUAAUAAUUUUUCUAUGUCGGUUGCUUGAUUCAUAGGAUUUAGGUCCAUAGUAAUUUUUCCUAAGAAUUCCUUGUACUGAGAAUCAUAGGAUUUCUACCACCCAUUCAAACUUCGUUAAAAGAAUCUUUUGUUUCUCCUAUGAUGCAAUCAAGCAAAUCCUAUAUUUUUCCUAUUCUCAUUUUCUUUAAUCCUACGAAUCAAAGAGGCCCUAAAACAAAACUACUAACCAACCGUGAUGAAGACUACUAGCAUGGUAGAUAGCUAAACAUAGAAGAAUGCAAAGCAAAACGACUAUAGGUUAAGUAAACAAGAGCAAGCUAGAGAAAUGAAAACUACGCAACAGACCAAAUAAACAUAACAAGAAAGAAGAUGGUAAUUCUUCUGCAGCUACAAAAACUAAACAUAAAUAAACAACGCAAUCAAAUUACUCGGAAAGUCUUCGUUCUUCGAAACAGGACAAUGUACUGAAUGUGAAGUGUCCGAGGAGCUACGAUACCUCUUGUUUAUCCAAGUUCAGUCUGUUCUCAUAGUUCUACGUUUUGGUUGGAGGGGCCUAGCCACCGCUCAAAAGACACACAAGUCUUCAACUUGUUCUCAUUGAGCUAAGUUUAUCGAAAAUCGCUCAAUCACUCGUGGUAGAUCUUGCACUGGUGUCUGGACCGGUACAAAACUAUUGUAGAACUCGCUACCAGUGGCGGGCAGGGUGACCGCCAUUGAUAACCUAUCACUGACAAUCAAUCACAAUUGGUGGACCUGCAGUUACACCCGCCACUUCUAUUAUAAAAUAGGGUUUUCUAUUUUUGUGCCCCUCGUUGCUUAGUCCUCCUCAGUUUUGCCCAAGCCAACUUCAAACAUUGCCAAUUUUUCAAAAUUGUUGUAUUUCAAACAGGUUGUACUGCAAGUUUAGUAUUUUUCCCACAAACUAGUUCACACAAGAUGGCACCAUGCAAAAGAAUUUCAUUUUUCAAGCCAUUUUUCAUUUUCUUUUAUUUUUUUCAAAAUGGGGUCAAACUUGAUGUGUUGACCAUUGAUACAAAAAGGUUUGGAACUCCUACUUUCUUUAACCCAUGUUCAUUCACUACCAAUAUUAGAGCAUACAAUAUUUUGUUGCAAUUUUCACGACCAAACUACAUGACACUUGUAGUUCAAAUUUAGGCAUAUUUUGAUAAUUCACAAAAAGUUAACUAAAUAGAUGCAAUAUAGCGAUGGUACUAUGAAAUUAAUGAAACUUGGUUAGUGGUCAUCCAAUGUGACCUACUUUUGGUGAAAAAUGAAAUAGAACAAAUUUCAAAACUAUUUGAGGAUCUUCAUUCAAAAAAAAAGUCAUUUCUUGGACUUGGAAAAUGGAAAAUUUCUUUUUAUUACUUAAUAACUAAAGAUUCCUAUGAAACAUUGUCCACAAUGGUAACACAAGUAGUUGUGCCAAUUUUGGACAAAUAAUCUUGUAUUAUGCCAUGUAUGUGGCCAUUUCCAUGUGCAUGUGCCUUGAAACCACACAAGUUCAUAUUAGAUAGGCCAUUUCACGAAGGUUUUUUUUCAAACAUGUUCUACUGUAAGUUUAGUAUUUUUCCCACAAUCGAGUGCGCACAAGUUGGCUCCAUGCAAAAUAAUUUCAUUUUUAGCCUUUUUUCGUUUUCUUGUUAUUAUUUUUCAAAAUGGGGUGAGACUUGAAGUGUUGACCAUUGAUACAAAAAGGUUUUGGGAUUCCUACUUUCUUUGUCCCAUGUUCAUUCACCACCAACAUUAGAGCAUAAAAUAUAUUUUUUGCAAUUUUCAAGACCAAACUACGGGGCAGUUCUUUUGGUAACUUUUUUGGGCUUUCAGAAUAAGCUACCCCUACCCAGCUUAUUCUAGAAGCCCAACUAAAAAUAUUUUUGUAGAAGCCUACUAGUUAAGUCUUAGUCACUAGACUUCUAAAAUAAUAAAUUUGGUUGGGCUUCUACAAUAAGUUGGGUAGGGGACAUCAUAUUUCAGCUUAUUCUAAAACCUCUCAAAAGAACUCGCCCUACAUGACAUUUGUAGUUCAAAUUUGGGCAUCUUCUAAUAAUUCAUAAAAAGUCAACUAAAUAAUUAGAAUAUAGCAAUGGUACUCUAAAAUUAUUGAAAAAUAGUCAGUGGUCAUCCAAUGUGACCUACUUUUGGUGAAAACUGAAAUAGAACAAAUUUCAAAAUUAUACGAGGCACUUCCUUCACAAAAAAGUCAUUUCUAGGAUUUGGAAAAUGGAAAAUUUGUUUUUCAUUACCAAAUAAUUGCAUCCUAUGUAAACAAUGUCCACAAUGGUAACACAAUGGUUGUGCCAAUUUCGGAUAAAUAAUCAUGGAUUAUGCCAUGUAUGUGGCCAUUUCCAUGUGCGUAUUCCUUGGAAUCCACACAAGUUCAUACUAUAUAGGCCAUUUCGUGAAGUUGUUUUUCAAACAUGUUGUAUUGUAAGUUUAGUAUUUUUCCCAAUAUCUAGUGCACACAAGAUGGCUCCAUGCAAAAGAAUUUUAUUUUUUGAGCCUUUUUUUCAUUUUUCAUUUUUUUUAAAUGGGGUCAAACUUAAAGUGUUGACCAUUGAUACAAAAAGAUCGGAAUUCCAACUUUCUUUGUCAUAGGUUCAUUCACGGCCAAGAUUAGAGCAUAAAAUAAUUUUUUGCAAUUUUCAGGACCAGACUACAUGGCACUUGUAGUUCAAAUUUGGGCAUAUUUUGAAAAUUCGUAAAAAGUCAACUAAAUAGAUGGAAUAUAGCAAUGGUACUAUGAAAUCACUGAAACUUGGUCACUGGUCAUCCAAUGUGACUUAUUUUUAAUGAAAAUGAGAAGGAACAAAUUUGAAAACUAUUUGAGGAACUUCCUUCACAAAAAAGUCGUUUCUAGGACUUGAAAAAUGAAAAAGUUGCUUUUUAUUACAAAAUAAUUGCAAAUUCCUAUGAAAACACUGUCCACAAUGGUAACACAAGUAGUUGUGCCCAAUUUGGAAAAACAAACAUGGAUUAUGCCAUGUAUUUGGACAUUUCCAUGACCAUAACGGGGGUCAAACUUGAAGUGCUACCCUGUUUUUUGUUUGAAAUUUGUUACUUUGCUACUCCCAAGUUCAUCCACCAAACCAAUAUACUGAGGACUAAACUAAUUUGGUUGACUCAAGUGUAUCCACCAAACCAAUAUAUUUAGUACCAAAUGGUUUGAACAAAGGAAAAACAAUUCACACCCUAGAUGGUGUAAUACAAAGAGGUCUUGAAAGGUGGGUCCAUCCUUCGCUUCCUUUUGUAAAUAAAAACAUGUGGAAUGUUUCAAAAGACGUACAUAGAUUUAGUCCGUUGGCACUUGUGCCUCUCUUUGAGAGUAUGGUCACCGUUUCGAGUGCUAUGCCUUGCUUAAUAAGCCCCCUCUUUUUUCGCCAAAUAUGCCACAAACCACCAUCAAGGCGCUGACAGAAGGGUCCGCCUUUGGUAUAGAUGUCCUAUGCGUGAGUGACACCGCCAACCGCCUACGAGUGUGCCCCGCUGAGAGGGGUGUCCCACAAUGUUAGUAACUACACCCACCACCGACUAUCACACGACCGCUGCCAAGGGUGUCCCAUGCGUCAGUGGUACCGUUGUCGGUGUCAAAACCGACAAAUCUCGAGCAAGGGGUCCGAACUAUGGAUCUUGGAUCGAUGGGUACCACGAGACAAAGGAGAUGGUGUUUACCCAGGUUCGGGCCCUCUUGAUGGACGUAAAACCCUACGUCCUGCUCUUGUUUAUAUUGAUUGUGAAGUAUCAAGUACAGAGAUGAUCUAUUUCAAGAUCGAAUGUUGUGGUCUAAACCCGACGAGUAAUGAGCUUAAUCUGUCCUAUAACCUAAAACCAUUUGGUUUAUAUACGCAUCGGGAGUACUAGGGUUACAGAACAUCGGUUAAAAUGAGGAAGGAAACACACACAAGAUCGUGGGGUGUGCGCCAAGUCUUCGGAAGAGUUCGUCUUGAAUACAACAUCACUUUAUUUAUCCACAGUCCAAUAAUGAUAAUAGGACGGCCCAAGAAUCCGGCCCAUAGAAAGAACUAGACGGCCGGAGGACCCCUUAGUCAUGGACUCCCUCAGUAGCCUUCAAACUGCCCUCCAACGCCGCAGUCUUGAUCCAUCAUCUUCACGCAUUCACGUUCAUCGGCUUGCAAGGCGAGUUCUUCUCAUCCCUAUGUUCGGUUGACUCUAGUUCGACUUGCACCACAUUCGUGAUUGUCGAGGCAUCAUGUGGCCCACAAAAUUAACAUUUCUUCUGCAGGGUUAAUCACACCCCUCGAUUCUCGUGCACCAAUAAGAGAUAGGCGGUUCCACAAAAACUUCUCCAUGCAAAAUCGGGAAAUCUACUAUUAUACAAGCCACGCUUGUUUCUAGCAAGACUUCCUGUCUCCUCAACCAUCGAGAAGAAAACCAGAAAGUCAAAGACAUGGUGAGUGCUCCAGGUUCUUCCUCACGCCCUCACGGCCCUCUCCCAAGCGACUCGUCCAGUUAUUUUGUCUCGCGUCUUCAUGUGUGCGAAUUUGAAGUGCAAGGGUAUCUACCCUUCUCAGUUCUAUUGCCUUCCCAUUCCUAAUUAACCUCUGCAAACGGUGUAGCUUUCGCACAGAAAUUCCCUACCCCUCACAAGGAGGAGUGGGUAUUCUUCGUUCCCUUCCUCUAACGAGGUUUAGGCUUCCAUAUUCACCCCCUUUUAAGGGGAUUAUUGCAGUUUGACAUGAUCCAAUUCCACCACCUCACCACUGGGUCCAUUCUUCACAUUUCGGGGUUUGUCGCCCUUUGUGAGAUGUUUAUGGGUUGUUAAUCCCAUUUUGAUCUGUAGAGGAGGAUUUUCUGCCUUGUCCCCUGAACUCAUGCAGUGACUAUUUGUGAAGUAGGCGGAGCCAAAGUAUUGUGCAUAGCAGGAACUGGAUAUCCGGUAGGGACACCGAAGGUAGCCUCCGAAGAGUGGACCUUGCAGUGGUUCUAUAUUGAAGAUGUUCCUCUAUUCAAUCCUGUUCGGAGGGUCCGCCGGAAGUUUCAACCGGUCCUAUUAAGAAGCGGUUGAACUGGCGCCCGAAGAGUUCUUCUCAAGAGGUCAGCUUGGAGGUGAGACACUUGGUUCCCAAGGUAGAAUUAUUGGCCCAUUAUAAGCUCACCAUUAUCGACGAGAUGGUCGUGGCCAUAAACCGAUGUGUUCAACCCCUUCAACGAAGAUCCCAUCCCUUGUGGCAAUAUAAUGGUUCAAGUGAUUCCACUCGGUAUAAAUAGGAGGGUCCAGCCAACCCAACAACAUUGGCAGCUAUAUUAGGCGACCUCUUCAAAGGAGAAAAGGAGUAUAUCCCUAUUUUCCUAAUUCGGAUUUUCUUUUAUAGUGAUUUUAGCUGAUUGAAUCCUUGAAUUGUUUUCAAAAAUGAAUGGAGGCGUUGUGUAGAGAAAGUUAACUUCCUUCCUCCCCAGUCGGAGAACUACACUAAGAACGACGAUCCGGGAUUGCAUGAUGACCCUUAUACGUCGAUCAUUUUUCAUGAUGUGUUCUUCUUUCACACGAGCAUUGACGGGUGUGAGGUUACCCUCAUAGCCGACUACCCUAGGAUACCUCCUUCCUCGACCAGGGGUAAAAAGAAAGCUUCUUCCCGAAAAGAGUGUCUGUCAUUACAGCUGUCACUCCUACCCCGAAAGGUCGUCGCUCCACACGUCGUACACCUGCUAACACAUUAUCUACCGAGCCUGUGCUAAACAAUAGUAGGGCCUCUGAAUGUGGAGUAUCCACAAGGGCUACUUCACUUCUCCCCCUGUCAAGAGGUAAUGAAUUUACAUUCAUGAUCGUAAGCAUUGUUUUCCGAUCAUUGGUAGGUAUUUAUACCUGCUGCCACAAUUCAUUGGAAUCGAACACAACCACCCUAAUCCGAAAACGUCGAGAGGGUUGAAGGAAGUCAUCCCAAGCCAACACAUCCUGCGAUAGCAGGAGGUAAUAUGGAGGUCCCUUCUGCAGACCAACUUCUGGAGGAGCCUGACGAGGUCUCGAUUACUAAUUCCGAAGUUGAGAGCGUGAUGAACCAUCAUCGUCAAAAAGAAUCUCUAAGCAACCCUGAAUUUUCCUAACAUGAGUUUAAUGCCUUGAGUUCAGGGGAUGCACACCUCAGGGUUUCCCGAGCAGUACUUGAGGGAGUCGCCAACCAUAUGUCAACAAGUCUUAAGGUAUGUGUUAGAUUUUGACAAUUGUAUACAAAUCUCAAGCCAGUAGCGCCCAAUCUCUGAUUGGUCGGUACGAUCAAAUUAAGGGUCGAAGCAAUCUUUUUGACAUGUUUUUUCUUACCGUGAGGGAUGAAAAUAAAAAGUUGUCCGAAGACCUUGAAAUGCACCAAACACAACUCGAGGCUGCGAAGGCCGAACUAGAGGAAGUAAAAAAGUUCACAAGGGAAGCACAUGGUAAGAGAUUACUUUCGAAAGUUCAUAGUUGAACUGUUAUCUUCCAUAACGAAAGUGUACUUUAUAGCAGCCGUGUCUAUAGGUGAGUUGCGAAAAGAUUUAGAGACAACCAAAGAAUCGCAAAAAUAUGUCAAAUCGGAGCACGAUGCAAGUUGUCGGUUAUUAUUCUGGAGUAUUGACAAAAAUAAAAAGACUUGAGGCGGAAAACCAAUAACAGACCAGCUAAAUUGAGAGUUUAAAGACUCAACUUGCACACGCUACUUAAGAGAACAAGAGAUUGAAGGGUGGUAUGUUCGGUAAGUAAUACUCCAAACUUGUAGAUCUGUGAAUAUAUGAUAUUAAAUUAACAAAUAUGCCACUUCUCUUUGUAGCUCUCCUAAUUGGGCACCCCGAAGAGGAAUCCAACUCCUUUGGUGGUAACCUUCUAAAGAAAUUGUCCAUAGUACAUGAAGAAGGGAGAAAUGUGAUUAAGAGCUUGCUCAAGGCACUAUGGCCGUGCGAGAAGCCCCCGGAAGGGAUGGCAUAACUAGUUAAUCGUUUCAAAGGGGCUCGACGCUGGUUUGAAUUAUGUAAAACAUGAGCCUGUCAGGAAGGUGCUCGAGAGGCAUGGGCCAUGGUGAAGACUAGGUUCACCAAACAUGACCUCGAGCGAUUGGCUCAAGUUGGGCCGGUAGGGCCAGAUGGUCAGGAGGUACCUCUCCACUUGGUUUACGAUCAAGUGAUGCAUGCUGCACGUCUUUUGCAACAAGAUUGUCAUGUGGAUACGAUAAUAGAUAACCUAGAUCAACGGCCAGAUGUGUGAUUUUAUGUAACUAAGUACUUUAGAUCACUUUGUCAUUCGUCCGAUUUGUAAACGUUGUCUUAACCGGUCAUCACCUUCUACCUCCAUUGAUAAUAAUUAGGGAGUUUUCCAUAUUAUGUAACGUGUGAUAAGAGGAAAACCGUUCGGUGAACCAGCCAUUUCAGACAUAUGGUGCUAAUAAACAGAUCAUGAUCAUGGAGAUAUGUUACAUUACUUUCAUUGUGUAAGAAACAUAUUCCCAAGAAAAUAGUUCCUUUAUGGGUUUGUUUCUUCGGGUUUCUAGCUAAAGUAGAUACGAUAACCAAAUAUCCACCAUACGCGGAUGAUUGUUAUGUUGGGAAAACGAACCUCUAGUGACUACCACCUAAUUAUUUUCACUUCCUUUGUGCCUGAUCAAUUAUGUCAUUAAGAACCCCUAGCUUUUGGUUUCACCUAUCUCAGGUACGUAUCCGGAUAACCCGGUCGUAACAAUCAUAGAGGUACUCCUUUUAUCCUUUAUCCGAACAACUGGGAACGUAAAGGAUAAACACAGGAACCAGGAAAUCCAGCUUGGCCAAAUCUUAAGUCAAAUCAGUGCAUAUAAUGGCUUAAAACAGUAUAGGAAGGAUGAAUACAUCAUAAAAUAGAUGCACAGGUGUAUGUUGAUCAGCUUGUACUUAGAAGCCCCCAGGUGUUACCGGAAAAUACAUUUUCAUGGACAUAAUUCGGUCGAUCUGAACACAGCCUGGGAUAUGAUAAUCAGCCUUAAAAGGGAAAAGGUAUACAUAAGAAAUUGAAAGAGAAAAUAAAACAAAUUGAGUGUGGCUACACGAGUCUAGCUGUAGAAACGCCGAAGACGAGUCGUGUUCCAUGGAUCUGAUUCAAGGUGAUUAUCUGAUGAGUUGCGGAGACGUUACGCUCCUCGUGCAAGCACUUCGUCAAUUGUGAAAGGGCACUCCCAUGUAAGUGCAAGUUUAUUUUUUCUUAUUCUCAGGGAGGUGUGGCACUAGCUCGCCCAUAUUAUAGGUCUUCGCCCAAACUUCCCUGCUCUGGUAGCACUGAGCUUAUUUUUGAUAAAAGUGGAACAUGCUAGAGCUAUAUCGUGUUCUUCUUCCAAUGCGUCCAAGUCGUCCUGCCAAUCUUACUCGACCGCUUUGCCCUCGUACAUGCGCACUCUAGAUGCAUCAUGGAUGAUAACGCUGGGAAGGACUGCUUUUGCCCGUAAACCAUAAAAAUGGCGUAUAACUCGUUGAUCGAUUCGGGGUGGUGCGCAAGCCCCAUAGUACAAAGUCAAGCUCCUCUACCCAAUGGCAAUCGGAUUCUAUGAGAGAUCGGACCAAACUUGGUAUGAUUCUGCUCAUAAUGAUGUCAUUAGCUCGUUCGACCCAUCCAUUGGAUUGUGGAUGGUACACAGAGGCGUAAUCAAGCUUCAUGCCCAAAUUUGCGCACCAGUCCUUCACUUCCCGAGCUGUGAAAUUGGAUCCAUUGUCCAUUAUUAUACUAUAAGGGACACCAUAAUGAUGAACCACACCGGAUAUAAAAUUGAUGACCGGUCCGGACUUGGAAGAAGUUACCGGUUUGGCUUCAAUCCACUUAGUGAAUUUAUCGAUCAUGACCAGUAAAUAUUUAUUUUUCUUGGACCCCCCUUUGAGUGGUGUGGCCAUGUCCAACCCCCACACCGCAAAAGGCCAAGUGAUCGGUAUUGACGGAAAAGCCAUCACGGGCAUGUGGGUUUGAUUUGCAAAAAGUUGACAUCCAACACAAUGUUGGACAAGUGUAUGAGCAUACUCGCGAUUUGUAGGCCAAAAGAAGCCAGCCCGAAAAGCCUUGCUUACCACGGCCCUUGCUGCUGCAUGGUGAGCCCCCAUGCCUGCGUGUAUUUCAGCCAAGAGUUGUUUACCUUCUUCUUCCGAUAUGCACCGCUGGAGGACUCCGGUAGUACUUUUUAUCUAUAGCUCCCCCUCAUGAACCUUGUAGGACUUGGAUCGCCGAACUAUUCGCCUUGCCUCUAUUUGGUCACCGGAGAGCUCCUGAUGAAGAAGAUAGGCUAGGAAAGGCUCGGUCAAUGGCGCAAUUACUACCAUGAUUUUGUGAGACGAAAGUGUUUCCUCUAGUGCUGAUCCAUCAAUGAUUUGUUCAUCUCACUCAAUUGGGGAGUGGUGACUAGUUCCUUUCCCUUGACUCUGGUGUCCUUGUUUUCUUCCUGCCAUACCACGAAAGGCUUGAAGAGACAUUCUAGAAAGGUAUUUUUGGGAACGGGGUCGCGUUUGGCACCCAUAUGAGCAAGAACACUGGAAGCCUCAUUGUUGUCUCUAGAGACAUGGCAGAAUUCGAGGCCUUUGAACCGAGUUGAUAUCUUAAGAACGAUGUUCCUAUAGGCCGCCAUUUUUGGAUUUUUUUUGGCAUCAAAAUCAUCGUUGAUUUGUGAGAUAGCGAGGUAAGAGUCGCCCGUACCUCGAGCCAUUGUACGCCCAUGAAAGUUGCCAUCCACAGACCAUGCAACACAGACUCAUAUUCGGCCGCAUUAUUGGAAUCGCUGUACAUUAUUUGUAACACAUAUCGAACGUUGUGGCCGAUGGGGGAUGUAAGUAUGAAACCAACCCCUAAACCGCAAGCAUCUUGGAGCCAUAAAAAUACAUCAUCCAAUUGAUUUAUGUACAAUACUCUUUAGGAAGUUCGGCGUCUGUCCAUUCGGCUAAAAAAAUUAGCCAACACUUGAGAUUUAAUAGUUCGUCGUGGCCUGUACACGAUUUCAAAAGGUAGGAGCUCAAUAGCCCAUUUGGUUAUGUGGCCUGUGGCAUCCUUGUUAUUGAUUAUAUCAUUCAAGGGUACUAGGGAAGUUGCCAUGAUCGAACACUCUUGAAAGUAGUGUCAGAGCUUGCGAGAUGCGAUAAAACUAUGUAGGCUAUCUUUCGGUAGUGCGAAUAGCGGGAUUUGCAUGGGGUAAGUACCAAGGCAACGUAGUAGACCGGCUUCUAUCCGGAGCUUGUGGCAUGCCGCCUCUCGUUCGACCACGAUGGCUGUGCUAACGACUUGGUUGGUGGCCGAGAUGUAUAAUAGCAUUGGCUCACGUGUAGCAGAUGUUGUCACUAUGGGAUUACUAGCUAAUAGUGUUUUAAUUUAUUCUAGAGUUGUUGUUGCCUCUUCGGUCCACUCGAAGUUUUUUGUUCGUUUGAGCAUUCUGUAGAGCGGUAGUGCCUUUUUGCCGAGGUGAGAGAUGAAGCGGCUUAAAGCCGUCAUGCAGCUCGCUAGUUUUUGCACGUGUUUUCACUCCAUUGGGAUUGCGAGCUGGGAUAGGGCUCAGAUUUUAGUCGGAUUAGCCUCUAUUCCUCUUUGGGAGACGAUAAAACCGAGCAGUUUUACCACGAGAACGCCGAAGACACACUUGUCCGGAUUGAGCCGUAUGUCGUAUUCCUGGAGAUUAUCGAAAGUUUGUCGAAGGUCAUCCGCCAGCCGGCCGACAUGUUUUGUUUUUUUGACCACGUCGUCCAUGUACGCCUCGACUGUCUUGCCGAUUAGUUUUUCUAGGCACAUCUGAAUCAUUGUUGAUGUGUGGCGCCCACUUUCUUAACCUGAAGAGCAUUGUGUUGAAUCGGAAUGGCCCAUAGGGAGUGAUAAAGGUAGUUGCAGCCUCAUCGGAUUCCUUCAUCUUUAUUUGAUUGUAUCUGGAGUAUGCAUCGAGGAAGCAUAAUGAGUCAUGUCCGGUGGUGGCGUCAAUGAUUUGGUCUAUGCGAGGUAAGGUAAAGGGAUCCUUUUGGCGGGCUUUAUUUAAGUCUUUGAACUCGACGCAUAGCCUCCAGGAUUUUUGCUUAUUUGGUACCAUGACCAAAUUUACCACCCACCUGGGGUGUUUGAUAUCUCGGAUGAAUCCAACUUCGAGCAAUUUUGCUAGCUCGGUACCCAUGGCGUGAUGCUUAGGUUCAGAAAAUCAACGUAACAUCUGUUUGAGUGGCUUAAAGACGGCAAUUAUAUUCACGCACUGUUCUGCCAGUCUUCAUGGGAUUCCUGGCAUGUCUCAAGGGUGCCAUGUGAAUAUAUCCCAAAUUUCUCGUAAGAAUGUGUACAAUGCUUCAUCGACCGUAGGGUCUAGCUGUGCUACGAUGGACACUGAUUUAUUGGGGUCUAUUGGAUGCACUUGAAGUUUGACUAUUUCAUCAGUCGGCUUGAAGGAUGUGGACUUGGGACUCUUGGUGAUGAUUACAUCAUCCUUAUCGACCACUGAUCGUACUUCGGUUAGUUCAUGAGUCGCAAGGCUUCAGAAAGUGCCUCGAGGGUGAGCACUGCAGUUUUGUUUUCGGUUCGAAGAGCUCUGUCCGGUUCACUUGUGAGUGUAAUGACGUUGUUGGGCCGAGGCAUUUUGAGCUUCAUGUACCCGUAAUGAGGUAUAGCCUGAAAUCUAGUGAAGGCCUCUCGUCCCAAAGGAGCGUGAUAACCGCUUUUAUGAAAGGUGAGUUCUUCGGUACUAUAGUUUUCGUAGGUGCCGAAUACCACAUCAAGAGAGACUUGACAUGUGCAUCGCGCUUCUCUUCUGUGGAUAAUUCCUCGAAAGGUUGUGUUGCUUUGUUGGAUGCGAGAUCUGUCGAACUGCAUUUUAUCAAAGUAUCCUCAUAGAUGAGGUUUAAGUCGUUCUCGCCAUCCAUUAGUACUUCGGACAGUUUAAAACCGUCUAUAAUGGGGUUGAGUACUAGAGAGUCAGGUGUUCGGUUAGAACUAAUUCCUGGCUGGUCCUCUUCGGUGAAGGUUAUGCGUGUAUUUGUCCAAGAGUUUGUUGCUGCCACCUAGAAUGCACGGUCGAUUUUUCGAAGAGCUCUUUUCCUCUGAUUAUUUGAGUAGAACGUAUCGUAAAUUGUGAGUACAUCAAUGUUGUUGUCUGGCAGUUUGGGUGGACGAUUUUGCAAUGAUUGGGCCCCGAUCAUUGCCUCUCCGCUUUUGGCUACCUGUCUAACAACCUAACAAGUUCGAAGGCUAUGGGUUGAGCCAAUGUUGUGUAACGCGGAGUGUAUAGGGCAUGGGCUGUCUAAUAAUUUAUCAAGGACAAUUUGAGAUCCAUCUGUGGCGUUGUUCUUCUUCCCAAUGGACCCAUGAUCGGCUGACUAUUGUUAGGGCGUGCGCUUCCUCUGAGCUCCUCUGGGUUGUUCCGUGUGGAUUGAUUCCACUUGCAUUUGUGGAGACUACCACGUACUUUCCAUUGCGCAGUAUUUGCAUAUCAAUGUGGAUACCUCGGCGAAGGUGUGUAUGUGGCGAUGGGCAAGGGCAUUUAGGAUUCCCUCGUCAUGGCAGUUAUGCCGGAAUAUUUCCACAAUUUGUUGCCCGCUGCAGUCCGGUAUCUGGUUUACGGUCACGAGGGAUCUAGCCCAAAAGUGUUGGACCAUCUCUUGUGGAUCUUGCGUGAUGAAAUGUAGGUACCGCGUUAGGCUUCUCUGAUGUAUUCCGAGAGCGUUUAAAUUGGGAGGUGGGUGGGGGGAAAUAUGGUGUCCCAACAUGACAUGAAUCCUUGGUCUUAGCGGUUGCAUCUAACACCAUUGUGGAGUCCGGCGCGCUAAGCUCAGGAUCCGGCCUACUGGUCGUAUAUGAUCGUUCAUGGGAGGUUGAGUUCGAGGCAGAGCUCAGAUGCCAAACUAGCGGGUGAAUCCGGAUUACUGGAGACGAGAAUAUAGACGGUUUUAAGCUCCGAUGGGCAAGAAGGCGAACCUUCAGUUGUCUUCUCGAUGGUGGAAAUCAAGUGCGUGAUAGGUGGGCGUGGAUUUCCGUGUCGUCGAGUUUGAUCUCAAUCUGUUCUUAGGCACAUGGUUGGUCGUGGGACACUCCCAUGGCCUGAAUUUUGCCGGGCAACUCAUUUAAUUCUAUGACAUCCGUGACAUCCAUGUUUUCAGACUGCAUGGGGUCAAUCCGUAGCGCAGCUAUUUUCGGUAUAUUUGGAGUCACAUUAGGGUAGCGUUCAUCCAAAGAUGGUCUGAAUAUUUUGUACGGUUCGGGCCUUGGGGCCGGAGCCAGGGCGGAAGCCGUCUCGAGGGCGAGAUCCGCCCCUUCCGAUGUCCAGGCAUCGGGAGCUGAAGGCUUCGUUAGAAUAAGAUCCCCCCCUCCUGGAGUCGGCGACGUACUCGAAGUUCCCAAACCUGAUCUCCUAGUCAAGGGGCAAGGUUUUUGAUCUGUCCUAACAGACCGGCCGAAUGAGCAUCCAACACGACACUAUCGAACGAGAAUAUCUGUCCGGGGACGAAAACAUCCCCGGUACCGAUGUCAUGACUGACGAUUAAACGAGCCAUCAAUCCUUUAGCGAUCCUAGAGUGGAACUCUCAAUGAAAGCACCAAUGUCGGUUUCAAAACCGACAGAUCUUGAGUAGGGUGUCUGAACUGUGGAUCUUGGAUCGAUGGGUAACACGAGACAAAGGAGACGGUGUUAACCCAGGUUCGGCCCUCUUAAUGGAUGCAAAACCCUAUGUCCUUCUAUUGUUAUAUUGAUUGUGGGUACCAAGUAGAUAGUUUAUCUACCUCAAGAUCGAAUCUUGUGGUCUAAACCCCAUGAGUAAUGAGCCUAAUCUGUCUAUGACCUCAAACACUCCAGUUUAUAUAGGCAUCGGGAGUACUAAGGUUACAGAAUGUCGGUUAUAAUCAAGUAGGAAACACGCACAAGGUCGUGGGUGCGCGCCAAGUCUUCGGAAGAGGCUGUCUUGGAUAUAGAAUCACUUUAUUUAUUCGGAGUCCAAUAAUGACAAUUGGAUGGCCCAGUAGUCCGGCCCAUAGAAAGAACUAAAAGGCCCGAGGACCCCUUAGUCCCGGACCCCCUCAACUGUCUACCUUCUACGAGUGUACCCCGCUGAGAGAGGUGUCCCACAAAUUAGUAUAUCCACCCAUCACCGACAACCGUGUUGCCGCUGCCAGGGGUGUCCCACGCAUGAGUGACACCACCAACCACCUACGAGCAUGCCCUGCUGAGAGAGGUGUCCCAUGGGUCAGUAUAUGCGCCCACCACCAACGAUCGUGUUGCCGUUGCAAGGGGUGUCCCGAGCGUGAGUGACCCGCCAACCAUCUUUGAGCAGGCCACACUGAUAGACGUGUCCCACAAGUGAGUACAUGCGCCGAGCACCAAUGAUCGCUCUCCCGCUGCGGGGUGUCCCACAUGUCGAUGACACUGCCAACCACCUAGGAGUGCGCCCCGCUAACAGAGGUGUCCCACAAGUAAGUACAUACGCCCAUCAUCGACGGUCGUGCUCCCGCUGCGAGGAGAGGGGACUCCCACACAUUAGUAACUGCGCCAAGUAGCGGUCAAAGGCUUUGACCCAAUGGCAAAGCCACGUUUGUGCUUUUGUGAGGGUGGGCCACGCAAUGGAGGGGAAAAGUGAGGACUUGCAAAGAUCGUGUACAAAAUCGAGGAGGACUAAGCAACGAGGGGCACAAAAAUACAAAGCCCCUAUAAACACUAGUGGUCGGCGCAUAAGCUGGCCCACCAUUGGUAAGUGUUGUACUCGUAGCGAUUACAUUUCCAUGCCCGUCACUACUAACAAUUUUGUAAAAAAAAAUAGGUGACACCCCUGGUGGUGGCUUCACACUACACAAUCCCACUAACGGGCACACCUCGAGCUUCUCCAUCACAUCGUUCAUGGUGAUGUCACGCCAACCACAUCGACAUACUCUACUUGCAGUAGAGGCCUCGACAAGGCAUGUUAGUUGCUCCCCGUAGCGUCGCGUGCCCUGAUACGUCUCCAACGUAUCUAUAAUUUUUGAUUGUUCCAUGCUAUUAUAUUAUAAUUUUAGGAUACUUUUUGGGAGUUUAUAUAACAAUUAAUAUUAUUUUUUAGCACUAACCUAUUGAACCAGUGCCCAGCGCGAGAUGUUGUUUUCUGCAUGUCUUUGGCUUUUCAGGUUUACAAUACCAAACGAAUUCCCAUUGCCAUGAAGCUUUUGGUGAUUCUUUCUAGACCAAAAGAAGACAUGUAAGCUUCGGGAGUAGGACAGAAGCCUCACAAGGGAAGCACGAGCUAACAGAGCGCGACCAGGGCCUAGGGCGCGUCCAGUUGCCUCAUGCUCCCGUCGGUUGAAUCCUGACGUACCUCUUCAUCCUAUAAAUUCAAAUAUAUCCCAAAAACCAUAGAGAGCAACCCGAAACACUUUUUCCGCCAUCAAAAGUUUCUAUUCUACCAUGUGCCCUAUCGGAAGGGGGUCGGUCAAGAAGGGACUCUACAUCAUCCUUGCUGCUCCCAUGGUGAUAUGUGAGUAGGUCACCACAAACCUACGAGUCCAUAGUUAGUACCUAGAUGGCUCACUCUCUCUCUUGAUCUUCAAUGUAUGAUCUUCUCUUUGAUUUAUCCGAUGUAAUUCUUUUGUGCGGUGCAUUUGUUGGCAUCCGAUGAAUUGUGGGCUUAUGUUCAGAUUAUUCAUGAUGAAUAUCCGAGUCCUCUCUGGAUUCUAAAUAUGAUUCUUAUGUGCAUGAUCAUUAUAGCUUCAUAAAUCUCUUUAAUCUAUUAAUUUGCUUUGGCCAAGUAGACUGAUCUUUCUUGAGUGAGAGGUGCGUUGUAGUGGGUUCAAUGUGACGGAUUUCUAUAUCCCAAUGACAGAAAGGGGACAAGAUACGUCUUUGUAUUGUUUCCGCAAAGAUCAUAAUGAUGGGGUUAGUUCAUAUUAAUUGAAUUCUCUUUGUCUACAUCAUGUCAUCAUUCUCCAAGCAUUACUCUAUUUUACUUAAUACUCUAAUACAUGCUGGAUAGUGAUAUAUGGGUGGAGUAAUAGUAAUAGGUGCAGGCAGGAGUCGGACUAAUUUCUUAUGGACGUGAUGUCUAUAUACAUAUGAUCAUUGUCGUGAAUAUCACAUAACUAUGUGCUUUUCUAUCAAUUGCCCAAUAGUAAUUUGUUUACCCACCGUAUGCUUGCUCUCAUGAGAGAUGCCACUAGGGAAAACUAUGCCCCCCGGGUCUAUUCACUUACAAAUUUACAAAUGUUACUAUUUUCUUGUUUCCUUUAGUUACUUUUUACUUUGCAACUUCCAACCACACUACUUACUUGGUUGCAAAUAACGAUACCAGGGGAUUGACAACCCUCUUGCCCGCGUUGGGUGCAAGUGUUUGUUUCGCUUGUGUGCACUCAUUGAAGAUGGGGGUUGGUUGUUACUCCUAUUAGUUCAAAAAACCUUGGUUCUCUACCGAGGAAAGUACUUACCUAUAUUGUGUUGCAUCACCCGUUCCUCUUCACGAAAAAACCAACACAGAUUACAAGUAUGAGGAAGGAUUUCUGGCGUCGUUGUUGUGGAGUAUCAUCAACCUACUAUCAAGUAACUUCACACAAGUUAUCAUUCGCUUGUUCUUCUUUUUAUUUGUUGUUACAUCUUGCUUGCUUCAUAAAAAUCAAAAAUACAAACAUAUUUAUAUUUGCUAGUUGCUAGUUUAGUUCUUAGCUUGUCGUUAUCGCUAGUUCUUCUUUUCUUCCCUUUACUCCCGAUAAUGAGGUACUCAAUUUUAAACAAAGGGGAAGAGAAAAUUUAAAAAAUGCAUGGUAUAGGAUUUGAAAUUAUCAAAAUAAAUCAAUUCAUAAGAAAUCCUCCAACAUGUUGCUACGUAAUUUCUAUGUUGGUAUUACGAGUUGGUAUAGAUUUGUACUUGAUACAAUUACCGGUGCUAACUUCUUAAUGAGUUACACUUCGGAUGCGUUUAAGGCCAUGGAUAAUUUAGUUGGAACGCCUCCUAUUAUCAUUAACGAAACUAUUUUCACCAUGGAACAUGUGACGGAAAGAGUUGAUGCGAUUAAAAUGAAAACAACUAGUAAUGAACAAAUUGAGGAGUUGGACAAAAAGCUUCACAAUCAUAUCACUCAAUCUGGGUCACGAGUAGGAAUGACUUUUAGAACUUUAAAGGAGAAGGAUACAAUUAUUUAUGAGAGGGUAGAAAAAAGCAAGAAUAUGAUAGAUAAAAUGGAGGAAGUCAUUGAUAAAGUAGGUUCCGCUUUCACUCCAUCAAAAACUAAUUCUACUACCUCUCCAAAUAAAAGUCCCAAGUUCAUAUAUGUUCCUAAGAGCAUUGGUACCCCUCCUACCAAAAGAAAUGAGUAUCUCAAAAUUAUUAGUGUGCAUCCCAACUUUGUAAACUUGAUAAAGGUUCCUAUUCUCAAGCCUCAUAUUGUUCCCAUUAUUCAUAGUUGUGUUAUUGAGGAGCUUGAUGUCAAGGAAGAAAACACUUGAUCAUAUGCAUUAUGCCUAGAUAUGGGCAUAAAAUGACAGAGCUAGUUGGGAGGCAACCCAAUAUUUAUCUUUUUAUUUUUGUUUUUACUUUCUAUUUGUGUGCCAUAACAUGAUUGUUGUCUCUGUAAUAAAUGUGUUUUUGUUUUUAAAAUUGUGUGUUUUUUGAAAUAGUGUUUUUGCCAAGUAAAUCCUUUGGGAUGAUUUGGAUAAUAGUAGAAUUGAUACGAUGCAAAAACAAAAAAUUUAGAGUAUAGUGCAGAAUUUAUAUGAUUUUACUAGAACAUAUUUUUGAUCUAAACUUUUUACACAAUAUUUAUAUACAAAUACCCUACGUCUUCCUAAUGGUCCGAUUUUUUGGAGUUAUAGAAGUAUGGUACUUAACUAUAUCAUUACAGACUGUUCAAUUUUAGACAGAUUUUGUUUUUGCUUACAUAAUUUCCUUGUUUUGAAGAUGCUAUAGAUUAUAUCGGGGGUUAUAAGUCAUGGAGAAGUUUGAAUACAUUAACUUAUGCAAUAAUAAAUUAGUAUUUAAUUUAUAACAGCGCCUAAAGUAUUUGAUAUGUGUAUUAUACUAAAGGAUGUCACAAAGUUUCUAUUGAGCUUUGUGUGCUGAAGUUUUCGAAUUUUUGGAUGUUAUCGCGAUGCACGAAGGAAUAAGGAGUGGAAAGAUCCUAAGCUUGGGGAUGCCCAACACACCCCCAAGGUAAUAUUAUAAGGAAGAUUCAAUCAUCUAAUCUUGGGGAUGCCCCGGAAGGCAUCCCCUCUUUUGUAUCAAUCCAUCAGUAUGUCACUUAGGAGCUACAUUUUUAUUGAUCAUGUGAUCUGAGUUUUGCUUCAUUUUUAUUUUUGUUUUUAGUUUUCCACAAUCAUCAUUCUUUCAAUACACUCACUUGACAGAGACACACGAUCACCAUGAUUUAUUAUAAUACUCUUUGUGCUUCACUUAUAUCUUUUCAGCUUAGAAGUUGCUCUAGUAUUUCCCUUAUAUGUUUUAGAGCACGAUGGCGUAUAGAUUUUAUAGAAAUAAUUGCACUCUCGUUCUUCACUUAUAUUUGUUUCAGAGUUAAUAAACAAUGACGGUAAUUUGCAUGUGUUAUAAGAUUAGUUCAAAAAUAAUUGGUGUUCAAUGAGUGCAUAAUCAAAACCACAUGUAGCACAUAAAAGAGAAAUCAUGGUUAAUGAUAUUAAUGUGGUAAUGUGAAAAAGUAGGAGUGCAUGAUCAUUGGUUAAUUAUAGGUAUCGUGAAUUAGAGGUGUUAACUUGUUGUUCAUCCAUAUAUUUUUAUGGCAUGGUGAUGGUGUGUGAGCAAACUGGUUCCUCCUUGAAAUCCUAGUCUUGUUGAAGUCGGGGGCGGGCGAUGGUUAACUCUUACCAGCCUCCUCCCUAUGGGCAUGCGAGUCGUGCUUUUCUUUGACAGAGAUAAUAAAAUCCUACAAUAACUAUAUGAGUUCUUCAUGAGUAAUGUGAAUCCAUGGAUAUACACACUCUCACCUCCACAUAUUUGCCAGCUGAUACGUCCCAAACAUAUCUAUAGUAUUUUAUGCUCUAGGCUUGUUUUCUACCAUUUGUCCUAUGCUUUUACUAUGGUUUUAUAAUUUAUUGGUACUAACCUAGCAGUAGUUGCAAAAGUGCACAAGUUCUUUUUUUACUUUGAUGUGUAGGAAUUGAUUAUAAAUUGGCUAAAAAAUGCAAAAGAAGCCUUGUUCGAGGAUGACUACUACAAAAAUGUCAAAAGCAAAAAGCUAAAACUACAAAAGUGUGGGGCAAUUAAUCGCAUUAAAUUUGGACUCCAAAUUUGUCCAAAACAAAGUUCAGAUGCUAUCUAUAAACCUAUUUUAUUGGGAGGAAAAUAUCUAAUUACGGGAUUACAAAAAUUGAUGAUGUGAUUGAGUCCAACUCUUACCAUAUUUGAUGUAUUCGGCCAAGCCACGACUUUGGGGACUCAUGGGGUUGUGAGGGUCCCCUAAGAAGGUUUUAUAGGUGCCUAAGAGCCAUUGUAUCAAGGGUAUAUUCAUUGGUGGGCCAUAGAGCACCACGGAUGCACAUAUUAGAAGAGGAAAACCCUAAUUUUGGGGCACCCACCAAAAGCCAUCAAUUUUCCUCAUCGUUGGCAGCCACCAAUAGGGGAGAGGUUCCUCCAUUGCAGCACCAAGACCAAGGAAGAAGGGGGGCCAAGGUGCUGACGUCCAUCGCCGGCGUUGUGGCCGCCACCGCCUCGAUCUCUUCGGGGAUGCGCCUCUCUCUUUAUCACCAUGAUAAGGUGUGAGUAAUGCUCCAUAAGAUUAAGGGUAUGUACAAGUAGCUAUGUGUUUAAUCUCUAUCAUGUUCUUGAGAUGUCAUGAUCUUGAUGUAUCAUGAGUUUUGUUAAUAUAUUUGGAUCAUAUGGUGUUCUUCCCUUCCCAUCUUGUUGUGAUGAAUUUAAUCUUUCCCGUUGAGAUCUUGUUAUGUUGAUUGAAUAUUUUGAAUUUGAGAUCACUUGUUGUUGGAACGCUUUGGGCAAACGGCCUAAGCUAAGCAAAAGUGUUGGCUAAUCUUAAGUGGGAAUAAAAACCGAAGGGGUAUAUAUGAUCUAAUCUACACCGUUGCAUGAAGAUCUAAGGGCUAAAAAACAAACAAAAGGAAAACAGAGAGGGGAGGGAGAGAGUACCGUGACUGGGGCAGUAGCUCGAUGGGGAAGAAGGUGACGUCGCCAGCAAGGGGGGAGAGGGAGCUCCGGGGGCAGUGGGGAUGGGGNNNNNNNNNNNNNNNNNNNNNNNNNNNNNNNNNNNNNNNNNNNNNNNNNNNNNNNNNNNNNNNNNNNNNNNNNNNNNNNNNNNNNNNNNNNNNNNNNNNNNNNNNNNNNNNNNNNNNNNNNNNNNNNNNNNNNNNNNNNNNNNNNNNNNNNNNNNNNNNNNNNNNNNNNNNNNNNNNNNNNNNNNNNNNNNNNNNNNNNNNNNNNNNNNNNNNNNNNNNNNNNNNNNNNNNNNNNNNNNNNNNNNNNNNNNNNNNNNNNNNNNNNNNNNNNNNNNNNNNNNNNNNNNNNNNNNNNNNNNNNNNNNNNNNNNNNNNNNNNNNNNNNNNNNNNNNNNNNNNNNNNNNNNNNNNNNNNNNNNNNNNNNNNNNNNNNNNNNNNNNNNNNNNNNNNNNNNNNNNNNNNNNNNNNNNNNNNNNNNNNNNNNNNNNNNNNNNNNNNNNNNNNNNNNNNNNNNNNNNNNNNNNNNNNNNNNNNNNAAGGCAGGGGUCGGUCGCCCGGUUUAAAAGGGGUUCGGGAUCCCUGGACACGGGGGAUUCGGCCCACGCUAUCUAGCGCCCAGGGGCGGCGGUUAAAGAAAAAAAGACUUUCCUUUUAUUAAACCUUUUCUGAAACAGAAAUAUAAAAGCUAAUAAAGGGAAAUAAAUCAAAAUAUCUAUAUAUGGUAUUAUAUAUCAAAAAAAUCAGAAAAGGAAUCUCUACCCGAAUAACAUUUUUUUUAAAGCCGAAAUAAAAACUUUUAAAAAAUGUUUUUUUUUCAGAAAUUCCCAAUUUGCUUUAUUUCUUUUUGCAAUUAUUUUGCAAAAGAACUUUGGGUUUUCUUGGCUCAAAUAUUUCAAAAAAUUUGCCCGCACUUUGGAGGGUCAUUUUCCUCCGCUCUCUCUCUUGCGUGCAAGAGAGUUUUCUCCGGGCAUUUCUCGUGCGGGGAAAAAUGAAAAUGCAAAUCGAAAAUACGAAAGAAAUUUCACAAGCUAAGUUUAUUUUACUCAAUAUGCAUAGAUGCUUAGCUACAAUGUAAAACAUUCCCAAUUAGGAAAAUCGGGAUGUUACAUCAUGCCUCUUAUUUAUGAUGAUUAUAUUGAGGAAAGUGGGUUUGUAAUAGUUUCAAUUCUAGGUACUAAUGAUCCCACUAUUUUGGAGGGUGUUGAAUCUUAUUGUAAUAAUGAUGAAAGUGGAUUUGGAGAAGACAUGACUUCAUUUAGUUAUGAAUCCACUAUUUUUGAAGAGGUUUCAAUUGACUAUGAAAACAACGUUGCUAUCUAUGAUGGUUAUUGUGAUGACAUGUAUGCUAUGAAGACUAAUAAAAGCAGUGAAACUUGUUAUCAUGACUUUAAUUUUCAAUUGGGUUAUGACACUCAAGUAUCACAUGAUAGUUAUUUUCUUGAGUUUGCUCUCACUAUUAUGAAUGAGAAGAAAUUUUCUUAUGGGGAAAUUAAUAAAAUUUCUAUGCUUGUGCAUCAUGAAAAUAAUGCUUUAUGCGAUAGUUAUUGUGUUGAGUUCCUUCAUGACGCUAGUGAGAAUUAUUAUGAGAUAGGAACAUAUGCUUUUAGCCAUUGCAGGAAUCACUAGUAGAAAAUGGGCCAUUUUUCCCGGUUCCAGAGGGGCUUUAGUCCCGGUUCGCCAACCGAGACCAAAAGGCAGCCAUGCGUUAGCAGAUCGUAGGCGCUAGGUUUUCACGACAAAGAAAAUGAUUACUUGAUAUUAGGAAAUGAAAGAAAGUUGUCGAUAUGGUGCGAUAAUGAUUGAACUUACUUCUAGAGCAUUUUAGUAUCCGGCGCCAACUCUGUAGGGUCUUUACGUAGCUAGUCCAAGACAAGUACUUGUCCCUAGUCAAGCCUAAUGAUUAGCAGACCAAAGUGAAACCUGCGCAUGCAUAACUCAUCAAUCGCACUUAACCUCGAGUAAGCGAAACAGAAUGUGCAGAAGACAACUAGUAACACUCACCCGAAGUUGUAAGGAAAUAGUAUUUCCCUUCCCUCAUGUUGUCGAACUAACGCAGUUAGCAAGUUGUUCUAUGUAUCGUUGGGAUUAUUACAUAGGUUAUGUGCAUUUAUGGUAUCUGGGUUAAUGAAUCCAAUAUCAUAUAUUUGUCCUUUUUUGCAUUCGAGGAUCUUCAAUGUGCAUAAUAUAGCAAGGAUAAUUACACAUGCAAUAAUGAAGGAGAUGAGAUAGAGACUUAAUUACAGAGAUAAUACUUACAGACAAUAGGAACUAACGAUCGUUUUGUCGAGGGCAUCUUGAUUGUAUUGUUGGGGAACGUCGCAUGGGAAACAAAAAUUAUCCUACGCGCACGAAGACCUAUCAUGGUGAUGUCCAUCUACGAGAGGGGAUGAGUGAUCUACGUACCCUUGUAGAUCGUACAGCAGAAGCGUUAGAGAACGCGGUUGAUGUAGUGGAACGUCCUCACGUCCCUCGAUCCGCCCCGCGAACAAUCCCGCGAUCAGUCCCACGAUCUAGUGCCAAAUGGACGACACCUCCGCGUUCAGCACACGUACAGCUCGACGAUGAUCUCGGCCUUCUUGAUCCAGCAAGAGAGACGGAGAGGUAGAAGAGUUCUCCGGCAGCGUGACGGCACUCCAGAGGUUGGUGAUGAACUUGUAUCAGCAGGGCUCCGCCCGAGCUCCGCAGAAACGCGAGCUAGAGGAAAAACCGUGGAGGUAUGUGGUCGGGCUGCCGUGGAAAAGUCGUCUCAAAUCAGCCCUAAAACCUCCGUAUAUAUAGGUGGGAGAGAGGGGACCUUGCCUUGGGGCUCAAGGAUCCCCAAGGGGGGAAGGUCUCCCCCCCAAACCGAGUUGGACUUUGUUUGGUGGGUGGGAGUCCUUCCUUCCCUUCCCACCUCCUCUUUUUUUUCUUUCUCUUUGAUUAUUUCUUCCAAUGCGCAUAGGCCCCUUUUGGGCUGUCCCACCAGCCCACUAAGGGCUGGUGCACCACCCUCAAUGCCUAUGGGCUUCCCCGGGGUGGGUUGCCCCCCCCCCCCGGUGAACUCCCGGAACCCAUUCGUCAUUCCCGGUACAUUCCCGGUAAUUCCGAAAACCUUCCGGUAAUCAAAUGAGGUCAUCCUAUAUAUCAAUCUUCGUUUCCGGACCAUUCCGGAAACCCUCGUGACGUCCUUCAUCUCAUCCGGGACUCCGAACAACAUUCGAUAACCAACCAUAUAACUCAAAUAUGCAUAAAACAACGUCGAACCUUAAGUGUGCAGACCCUGCGGGUUCGAGAACUAUGUAGACAUGACCCGAGAGACUCCUUAGUAUCCAAUAUCGGGACCUGGAUGCCCAUAUUGGAUCCUACAUAUUCUACGAAGAUCUUAUCGUUUGAACCUCAGUGCCAAGGAUUCAUAUAAUCCCGUAUGUCAUUCCCUUUGUCCUUCGGUAUGUUACUUGCCCGAGAUUCGAUCGUCAGUAUCCACAUACCUAUUUCAAUCUCGUUUACCGGCAAGUCUCUUUACUCGUUCCGUAAUACAAGAUCCCACAACUUACACUAAGUCACAUUGCUUGCAAGGCUUGUGUGUGAUGUUGUAUUACCGAGUGGGCCCCGAGAUACCUCUCCGUCACACGGAGUGACAAAUCCCAGUCUUGAUCCAUACUAACUCAACUAACACCUUCGGAGAUACCUGUAGAGCAUCUUUAUAGUCACCCAGUUAUGUUGCGACGUUUGAUACGCACAAAGUAUUCCUCCGGUGUCAGUGAGUUAUAUGAUCUCAUGGUCAUAGGAACAAAUACUUGACACGCAGAAAACAGUAGCAACAAAAUGACACGAUCAACAUGCUACGUCUAUUAGUUUGGGUCUAGUCCAUCACGUGAUUCUCCUAAUGACGUGAUCCAGUUAUCAAGCAACAACACCUUGUUCAUAAUCAGAAGACACUGACUAUCUUUGAUCAACUGGCUAGCCAACUAGAGGCUUGCUAGGGACAGUGUUUUGUCUAUGUAUCCACACAUGUAAAUGAGUCUUCAUUCAAUACAAUUAUAGCAUGGAUAAUAAACGAUUAUCUUGAUACAGGAAUUAUAAUAAUAACUAUAUUUAUUAUUGCCUCUAGGGCAUAAUUCCAACAUGUAUAACUAAAAUAAUUCGUCAAUUUAAAUAAACAAUGACCCUUUUCCAUUGUAAAAGUGCUCAUCUUUAAAUCCUACGUAGAUAUUGUUGGUCGAAUCAUUGCAGGCUUUCAAGUACCAAUCAUGAAGUCUUUGCAUUACCAUUGAUAGUUUUGUCAACUUCUCAGGUUUGACGAGAGGCUUCUCGUGCUGGUAUCUAAGGGCUAAUAUCGGGGCAGUUUUGAACUGUACAUAGUCGCUUACGAAAUCAGCAGGACUGAAACCAAGAUAAUUAGCGGCCACUUCUCCCGGAUCAACAUUCGCGACAUCAGUAAACACCUUGAGCAGGGGGCACGAUUGCUUCUCCUGUUCGUCGAGCUGGGGAAUUUUUUUCCCACUUCUCGAACCACUCGUACUUAAGCUUUCCAACUGCUUCGCUUUAACAUAUGUCUUUUGAAUAAUUCGCGCAUAGUGUGAUGGCAGCGGAUGUGGUACCGAUGGUGGUCGCUUAAGGGCAUCCAGACAACGCUUCACUUUUACCGGAUCAACUUUCUCCUUUGGAUGUGGACGUUUUGGUGCAAAAUGGGCCUUAUUAUAGGCAGCCAUGAUUUCCGCGUUUUCCUCGACAUUCCUCUCAUAUGGUAAAUUUGGAAGAGCCUUGUGGCUUGGACCUUAUUUGAAUUUCUUCUCGCCUCCUAUACUGCUAGCCACCAGAGUAGUGACGUCUCUCUUCUGCCGUUCUAACGCGCCGGAGGAGGCGGACUGCACUCACACGCCGGAGGAGGCGGAGGAGGAGGAGGCGGUCUGUGUUGACGUGCCGGAGGAGGCGGAGUGCGCUGAAGCGCCGGAGGAUGCAAAGUGCCCUCAUGCACCGGAGGAGGCAGAGGAGGAGGCGGCGGAGUGCCACUAGUUGAAAAUGGCCCAUUUGUCCUGGUUCUAGAGGCCCAUUAGCCCCGGUUCUUGAACUGGGAGUAAAUGGUCAGGACUAAAGCCCAAAAUCUUUAGUCCCGGUUCGCUUACGAACCGGGACCGAAUGGUCUCCACGUGGCCGCUGCGGGGAGCCCGGGCAGGAGGGCCUUUAGUCCCGGUUGGUCACACCAACCUGGACAAUUUGGCAUCCACGCGUCAGCAUCUGACCGGAGCUGGGGGUUUUUGUUUUUUUAACCGGGGGGNNNNNNNNNNNNNNNNNNNNNNNNNNNNNNNNNNNNNNNNNNNNNNNNNNNGGGGGGGGGGGGGAGGGUUAAUUUAGUGGUUUCGUAUUGUGUUAGCAUCUGAUAACGCGUCAACAUCUUUUACAAUGCCUAACAUCAUCUACCUAAGAUCCAAUCACAAAUAGCUCACAGGGUAUUGUCCGUCUUUAGGUAUGACGUGGUCAAGAAAGAAUCCCACCAAUUCCUCUUGAAUUGCUCAUAUGCCAUCAUCUGAUAGGGGUUCAUCCCGCUUCUUCUAGAUCUAAUUUAAAGAAGGGGGUCAAUACAUCCAUAUAUAUGAAUAAAACUCAACACGAUUGAUGGUAAUAUAUAAAAAACAUUGUGAAUAUUAUUUACGUACUUCAAAUUGUUCGUCAGAGAUGCCCCGUCCAGACGUCGAGAGGCGGAUGAACUCGCAUGUGUAGUAUGCACAUUUUUCAGUCACAAUUACCUGGUACAAGCACUUUACGAGAAUAGAGUUCAAUCAAACUGAUAAUCAAACAUGGUAAUGAUAUAUUGAUGAAAAUUUGAAUCAAUCAGAGAUGCGCGAAACUAGCUAGUACUACUUACUGGGGGGUGCGUAAAUUGCUACUCUUUCUUUAGACUGGGAGCAAGCUUGAUGAACUUCUUCCAAACCCUGCCAGGCAAAGAAAAUGAUUACUUGAUAUGAGUAAAUUAACGAAAGUUGCAUGCCAGUAUGGUCCCGGUAUUGAGUAAACUUACUUCUUGAGCAUUGCAGUCAUGUCCGCAUAAUCCUUGGGAUCUUUACGUCUCGAGUCUAAGACUGUUACUUUUGCCCCGUCUAGCUUAAUGGAUAGCAGAAUAAAGUGGUAACUGUGCACGCAUAUAUAACUCAUUAAUUACAUUUACUUAACCUCGAGUAAGCGAAACCGAGUAUACAGAGAAGACAACAACACUCACUUGAAGUUGUAAGGAAAGAGUAUUUCCCUUUUGUUUUGAUUUGCAAGAAACGACUUUAGCAACUUAACCUCGGUCUCUUUGGUUUCAUUUCGUACCGACAAUACAUUUACCGAUUCUGGGCUAAUGAACCCAACGUCGAAGAUUCCUGCUCUUUUUAAUUCGACGAUCUUCAAUCUGCAUAAUAUAUAUAGUGAGGAUCAUUAUAGAUACAUGCAAUGAACGAGCUGAGCUAGAGACUUAGCUAUAGAAGUAAGACUUACAAACAGUACGUGAUACGUCUCCAACGUAUCUAUAAUUUUUGAUGGUUUCAUGCUAUUAUCUUGUCAAACUUUGGAUGCUUUGUAAGCCUUUUAUAUCUUUUUUGGGACUAACUUAUUAACUCAGUGCCAAGUGCCAGUUCCUGUUUUUCCGUGUUUUUGACCCUUUUCAGAGGAGAAUUUUAAACGUAGUCCAAACGGAAUAAAACCUGUGGAAUGAUUUUUCCAUAACAGAAGACACGCGGGAUACUUGAGCACCAAGGCACGAGACCUUAGAGGAGGUCACAAGCCCACCAUGCCCGGCCUAGGGGGGCAGGCCUAGCUGGCUUGUGAGCUCCCCGUGGCUCCCCUGCCCUAGGUCUUCCGCCUAUACAUUCCCUAAAAUCCCAGAAAAAAAUCAGGAGAUCAUCAAAAAUACUUUUCCACCGCCGCAAGCUUCUGUCUUCGCAAGAUCCCAUCCGGGGCACGUUGUGGUGCCCUGUGGGAGGGGGAUUCGGAUACGGAGGGCUUCUUCAUCAACACCAUGACCACUGCGAUGAUGCAUGAGUAGUUCACCAUAGACCUAUGGGUCCAUAGCUAGUAGCUAGAUGGCUUCUUCUCUCUCUUGGAUCUUCAAUAGAAAGUUCUCCAUGAUCUUCAUGGAGAUCUAUCCGAUGUAAUCUUCUUUUGCGGUGUGUUUGUCGAGAUCCGAUGAAUUGUGGAUUUAUGAUCAUAUUAUCUAUGAAUCUUAUUUGAGUUUCUUCUGAUCUCCCUUAUGCAUGAUUUCAUAUCCUUGUAAUUCUCUUUGAGUGGUGGGUUUUGUUUGGCCAGCUUGAUCUAUGAUUCUUGCAAUGGGAUAAGUGCUUGGUUUUGGGUUCAUACCGUAUGGUGACCUCACCCAGUGACAGAAGGGGUAGCGAGGCACGUAUCAUGUUGUUGCCACCAAGGUUAAAAAGAUGGGGUUUUCAUCAUUGGUUUGAGAUUACCGCUCUACAUCAUGUCGUCUUGCGUAAGGCGUUACUCUGUUCAUCAUGAACUCAAUACACUAGAUGCAUGCUGGAUAGCGGUCGAUGUGUGGAGGAGUAGUAGUAGAUGCAGAAAGUAUCGGUCUACUUGUCUCGGACGUGAUGCCUAUAUGUAUGAUCAUUGCCUUAGAUAUCUUCAUGACUUUCACGGUUCUAUCAAUUGCUCGACAGUAAUUUGUUCACCCACCGUAAUACUUGCUAUUUUGAGAGAAGCCUCUAGUGAACACUACGGCCCUCGGGUCUACUCCACACCAUAUUUUCAGCCUUACACUUUUACUUCGUUGCACUUUCCGCCUUCAGAUAUCACUUUGCAAUCAAUCUUGAAGGGAUUGACAACCCCUUUAUAGCAUUGGGUGCAAGUUCUUUGUGUUUGUGUAGGUACAUUGGACUUGACUAGAUUCUCCUACUCGAUUGAUACCUUGGUUCUCAACUGCUUACUGCUCCUGUGCUGCACCGCCCUUUCCUCUUCAAGGGAAAAACCAAUGCAAGCUCAAGGGGUGACAGAAAGGUUUCUGUCGCUGUAGCAGAAGAAUUUCUGGCGCCGUUCCCGGGGAGGAUCAAGUCAAGAACUCAUCCAAGUAAGUUUCGCAAACUCAUCUCUUGCAUUUACUUUUUUGCCUCUCAUUUUCCUCUCCCCCACUUCUGAAAAAACAAAAACUUAGAAAAAAAUAUUUGCCUUUUUCGUUUGCCUCUUUCAUCCGCCCUUUCUUUUGCUUGCUUUCUGUUUGCUUGUGUUGCCAUGUGCCUUUAAUAUGAUUGCAUCUUCGCUUGCUGAAAAUCUAGUGAUAUGGAUCCUCAUCCACUUGCUAAUCUCUUUAAGAGAUCCAAUUAUGUUGAUCCAAUUGCUAGUGAGUUGAGUGCACUUGACUAUCUUUAUGGAGUUUUGCUUGAGAUGCGUGAAUCUGAAAAUCGUGAUGAAGAAAUUUAUGAAGUGAUUCACGAGGGCUCCUUGAAUGAAAAGCAUGAUUGCAAUGGUUUCACUAUAAAUCCUAUUAGUGUCAAUCAUGCUAAAAAUAUGCAAAACCCUAAGCUUGUGGAUGCUAGUUUUGCUAUGUCCUCUACUUGUUGCAAUGAUCAUGAAUGGGGUGAUGAUUUUUCUUAUGAUCUUGAAAAUUUGUGUAAGCCUCAUGAUGAAUAUUAUAUUUGCAAUAUUAUUGAAAGUGGGUUUGGAGAAGUCAUGACUUUAGUUGAUGAUAAUCCCACUAUUUUUGAAAAGCAUCAACUUUGCAUGCAUGUGGAUCAUGAAAAGAAUAUCCUAUGUGAUAGUUACAUUGUUGAAUUCGAAUAUGAUCCCACAUGUAAUUAUUAUGAGAUAGGAAAAUAUGGUGGUAGAAACUUUCAUAUCACUAAGUCACCUCACGUUAUGUUGAGAUUGCUCUUGUCUCUUUCUUCUUCCUUGCAUUUGGCAGUUAUUGGUUAUCUUGACAAUCUGUUUUCUUAUAAAAUGCCUAUGCAUAGGAAGUAUGUUAGACUUAGAUGUGAUUUUCACAUGUUUCAUGAUGCUCUCGUUGUGCUCCAAUUCUUGUCUUUUUAUGGGCAUCAUUGAAUUAUCAAUGCCUAGCUAAGGGCGUUAAACAAUAGCGCUUGUUGGGAGGCAAACCAAUGAAUUUAUCUUUUUUCUUUCUGUUUUGUUGCGUCCACACCAUCAUAAUUCUGUUGUGAUUGUGUUUUUUGUGUUUCUUUUUGUGUUUGAGCCAAGCAAAACCUUUAUGACUAGUCUUGGUGAUGGUUGUUUGAUCCUGUUGGAAAAAGACAGAAACUUUUCGCUCACGAGAUGCUUUUUCAUUUUUAUUCAGAAAGAUCUUUUGAGUUGAUUCUUUUUUUCUUCUGGUUGAUAUGCCUUUUUCCCAGGCAGUCGUAAUUUUUCAGAAUUUUUGAGGUACCAUAAGUAUACAAAGUAUACAGAUUGCUACAGACUGGUCUGUUUUUGACAGAUUCUGUUUUUGUUGAGUUGCUUGCUUGUUUUCAUGAAACUAUGGAUAGUAUCGGGGGGGUACUAGCCAUGGAAAAGUGAGGAUACAGUAGCCCAACACCAAUAUAAAUACAAAUCAAGAUUGCUACAGUACCUAAAGGGGUUGUAGUUUGUUUUCUUGUGUUAAUGUUAUCACGAGUUUCUGUUUAAGUUUUUUGUUGUGAAGUUUUCAUGUUUUGAGUGAUGUUCUCAUGGACGAUGAGAUAAAGAGUGGAAAGAGCUCAAGCUUGGGGAUGCCCAAGGCAUCCAAAGCCAAAUUCAAGGACACCAAAAAGCCUAAGCUUGGGGAUGCCCCGGGAAGGCAUCCCCUCUUUCUUCUUCAAUCCAUCGGUAACAUUACUUGGAGCUAUAUUUUUAUUCACCACAUGAUAUGUGUUUUGCUUGGAGCGUCUUGUAUCUUAGGAGUCUUUUGUUUUUGUUGUGUCACAAUCAUCCUUGCUGCACACCUUUAGAUAGAGACAUGCACUCAUCGUGAUUUUGCUAGAAUGCUCCUCGUGCUUCACUUAUAUCUUUUGAGCUAGAUAAUUUUGCUCUAUGUGCUUCACUUAGAUCUUUUAGAGCACAGCGGUGCGUAACUUGGUAGUUGGCUUAUGCUAUGAAAGUAGUACCAAAGGUGAUAGGUACCCAAAGAGGAUACAAAAACCUCUAUCUUCAUGUGCAUUGAGUAGAAAGAGAAGUCUUGAUUCCUCUCAAUUAGUUUUGAGACGUGGAUUUGGUAAUAUUAAAAGUUAUGUUAGUAGGGUGUUGUGAAUCUAAAAAUACUUGUGUUGAAGUUAGUGAUUCCGGUAGCAUGCACGUAUGGUGAACCGCUAUGUUAGGAAGUCGGAGCAUAAUUGAUCUAUUGAUUGUCAUCCUUUGUGUUGAGGUCGGAAUCGCGCGAUGGUUAACACCUACCAACCCUUCCCCUAGGAGUAUGCAUUUAGCACUUUGUUUCGAUUACUAAUAAAAACUUUUGCAACAAGUAUGUGAGUUCUUCAUGACUAAUGUGAGUCCAUGGUAUAGAUGCACUUUCACCUUCCACCAUUGCUAUCCUCUCUAGUACCGUGCAAUUCUCGCCAGUGCACAAACCCACCAUAUGCCUUCCUCAAAACAACCACCAUACCUACCUACUAUGGCAUUUACAUAGCCAUUCCGAGAUAUAUUGCCCUGCAACUCCCAACGUUCCGUCUCAUGACUUGUGCCGUCACUCUCAUAUUUCCAUUGCAUGAUCGUAAGAUAGCUAGCGAGAUGUUUCAACGUCAAACGCCAAGCUAGAUCGUUGCACAUCCCCGUACACUGCCGGAGGCAUUUCCUAUAGAGUCAUCAUCGUUUUGAGCUUUGAGCUGUGAGUAAAUAAAAGUGUGAUGAUCAUCAUUAUUAGAGCAUUGUCCCGUGUGAGGAAAUAAAAAAAAGAGGCCAAAGAGUCCAAAAAUAAAAGAAAAAGAAAAAAAAGAGAGAAGGGACAAUACUACUAUCUUUUUCCACACUUGUGCUUCAUAAUAUCACCAUGUUCUUCAUGAUUGAGAACCUCUCGUUUCGUCACCACCAUAUGCUAGUGGGAAUCUUUAUUAUAUAACUUGGCUUGUAUAUUCCAAAGAUGGGCAUCCUCAAAAUUGCCCUAGGUCUUCGUGAGCAAGCAAGUUGGAUGCACACCCACUAGUUCUCCUUUUGAGCUUUCACAUGCUUAUAGCUCUAGUGCAUCCUUUGUAUGGCAAUCCCUACUCAUUCACAUUGAUAUCUAUUAAUGGGCAUCUCCAUAGCCCUUUGAUACGCCGAGUCAAUGUGACCAUCUCCUCCUUUUUGUGUCACAACCACCACCACACUCUAUUCCACCUAUAGUGCUAUAUCCAUGGCUCGCGCUCAUGUAUUGCGUGAUAGUUAUAAAAAAAUUCAGAAAGUAAGAGUGCGAAAACAAUUACUUGGCCAAUACCGGGGUUGUGCAUGAUUUACAUUAGUUGUGUGAGGAUGAUGGAGCAUGGCCAGACUAUAUGAUUUUGUAGGGAUAACUUUCCUUGGCCUUGUUAUUUUGAAAGUUUAUGAUUACCUUGCUAGUUUGCUUGAAGUAUUAUUAUUUUCAUGUCAAUAGCAAACUAUUGUUUUGAAUCUUACGGAUCUGAACAUUCAUGUCACUUGAAAGAAGUUGCAAAGGAAAACUAUUCUAGGUAGCAUUCCACAUCAAAAAUUCAAUCUUUAUCACUUCCCUACUCGAGGACGAGCAGGAGUUAACCUUGGGGAUGCUUGAUACGUCUCCAACAUAUCUAUAAUUUUUGAUGGUUUCAUGUUAUGAUCUUGUCAAACUUUGGAUGCUUUGUAUGCCUUUUAUAUCUUUCUUGGGACUAACUUAUUAACUCAGUGCUAAGUGUCAAUUCCUAUUUUUUUCCGUGUUUUUGACCCUUUUCAGAGGAGAAUUUUAAACGAAGUCCAAACGGAAUGAAACCCGCGGAAUGAUUUUUUCCAGAAUAGAAGACACGCGGGAGACUUGAGCACCAAGGCAGGAGACCUCGGAGGAGGUCACAAGCCCAAUAGGCCCGGCCUAGGCGGGGGGGGGGGGGGGGGGCAGGCCUAGCAGUCUUGUGAGCUCCCCGUGGCUCCCCUACCCUAGGUCUUCCACCUAUAUAUUCCCUAAAAUACCAGAAAAAAUCAGGAUAUCAUCGAAAAUACUUUUCCGCCGCCGCAAGCUUGUGUCUCUGUAAGAUCCCAUCUCGGGCACGUUCUGGUGCCCUACUGGAGGGGGGAUUCGGAUACGGAGGGCUUCUUCAUCAACACCAUGACCUCUCCGAUGAUGCGUGAGUAGUUCACCAUAGACCUACGGGUCCAUAGCUAGUAGCUAGAUGGCUUCUUCUCUCUCUUGGAUCUUCAAUACAAAGUUCUCCAUGAUCUUCAUGGAGAUCUAUCCGAUGUAAUCUUCUUUUGCGGUGUGUUUGUCGAGAUCCGAUGAAUUAUGGAUUUAUGAUCAGAUUAUCUAUGAAUCUUAUUUGAGUUUCUUCUGAUCUCUCUUAUGCAUGAUUUCAUAUCCUUGUAAUUCUCUUUCAGUCGUGGGUUUUGUUUGGCCAGCUUGAUCUAUGAUUCUUGCAAUGGGAGAAGUGCUUGGUUUUGGGUUCAUACCGUACGCCCAAGAUGUGACCCUAUCCUCAAUUUGGCACAAAGGCCUCGGCAGGGAUAGAAGCGCAUCUCGUCGUGUCGCAAGAAUGGAUAUCGUUACAAGUACAUGUACUGAAAAGAUGAGAUAUAUAUAGAAUUGGCUUACACUCGCCACAAGCUACAUCAGAAUCACAUCAGUACAUUACAUAAUCAUCAAGAGUAAGAGCAGGGUCCGACUACAGGAAAACAAACGAGAAAAGAAGAACGACGUCCAUCCUUGCUAUCCCAGGCUACCAGCCUAGAACCCAUCCUAGAUCGAUGAAGAAGAAGAAGAAGCAACUCCAAAUCAACAAUCAACACGCUCGCGUCAAGUAACCUUUACCUGUACAUGCAACUGGUGUUGUAGUAAUCUGUGAGCCACAGGGGACUCAGCAAUCUCAUUUCCAAAGGUAUCAAGACUAGCAAAGCUUAAUGGGUGAGGCAUGGUUAAGUGGUGAGCUUGCAGCAGCGGCUAAGCAUAUAUUUAGUGGCUAAACUUACGAGUACAAGAAAUCAGAGAGGGGAAGAUCUACGCAUAGCGGACGUGAACUACGGAUGAUCAUAUGAAUGAUCCUGAACACCUACCUACGUCAGGCAUCACCCCACCGUGUCCUCGAUCGGAGAAAGAACUCACGAAAGAGACAGUCACGGUUACGCACACAGUUGGCAUGUUUUAAUUAAGUUACUUCAAGUUAUCUAGAACCAGUGUUAAACAAAGUUUCCACGUUGCCACAUAACCGCGGGCACGACUUUCCGAAAGAUUUAACCCUGCAGGGGUGCUCCAACUAGUCCAUCACAAAUUACCACAAGCCGCAUAGAAAUCCUCAAUCACGAAGCUCGCGAUCUCGUCGGAUUCCCUAGUGGAAAACCUCAACUCUGAGAUUACCCAAAGCAUCACCGGAAUCCCGAUGCACAAGAUAUCUCGUCAAAGGUAAAAUUAAUCCAGCAAGGCCACCCGACGUGUCGACGAUCCCGAUAGGAGCCGCGUAUCUCGUUCUCAGGACACGACAGAUGGAACUAGCUACGAGUGCCAAACCUCGAGUUUCCUCGCGGUGGCCCCGCAGGCAGACCGUUUGGGACCAACACCAUCAGCACUGCCCCCUGUAUUAUGUAGAAUUACUCAUCGGGUAGCGCUAACUCCCUAUGCAUUUCAGUAUUAACAAAAUUAUUAUGUUGGGCAAAUGUAAAACCAAUGUUGGGCCUUGCCGGACCAGCUCUAAUCUAAAACGAAUUAUCAAGGGGGUCCCCAUAACAACCCCGAUCGUGUUAGGAGCGCUCAUUUAUGGAACAUAACACCGGUAGCCGAAACUAAGGGGGCAAAGGUGGAACAAAACACCAGGCUAGAAAGGCCGAGCCUUCCACCUUUUACCAAGUAUAUAGGUGCAUUAAAUUAAAUAGCAUUAAUAUGGUGAUAUAACAAGGAACCCAUGUAAUCACAUGGAAGCAACUGCACCUGCAACUAGCAACGCUAACACAAGGUUAAGCAAGCGGUAACAUAGCCAAUCAGUGGUUUGCUACGUUGAACAGGUUGAAGGUUUUCAUGGCAUGGUUGAGAGGCUGAUAUUUAACAUGUGGUAGGCAACGAGACAUAAUCGAUAGAAGCGAUAAACCUAGCAUGGCAAUGAUAGUAAUGGUAUCUGGGGAAAUGGUCAUCUUGCCUGAGAUCCCGCUUGGAAGAAGAAUGACUCCGCGAAGCAGACGAACCAACGUAGUCGAACGGGUCCUCACAAUCCGACACGCUUGCGGAACUCUAGCGAGACGAAGGAAGCCGGAAACAAGAAUCAACACACGAUAUUCACCACACGGUGCACAACACAUAUGAUGCAUGAGCAGCUGAAUACAUGCAAGUCACGGCAUGACAAUUCACACAAUCAAACACUACACAUUAAGUGAAGUUCAAUAUGCAACGAGUUGCAUAUUGAUGAAACUACCUGUUAAUUAUUUACUUCUAUCCCGAUUAGGUACACGGCAAUAUUAAAUGUGGUUAAGCAUGGCAAGAGGUGAAGCAUAAUUAAUCUACCUAUCUAUGCAUUUUAAAUGAGGUCGGAAAUGACUUAUAGCAUCUCCGAAACGACCUCACAUGUUAAUUUACAAUUCUGUCCAGAUCUGAACUAACACAUUUAAUUAGUUGUUAAACAGAAAAAAAAUAGGUUCACGUGAUUCUACGCGUCAUUUCAAGCAAUUUACACAUAGAGAUCAUCUCCAACGGAGCUACGGUUCAAAAGAUACAAGCAUCACAAGAUAUGAUGGCAUGAAUGCAAUAUGUGUGCAACGACGGUCACGAGCACUUCAAAACAUACAACCAGCAAGAGAAAAUGAAACUACACGAGAUUCUAAGCAAGUUUCAUGUAGGACUCGAUCAAAUCGGAGCUGCGGAUCAACAACUACGAGCAAAACAAGAAAUCACUACAAUCUGCCAAAAUCAGCCACAUAGCAUUUUCUACACCCCACAACUACGAGCUACACAACUCAAAUAUAAUCUACCAAGGCAUGACAUGAAAUAGAGCAAGAAGCACUACAACAAAUAACUAACAAUAACUAGCAUGGCAGCAAGGAACACUAGGAAAAGAAGUCACAAAAUGGUUUCCCACACACUAUUUCACACAUAGUGAAAAUAGCAGUUUUUGAAGCUGCAGUUUUCGAUCUGAAGGCAUAUUGACAGUAGCAAAACCUAUAGCUACAGGACUCCUAAUGACAUGAAAAUUCACAGCAUGCUAGAGAAACACAAGGGCUACAACUAACUCCAUUGGACCAACCUUAAAGGAGCAACAUAUCACAAGAUACAAGCAAGACAAGACAGCAACAAAAUAUAACAGAUUCCAGACUUAGAAAUAUUUCAGCUCCUCCAAAUCAGCACUAUUUCUAGCAACUUGAGAGCAAUCAAACCACGCCUAAACAUGCAUUUCUAUUGCAAGCAAAAAUACCAGGGGUUAGACUAAACACCCAAGAACAACUCUCUAGUUGACAACUCCGUCAAACGAAGCACGGAAUAAAUCCUACGAAUUAAACAAAAGGGCAUCACGGCAAAAUAUUGUGCGAACUAACUUGCUCUAAUGCUAAAACUAACUUGCUCUACCCCGAAAACAUAUAAAAUAUCUGGGGUUGCACAACAAAAUAAUGCCACACGAAAAUGCGAGAAAAAUAACCUAGACACGGAAAAAUAAACUAGCGCAAUUCCNNNNNNNNNNNNNNNNNNNNNNNNNNNNNNNNNNNNNNNNNNNNNNNNNNNNNACACGUAAAACUACCAAUGACCGCUCUAAAAUACAUGGCAUAAUGGUUCCUAAAACAUGGGCAUUUAUACUACGGCAUCCGAGCAACCCGGUCUUGCACGAAAAAAUAAAUGUGGGACGAAACCUAUUAGGACAGCACGCUAAACUAGGCGUUAGGCAUGCUAAACGAUGUCAAACAUUUAUGCAUGUUUUAUAAUCGGAUUCUACGCGAGAAACUACAUGAAAAACAUAUCUAAUACGUUCCGAUCCGACUUACGGAUAUUAAACUACGGGCGUAGCAAUAUACGACUAUUUACUCAAAUUAUCUAAACCGAAAUAAAAACCUAAAAUACUAAAUGGGCCGACAGAGGCGCAAGAUAAACAAAAAAAAUGCAGGGCGGGAGAUAGGCCAUCCUCACCUUAGGCCGGUUGGAGGCUUGGGCCGGCGGGGGAGGCCGAGCGCGUGGGCCUGGGGGCGCCUCGUGGAGCAGGUUGGCUCGAGGCUGGGCCUGGGGAGGCGCUGCGGCAGCGGACUGGGCCAGCUCGGGGCCCAGCCGANNNNNNNNNNNNNNNNNNNNNNNNNNNNNNNNNNGGGGCCCCGGGGGGGGGGGGGGGGUUGUUGGAGGUGCUGGGACAGAGUCCCUCGUCGUGCCCGAGGGCACGAACCUGGCGGCGGCGGGGCCUCCAGCGGACGGCGGCGACGGGAGCCCGCCCGGCGAGGCCUCAGGCGACCACGGAGGCCGAGGCGGCGGCGCUCCGGCGCGAGGCACGGCGGGCCCUGGCGCGGCAACGCACGACUUGCAGGGAGGCGCCGACGGGGAAGCAGAACGGUGGCGGCGGAGGAGCUGCUCCCAGGCACAGAUGCUCUCCUCCGGCGAGGCGCUGGGGACGGGGCGGUGCAGCCGGGCUGGGGCACCGGCCGACGAUGGGGCUGGAGACCGGGAGGAGGCCGGCGGCUAGCCGGGUUGGCGGCGGCGACCUGCACGCGGCGGGGUUGGAGAGGAGCUCGGCUAGGGGUUAGCCACGGGCCCAUAUGGGCUUCGGCGGGCCUGACCCGGGCUCUGGCGGGCCUGACGGCUGGAGGUGGAAGGAGGGGGUUGGCUGCGCUAGGGUCAGGUGGGGCGCGGAUCCCGAGGCAAAGGGGUGGCUACCUAAAAAAAAUAGGAGGAUGGGUCUAUUUAUAACAAAUGAGGGGGCUAGGUUACCCGGAAUUCUGUUCCGGAUCCAACCGUGCGGUCGAAUUCGGACGAUUCCGAACGCGAGAACGGGCGAGUGGCUUUGUAGAGGGGAUAUCCGGAGAGGAGAGGGGAAAUGGGCGGCGCGGCAACAAUUUUUAAAACACCGACAAACGUCCGACGGUAGACCGAAUACGGUGCCGCUACGGUCGAUCGUUCGGGUACGAGACGAACUUCGAUCGCGACGAAAUUCGACAAGCGGCCUGGCUAUAACUAAUCGCGACCGCAUGCGAAGUUUCACCCUGAUGACAGAAAGUUUUACGCACACUUUUAAAACAGGGUUUUGACGAAGCCGCGGGCGCGUGCAUGUGCGGUCGAGCUCAGAACAGAUAACGACGCGAACCGGCAACUAACAACGGAUGCAAGUUUGAAAACUGGCGGCAACGGAGAUGCCGAUGCAAUGCAGAUGAUGCGCAUGAUGCGAUGAUGAUGCGACAAAAUAAAAUAGACACACGACGAAAACGGAAUAGAACGGGAAUCUUCUGGAACAUCGGCAUCGGGCUGUCACACUUUCGUCCCAGAAAAAAUAAAAAGAGAAGUUUUCAUCGCGUUUUCGAUAUGGAGGAGCCGCCACCACCUGUUCUUCAUUUGGAGGGCAGAUCUGGAGUCCGUCUUGGGCUCCGGAGAGGGGAAAUCGUCGCCAUCGUCAUCAUCAAGCUUCUUCCCUAUCCAAUUCCAUGAAGCUCUUCGUCAUUCGUGAGUAAUCUAUUCGUAGGCUCGCUGGGCGGUGAUGAGUAGGAUGAGAUCUAUCAUGUAAUCGAGUUAGUUUUGAUGGGGAUUUAUCCCUAGUAUCCACUAUGUUCUGAGAUUGAUGUUGCUACUACUUUGCCAUGCUUAAUGUUUGUCACUAGGGCCCGAGUGCCAUGAUUUCAGAUCUGAAAUUAUUAUGUUGUCACCAAUAUAUGUGUGUUUUAGAUCCGAUCUUGCAAGUUGUAGUUACCUACUAUGUGUUAUGAUCCGACAACCCCGGAGUGACAAUAACCGGAACCACUCCCGGUGAUAACCAAAGUUUGAGGAGUUCAUGUGUUCACCAAGUGCUAAUGCGUUGGUCCAGUUCUUUAUUAAAAGGAGAACAUUAAUAUCCCGUAGUUUCCUUUUGGACCCCGCUGCCACGGGAGGGAUGGACAAUAGAUGUCAUGCAAGUUCUUUUCCCUAAGCACGUAUGACGACACACGGAAUGCAUGCCUACAUCACAUUGAUGAAUGAGAGCUAGCCACUUAUCUCUCCGUGUUAUAGCUAUUGCAUGAUGAAUAUCAUCCAAACAAAUCACCGACCCAUUGCCAACGAGUUUGUCCUACUGCUGCUACUACUGUUGCUACUGCUGUUACUUGUUUUGCUCUGCUGCUGCUACUACUACUGUUGUUACUACUAUUGCUUGCUACUGCUGCUACUUGCUACCGCUGUCACUACUGUUGUUCCUUGCCACUGCUAUUGCUCGUUACACUGCUGCUACCUGCUACACUGUUGGUUCACCUACCGUUGACGAGAAUUGAAAACUCUUGUCGACGCGGCAACGAAGGCGCCAUUGAUACGAUCGUUAGGAAUAGUCUGCCGUCAACAGAUCAUUUCUCACACCGUUGUUAUCAUAUUACUUUGCUGUUACUACUGUUCUUGUAGAUACUAAUCUUUCAGGUGUGGUUGAAUCUGACAAAUUCAGCUGCUAAUACUUGAGAGUAUACUCUCACCUCCUUAGGCUUAUCAACAAAUUGGGUCGAAUACUCUACCCUCGAAAAUUGCUGCGAACCCACACGUUGGUGGGCCAUCAACAAUGUUCUUCCAGUUUCAUUGCCGGGGAGUGCUAGCAGCAUUCUUCUGGUGCCGUUGCAGGAGAAGGUUUGUUGUCAUAAGCAUUCGUCUAUUUAACGCCAGAGAUUGCACGAUCAGCAUUUUUCUGGCGCCGUUGCCGGGGAGGUAUUGCUAUAUUCUCUGAGUCACUUGGGAUUUAUAUGUGCUGAUCACUAUGAAGAAUCUGAAGGAUCCGAAGACCAAAGUCUUGCCCUCAACUACGAGGGGAGGUAAGGAAUUGCCAUCUAGCUCUGCACUUGAUUCACCUUCAGUUAUGAGUAAGUUUGCGACAUCACCUCCUGCUAGAAAUCUUGAUAUAUCGCCUGUGCUUGAUGAUGCUUGUGAUACUACUGCUAGAGAUGCUAUGCUUGAUACUGCUAGACAUGCUAUGCUUGAUACUAUGCCUGAUGCUAUGCCUGAUACUGCUAGAGAUGCUAUGCUUGAUACUAUGCCUGAUGAUACUAUGCUUGAUACUAUGUCUGAUACUGCUAGAGAUGUUAUGCUUGAUACUGCUUUGCCUGAUGAUGCUAGAGAUGCUAUGCUUGAUGCUACGCUUGAUACUCCUAGAGAUACCACUUUGCAUGAUGUUCCACUAGGAGUGUUCCUUGAUGCUCAUAUUGCUAGAGUUACUGCCAAUGCUCGUGAUGCUCCUGAAACUGCCGAUACUAUUGAGAUAGAACCUGCUUUUGCUCCUGCUAGAUCUAGCUCUCCUAGAUAUGAAUUGCCUGAUAUACUUGAGGGUUACAUUAUGGACAGAGAGAUAGCUGAGGAUUUUCUUGCGUGUAAGGAUGCAUAUGACGCUGAGAAAUUACUUCUCAAGUGGAAGGAAAAAUCUCGGGAAGCUAGGAUGAAAAAUGACCCGAAGUUUGCCACUUCGCCUAUCUUUGUCAAUGAUAAGGAUUAUGAAUUCUCUGUCGACCCUGAGAUAAUCUCUCUAGUCGAAUCUGAUCCUUUUCACGGUUAUGAGUCUGAGACGGUCAUAGCCCAUCUUGCCAAACUAUCCAAAAUUGCGAACCUUUUCACUAAUGAGGAGAAGAUCCGCCACUACUAUAUCCUUAAGCUGUUUCCUUUCUCUCUAAAGGAUGAUGCUAAAGCCUGGUUCACCUCUCUUGCUCCUGGAUGUGUGCGUAGUCCCCAGGAGAUGGUCUAUUACUUCUGUGAGAAAUAUUUCCCAGCCCAUAAGAAGCAAGCUGCCUUGCAGGAAAUAUACAACUUUGCUCAACUCCAAGAAGAGAGUCUUCCACAAGCUUGGGGGAGGCUCGUCCAGCUAUAGAAUGCUUUGCCUGAUCACCCUCUUAAGAAGAACGAGAUACUUGAUAUCCUCUAUAACGGACUUACCGAUGCCUCUAGAGACUACUUAGAUAGUUGUGUCGGUUGUGUUUUCAUGGAACGAACUGUAGAACAAGCUGAUACCCUACUGAAUAAUCUCUUGAUCAACGAUGAUGCUUGGACUAUUCCCGAACCACCUCCUAAGCCAACUCCUAAGAAGAGAGGUAUUCUAUUCCUCAGUCCCGAAGAUAUGCAAGAAGCCAAGAAAUCUAUGCAAGAGAAAGGCAUUAGAGCUGAAGAUGUCAAAAAUCUACCACCUAUCGAAGAGAUCCACGGUCUCAAUAACCCGAUUCAGGUAGUGGAAGUGAAUUCUCUGCGUAGGUUUGACGGGAGUGAUAUUCCUUUUGAUAAACCUGCUAGCCUAUGCUUUGAUUAAUUUGACAAGUUUGUUGCCGAACAACAGAGUUUCAAUGAUUAUGUUAGCAGACAUUUGGAACAAAGUACUCGUAUGCUUAGCCCUUUAAGUGCUUGCGUAGACAGAAAUGUGAAUGCUCUGAAGCUUCUGAGUAAACAUGCCUCAAUGAUUACUACUCAGGUAGAACAAGUACUUAAAGCUCAGAAUGACCUGCUCAAUGAAUUAAAUGACAACUCUGUUAGAGUCAUUACUAGAGGAGGCAAAAUGACUCAAGAACCUUUGUAUCCUGAAGGUCAUCCUAAGAGAAUUGAUCAAGAUUCUCAAGGAAUCAAUGCUGAUACACCUAGUGAUCCUAAAGAGAAGAAGAAGGAUGAUAGAAGCCUACACGCCAGUUCACCAAAUACUGUCACACCUGAAGAACCUAAUGAUAUUUCUGCGUCUGAUGCAGAAACACAAUCAGGUGAUGAACAUGAACCUGGUGACAAUAUGGACAGAGAUGUUCGUAAUGAUGCUCAACCUAGCAAUGACGAGGAUGUGGAGAUUGAACUUACCGUUAAUCCUGAUAAUCCACAACCUAAGAGUUACGACAAGAAUGACUUCACUGCUAGGAAGCAUGGUAAAGAAAGAGAGCCAUGGGUUCAGAGACCUAUGCCCUUUCCUCCUAAGCCAUCCAAGAAAAAGGAUGAUGAGGAUUUUGAGCGCUUCGUUGAGAUGAUAAGACCCGUCUUUCUGCAGAUGCGGUUAACUGAUAUGCUCAAGAUGUCUCCGUAUGCCAAGUACAUUAAAGAUAUCGUGACUAAUAAACGGAAGAUACCAGAUCUUGAGAUCUCCACCAUGCUUGCCAACUACACUUUCAAAGGUAGAACUCCUAAGAAACUUGGCGAUCCCGGAGUGCCCACUAUAACUUGCUCCAUUAAAGGAAACUACGUAAGAACUGCCUUAUGUGACCUUGGAGCCGGUGUUAGUGUUAUGCCGCUCUCUCUUUAUUGUAGACUUGAGUUGAAUAAGUUGACACCCACUGAAAUUUCUCUACAAAUGGCCGACAAAUCAAUUGCUUUCCCUAUCGGCAUUUGCGAGGAUGUGUCUGUUGUGGUUGCUAAUACCACUAUCUUAACAGACUUUGUUAUCUUGGAUAUUCCCAAGGACGAUGCCAUGGCUAUCAUCCUCGAAAGACCCUUUUUAAAUACUGCAGGGGCUGUUAUAGAUUGCAACAAAGGCAAUGUCACUUUCCAUGUCAACGGUAAUGAGCACACCGUGCACUUUCCGAAGAAAUGAUAUCCGGUAGAUUGCAUCGAUGCUAUCGAAAAGACUUCAUCGAUUCCUAUUGGGAGGUUUGAAUGCCCUAUUCCUCGUGUCAAGAUGAAGUAUGAUUUUCUUGUUGGGGAGAUACGUAUCCCCAUUGAGGUGACUUAGUGGCUAUUCAAAAAUUCUCCGUUCUCUCUUGCGACUCGAGACGGUUUUGUCAUAAGGACUUGAUCAAUCCCAUUGACGGAUUUCUUUCGAUGACCAUGAGACGGAUGAAUUAAAGAGUCACAUACCUCUGUUUUGAGUUUUCCUUUUCUUUUGCUUAGAAGAAAAAUGAUGAAUUAGUUUCACUUUUCCUGUUUUCUGUUUUAGCGUCCCGGAGAAAAAUACCUCAAAAAUAAAAGUUCUCUGAUGGUCCUGAAAAUUUAGUAUGAUUUUUUUUGGAAUUUUUGAAAGUUUUUGGGCCUGAGUGCUGGCCAUGGGGCCUGACCAGUGGGCCACAAGCCCCCAACCGCCAGCUACCCCCCUGGUGGCGGGGUGCAAGCUUGUGGGGCCCACAGGCAUCCCGUCCACUCAUUCCAUCUCCCAGCCUCUUCUUCCACCUCCAGAAAAAAUUGUUUCGCAGCUCAAACCUGUGUUCUUGCUCAUUUGGCUGUGAUUUUCGAUGUCCUUGCUCAAAGUAGCAUUCUCCAAACUGUUUUGGGGAAACUACUCCUUGGUAAGUGACUCCUCCAUUGGUCCAAUUAGUUUUUGAUCUAGUGCUUUAUCCUUCGCGUAUUCUUGCUACCUUGGUGACCCUGUUCUUGAGCUAGAAAAGUUGAUAUUAGCUGGUCCCAAGUAGUUUUAGCGCGUGAUACGAUCUCGAGGCACUAGUACGAGUAGUUGCUACAAGUUGAGUUAAUCCUUAUUCACUUUUCUUUCGAAGUCUCUAAAAAUUUCAGAAUUUUUCAGAGCUAGAAAAGGGAAAAUAUGAGGAGGUUUUUGAGAGGCUCUUCAAGCCGUAACCCCAAGGAGGACAAGUAGAAUCACCCCAAGUACGCAGUCCCUCGAGUCACAGAAGUUCGAGCGUGCGAGUGGCCAAGUGAUGAAUUUUUGCGUGCCGCUAGACUUUAUAAAGACUUUUAUUACUUGGUGGAGAACACAGGUCUUACUGCGUUCGUUGAAGAUAAGUGCCCACAAUAUCUCCUCCACACCAAUAUUUUCGUUCAAAGCUUCAACUUUUAUCCGAGGAAGAAUCCUCCCAUGGUUGAGUUCAUGAUUUACGAUAUCCCCCAGUGCAUGACGCUGCAGGACUUUUGCAAUGUAUGCAAAUUACCUUAUGUUGGGGAUAUCCGUGACCCUCGUCCACGGGACUUGGAGGAUUUCAUUGGAUCUUUUGUUGUUGGAGAGGAGAGAGGAGUGUUUCGCGCUAGAAUUGCUAGCAUACAUUUUCCUGUGCUUCGGUACUUCUCACUGUUUGCGGGAAAAUGUUUGAUUGGCUGUGGGGAGGCUGGAUCACUUAGUACUCCAGACCUUGCGGUUUUGCGCGAAGGCCUUUAUAGCGAUAAGACUUAUAGCCUGGGCACUAUAGUAGCUCAAUGGUUGAACCUGAACCGUUCUAAAGGUGUUGUCUAUGGAGGUAUCUAUGCUACCCGUCUUGCCAGACAUUUUGAGAUACCGAUUAGACUGGGAGAGGAAGGAGAGAUGCUUCUCCCUGAGAGAUAUCUGGAUUAUGACAGCAUGGUUCGCCAUGAUUUUCUGGAUAGAGAUGCUAGUAGACGGAUGAUUUAUAACCUGGUGUUUAGUCAGGGUACUCGAGAGACUAUGACUUUGCCUGCUCCUUUGUAUGAUCUUCAUGCAAGCAGGUACACUAUUAUGCCCGCGGAUAUCUACGCAUAUUGGGGCUUGGCCCAACCACAGGCGCCCGUGCCCGAGCCGCCAGUCGAGUACCAGAAGCCAGUUUAUCAGUGGGAGCCAAAGGAGCUCACACAGCAGUGGCAUCCACAGUCUGCUCCAGAGUAUCUUGGAGCUGGUUAUUUCCCACCUUGGGAGUAGACCAAGCUAGGCCAAAAGCCUAAGCUUGGGGGAGUACGUGUUCUCACCGACUUUACAUUCAUGCUUAUGCUUUCACUUUGUUAGCCGGUGUUUACACUUUGCCACUGUGUUAUCCAUGCUAGUUUCUUUUCGUUUUCUUGUUUUCUUGUUUUGUGUCCUUUUGAGAAAACCCAAAAAGAUUUUUCUUUCUUCUUUUUCUUGUUGGGAGCUUUCCCGUGUAAAUAGUUUUCUUUUUCUUUGUGUCAAGGUAGAAGAUAUUGGUUACAAUGUUUAUUGGUUCUUGCAUGCUUACCUGUUUAGCUUUCAAAGAGCCAUAUUACUUUGUCUUCUCCUUUGUGUUUUCCUGCAGAUUCAGCUUAGUCCAAUGCGCUUAUUAUUGUUCACAUUGUUCAAUCGUGCAAAUGAAAGGAAACAAUGAUGAUAUAUGAUGAAGUGACUGCGACUGAAAAGCUGGUAUAAAUUCUAUCUAUUUUGUUUUUGUAAAUAUGACUAGCUUGUCGACCCAGAUUUAGCUUUGUUGUGAGAGAACCAUGUUUGCAAUGACAACUUAGAGAUCAUAGUUUCUGAUGCCAUGCUUAUUUAGCUAAGAGCUUAUAAUGGUUUGUCUUGAAUGCCAACAUAGAUUUUGAGAUGACUAUGAUGUAGUAUGAUAGGAUGGUAUUCUCCUUUGAAUAAUUCAAGUGGCUUGACUUGGCGCAUGGUCAUGCAUGUAGUUGACACAAAAUCAACAUAGCCUCGAUGAUGUUCGUGUUCAUGGUGAUUUAUAUCAUGUUCAUGCUUGCAUUCAAUGUUAGUCAAACUCAUUGCAUCUUGUUCACUGUUGUCGCUCUCUAGUUGGUCGCUUCCCAGUCUUUUGCUAGCCUUCACUUGUACUAAGCGGGAAUACUGCUUGUGCAUCCACUUCCAUAAACCCAAAAGUUUUUCCUUGAGUGUCCACCAUACCUACCUAUUUGCGGUAUCUACCUGCCGUUCCCAGUAAAUUUUCAUGUGCCAUUCUCUAGACCUUCAAGAAAUAAAUCUGUUUUGCAUGCCCAAACCGCUCAUGUGGUGACAGAGGGCUAAUGGUAUCUUCCAUGCUAGGAGUGUUAUCCUCGACAUGUGUUUAUUCACAGUCAUUCACGAGAAAGGGGCGAUAUUUGGGAUGCCCAGUUCCACGCUUAAAUCAAAAACAUAACUAUAAAACAAGACUCCCCCCGGAUUGAUGUUAGUAUGGACGGUACCCGAGGAUUCGGCUAGCCGUGGAGUGUGAUUGAUUGGUGGUGGUGGAGUUAAAACUUUGCUUUUCUGUUUGGGAACCUCCGAUAGCAUGAGUAGCAUGGAAGAUAUUGAGAACUCUUGGUCAUUGCAUUGACAAUGAAAGCAUGCCACCCAAAAUUAUUAUCUCAGUUUUCAAAGCUUAAGCUGUGGCACCUCUGCAAAUCAAUGCUUCCCUCUGCGAAGGGCCUGUCUAUUUAUUUUCCUGUCGAGUCAUCCUCCUCUUAUUUAAGCACCAAUUAGAGAGCACCUCUGUCAUUUUAACGCUUUGCUUUUGAUUGAUAUUGAGUAUGACUAUGAUUGGAUCUUCAUUGCUAUGAAUUACAAUGUUUAGUCAGCCCUUGAUCUUUGAAAGUGCUCUGCAUUUAUGUUUUGCGGUCUCAGAAAGAGCUAGCGAGAUACCACCUCUUCAUAUUGCUUCAUGCUUGUUUUGAUUGAAGUGUUGGUAUUUGAAACUCAUUAUUAUUUGCUCGUUAGCUGAUUAUGCCAUUGCUGUUAGUUUACCGUGAGACCAUUGUGUCAUUUUCUUAUGUGGUUAACUUGUGAUCUUGCUGAAAUUCUGGUUAUGAGUUAGACAUAGUUGCAACAACAAGAUCAAACAGAGUUUGUCAAAGUUUUUCUUUCUCUCUCAGUUUGUCAACUGAGUUGCUUGAGGACAAGCAAGGUUUUAAGCUUGGGGGAAUUGAUACGUCUCCAACGUAUCUACUUUUCCAAACUCUUUUGCCCUUGUUUUGGACUAUAAUUUGCAUGAUUUGAAUGGAACUAACCUGGACUGACACUGUUUUCAACAGAAUUGCCUUGGUGUUAUUUUUGUGCAGAAAUCAAUGUUCUCCAAACGUCCUGAAAAUUUACGGGGAGCAGUUUUGGAAAAUAUCAAAAAUAUCUGCGCCAAGUUCCACCUCAGGGGGUGGGCCAGUGGGCCACAAGCCCCUGCUCCGCCACCACCCCCCUGGUGGCGUGGUGCAGGCUUGUGGGGACCACAGGGCUCUGCCGCCCCCAAUCUCAGGUCUAUAAGAUCCCUUUCGUCCCAGAAAAAAAUAAAAAGAGAUGUUUUCGUCGCGUUUUCGUCACGGAGGCGCCGCUACCACCUGUUCUUCAUCUGGAGGGCAGAUCUGGAGUCCGUCUUGGGCUCCGGAGAGGGGAAAUCGUCGCCAUCAUCAUCAUCAACCUUCUUCCCUCUCCAAUUCCAUGAAGCUCUUUGUAGUUCGUGAGUAAUCUCUUCGUAGGCUCGCUGGGCGGUGAUGAGUAGGAUGAGAUCUAUCAUGUAAUCGAGUUAGUUUUGACGGGAAUUGAUCCCUAGUAUCCACUAUGUUCUGAGAUUGAUGUUGCGACUACUUUGCCAUGCUUAAUACUUGUCACUAGGGCCAGAGUGCCAUGAUUUCAGAUCUGAAAUUAUUAUGUUGUCACCAAUAUAUGUGUGUUUUAGAUCCGAUCUUGCAAGUUGUAGUUACCUACUAUGUGUUAUGAUCCGGCAACCCCGGAGUGGCAAUAACCGGAACCACUCCCGGUGAUGACCAUAGUUUGAGGAGUUCAUGUGUUCACCAAGUGCUAAUGCGUUGGUCCGGUUCUUUAUUAAAAGGAGAACCUUAAUAUCCCGUAGUUUCCUUUUGGACCCCGCUGCCACGGGAGGGAUGGACAAUAGAUGUCAUGCAAGUUCUUUUCCCUAAGCACAUAUGACGACACACGGAAUGCAUGCCUACAUCACAUUGACGAACGGGAGCUAGCCACAUAUCUCUCCGUGUUAUAACUGUUGCAUGAUGAAUAUCAUCCAAACAAAUCACCGACCCAUUGCCUACGAGUUUGUCCUACUGCUGCUGUUACUUGUCUUGCUCUACUGCUGUUACUUGUCUUGCUCUGCUGCAAGUGCUGUUACUUGUCUUGCUCUGCUGCUCUUACUUGUCUUGCUCUGCUGCUACUGUUGUUACUUGUCUUACUCUGCUGCUACUGUUGCUACUACUGUCGCUUGCUACUGUUGCUACUUGCUACUGCUGUCACUACUGUUGUUCCUUGCCGCUGCUAUUACUCGUUACACUAUUGCUACCUGCUACAAUCUUGAUUCGCUCGACAUUGACGGGAAUAGACAAUUUCCGUCAACGGGCAACUUGGCGCCAUUGAUACAAUCGUUAGGAAUAGUCUGCCGUCAACAGAUCGUUUUUGACACCGUUGUUAUCAUACUACUUUGCUGUUACUACUUUGCUUGCAGAUACUAAUUUUCAGGUGUGGUUGAAUCUGACACAUUCAGCUGCUAAUACUUGAGAGUAUCCUCUCACCUCCUAUAGGCGUACCAACAAAUUUGGGUCGAAUACUCUACCCUCGAAAACUGCUGCGAUCCCACGCGUUGGUGGGCCGUCAACAACAUUCCUCUAGUUUCAAUUGCCAGAGAGUGCUAGCAUCAUUCUUCUGGUGUCGUUGCAGGGGAAGAUCUGCUGUCAUGGAAUCAAAUAUUAAACGGAGUCCAAACGGAAUAAAACCUCCGAAAAGAUUUUUUCCAGAACAGAAGAUACGCACAAUGCUUGAGAACCAAGGCAGAGAGCACGAGGGGAGGCCACAAGCCCCCUAGGCGCGGCCAGGGAGCCCACGCCUAGCAGGCUUGUGGGCCCCCUGGGGCUCCUCUGCCCUACUUCUUCCGCCUAUAAAUCCCCGAAAAAUCUAAAACCACGGGAGAGAUCCACGAAAAUACUUUUCCGUCGCCGCAACCUUCUGUCUCCGCAAUAUCCCAUCUGGGGCACGUUUUGGUGCCCUGCUGGAGGGGGAUUCGGAUACGGAGGGCUUCUUCAUCAACACCAUUGCCUCUCCGAUGACGCGUGAGUAGUUCACCAUAGACCUCGUGCAGAUACUAAUCUUUCAGGUGUGGUUGAAUCUGACACAUUCAGCUGCUAAUACUUGAGAGUAUUCUCUCACCUCCUAUAGGCGUACCAACAAAUUUGGGUCGAAUACUCUACCCUCGAAAACUGCUGCGAUCCCACACGCUGGUGGGCCGUUGCUACUGCAACAAAAGACCUUCCAACGGCGCCAGAAAUAGGAGUGUUGACGGGAGAUCUUGUCUUGAUACUCCUCAGCAACGGCACCAGGAAUCCUUCUGCUACGGCUACACCUUAAGGGACUUCCUAGGCAAAUAUGCAAAGGAUUUCCCCCGUGGCCUUGGAGCCUUGCGUUGGUGUUCCCUCGAAGUGGAAAGGGUGAUGUAGCGCAGCGGUGGUAAGUAUUUCCCUCAGUUUGAGAACAAAGGUAUCGAUCCAGUGAAGGAGUAUCUCAAGUGCCUGCAUAAACACAAAAAGCUUGCUCCCAAUGCUAUGAAGGGGUUGUCAAUCCCUUAUAGAUUGUUCGCCAAGUGAGAACUGAAAGCAACAAAGUAACAAAGCAAAGUAAAAGCGAAAGUGGAAACGAUAGGUGUGAAUAGACCCGGGGGCCGUAGUGUUUACUAGUGGCUUCUCUCAUGAAAGCAAGUAGACGGUGGGUGAACAAAUUACUGUCGAGCAAUUGAUAGAACCGCGCAAAGUCGUGACAUCAUCUAUGGCAAUGAUUGUAUCUAUAGGCAUCACGUCCAAAACAAGUAGACCGAUACUUUCUGCAUCUAGUACUAUUACUCCACACGUCGACCGCUAUCCAGCAUGCAUCUAGUGUAUUAAGUCCAAAAGAACAGAGUAACGCCUUAAGAAAGAUGACAUGAUGUAGAUGGACAAUCUCAUAUCUACGACAAAGCCCACCUUGUUACCCUACUGUCACUGGGAAAGGUCACCACACGGUAAGAACACAAAACCAAGCACUUCUCCCAUUGCAAGAAUCAUAGAUCUAGUUGGCCAAACAAAACCCAAGACUCGGAGAGACUUACAAGGAUAUCAAAUCGUGCAUAUAAGAAAUCAGCAAAGACUCAAAUAUAUAUCAUAGAUAAUCUGAUCACAAAUCCACAAUUCAUCGGAUCUCGACAAACACACCGCCAAAGAGGAUUACAUCAGAUAGAUCUCCAUGAAGAUCAUGGAGAACUUUGUAUUGAAGAUCCAAGAGAGAGAGAAGAAGCCAUCUAGCUACUAACUACGGACCCGUAGGUCUGAAGUGAACUACUCACGAGUUAUUGGAGGGGCGAUGAUGUUGAUGUAGAAGCCCUCCAACUCCAAAGUCCCCUCCGGCAGGGCACCGGGAAGGGUCUCCAGAUGAGAUAUCGCGGAAACGGAAGCUUGCGACGGCGGAAAAGUAUUUUCGUGGAUCCCUUGAUUUUUUUUCUGUAUUUUCGGGAAUAUAUAGGCGAAGGAUCUAGGCCAGGGGGGCGCCAGGGAGGCCACAAGCCUGCCCACCGCCGCCCCCUGGUCGCGGAUGGGGGGCUUGUGGGCUCCCUGUAGCCCUCCUGGCUUGGCCCACAAGCCCCCUGAGCUUCUUCCGUUCGGGAAAAAUUUAAUUCGGGGAUUUUAUUCCGUUUGGACUCCGUUCCAAAAUCAGAUAUGAAAAGAGCCAAAAACACAGAGAAAACUGGAACUGGCACUUGGCACUGAAUUAAUAAGUUAGUCCCAAAAAAGAUAUAAAAGGUACAUAAAACAUCCAAGGAUGACAAGAUAACAACAUGAAACCAUAAAAAAUUAUAGAUACAUUUGAGACGUAUCAAGCAUCCCCAAGCUUAACUCCUGCUCGUCCUCGAGUAGGGAAGUGAUAAAGAAUGAAUUUUUGAUGCUUUCAUGCUACCUAGGAUAGAUGUCCUUUGUAACUCCUCUUAUGUGACGUGAAUGUUCAGAUCCAUAAGAUUCGAAACAAUAGUUUGCUAUUGACGUGGAAACAAUAAUAAUUCAAGAAAACUAGCAAGGUAAUCAUGAACUUUCAAAAUAACAAGGCCAAAAGAAAGUUAUCCCUACAAAAGCAUAUAGUCUGGCUAUGCUCUAUCAUCAUUGCACAAGGAAUUUAAAUCAUGCACAACCCCGGUAUUGGCCAAGUAAUUGUUUCACACCUUUACUUUCUCAAACCUUUUCAAAUCUCAUGCAAUACAUGAGCGUGAGCCAUGGUUUUAGCACUAUAAGUGGUGUGGAGUGUGGUGGAGGUUGCAAGACAAAAUAAGGAGAAGAUGAUCACAUUAACUAGGCAUAUCAAUGAGCUGUGGAGAUGCUCAUCAAUAGAUAUCAAUGUGAGUGAGUAGGGAUUGCCAUACAAAUGAUGCACUAGAGCUAAGAGUAUGUGAAAGCUCUUAAAGAAAACUAGUGGGUGUGCAUCCAACUUGCUUGCUCACGAAGACCUAAGGCAAUUUUGAGGAAGCCUAUAAUUGGAAUAUACAAGCCAAGUUAUAUAAUGAAAAUUUCCCACUAGAUAUAUGGUGGUGACAAAACGAGAGACUCUCAAUCAUGAAGAUCAUGGUGCUUAAUAUGCACAAGUGUGGAAAGGUGGUAGCAUUGUCCCUUCUCUCUUUUUCUCUCAUUUUUUUGGUGGGCUCUUUGGCCUCUUUAUUUUAUUUUAUUUUUAUUUUGGUGGGCAUAUUUGGCCUCUUUUAUUUCCUCAAAUGGGACAAUGCUCCAUCAAUGAUGAUCAUCACACUUUCAACUCAAAACUUAGAGCAACGAUGACUCUAUAUGGAAUGCUUCGGUAGUGUACCGUGACAAUGAUCUAGCAUGGCAUAGACAUUAAUGGAAACAUCAUGCUAGCUACCUUACGAUCAUGCAAUGGCAAUGUAGACGUGGUGGCACAUGUCAUGGUGGUAGUUGCAUUGCAAUAUAUCUCGGAAUGACUUUAAAAAAGCCAUAAUAGGUAGGUAUGGUGGCUGUUUUGAGGGAGGCUAAAGGUGGGUUUUGUGCACCGGCGAAAGUUGCACGGCACUAAGAAGAUAGUGAUGGUGGAAGGUGAAAGUGCAUCUAAACCACGGACUCAACAUUAGUCAUGAAGAACUCAUAUACUUGUUGCAGAAGUUUUAUUAGUAAUCAAAACAAAGCAUUCAACGCAUACUCCUAGGGGAAGGGUUGGUAGGUAUAAACCAUCGCGCGAUCUCGACCGCCACACAAAGGAUGACAAUCAAUAGACUAAUCAUGCCAGACUUCAUCACAUAGCGGUUCACCAUACGUGCAUGCUACGGGAAUCACUAACUUCAACACAAUUAUUUCUAAAUUCACAACACCUUACUAGCAUGACUUCAAUAUUACCAAGACCACAACUCAAAACUAAUUGAGAUGAAUCAAACUUCUCUAACUAUUCAAUGCACAUGAAGGUGGAAGUUUUCGUAUCCCUUUGGAUAACAACCCCUUUUGAGACUACUUUCAAAGCAUAGAUCAACUACCAAGCCACGCACCACUGUGCUCUAAAAGAUAAAAGUGAAGCACAUAGAGCAAAAGUAUCUAGCUCAAAAGAUAUAAGUGAAGCACAUGUGAGCAGAAUUGUCUACCAAAAGAUAUAAGUCAGGCUCGACAAAAUCACGGUGAGUGCAUGUCUCUCCCUCUAGGUGUGCAGAAAGGAUGAUUGUGACACAACAAAAAAAUAAAAGACUCCUACGAUACAAGACACUCCAAGCAAAAACACAUAACAUGUGGUGAAUAAAAAUAUAGCCCCAAGUAACGUUACCGAUGGAUUGAAGACGAGAGAGGGGAUGCCUUCCCGGGGCAUCCCCAAGCUUAGGCUUUUACGGCAUCCUUGAAUCUAUUUGGGUGCCUUGGGCAUCCCCAAGCUUGAGCUCUUGCCACUCUUUAUCUCUUUGUCCAUCAGAACUUCACCCAAAACUUGAAAACUUCACAACACGAAACUUAAACAGAAACUCGUGAUAACAUUAGUAUGAGAAAGCAAACCACCACUUCCUUAGGUACUGUAGCAAACUUAAAUUCUACUUAUGCUGAUGUUGGGUUACUGUAUUUUCAAUCUUCCAUGGCUAAUACCCCCCCCCCCCGAUACUAUCCAUAGUUUCAUCAAAAUAAGCAACCAACACAACAAAAAACAGAAUCUGUUAACAGCAGACCAGUCUGUAGCAAUCUGUAUAUUUCGUAUACUUCAGUUACUUCAAAACUUCUGAAAAAUUACGACCGGCUAAAGAAUUUGCGUAAAUCAUAAGCAAAAAGAAUCAACUCAAAAGCUCGUACAGAAACAAAAUGAAAAUUCUUUUCGUGAGCAGAAAGUUCCUGUCUUUUCCAGCAUGACCAAACGAUCAUCCCUAAGACUAAUCAUAACGGUUUUGCUUGUCACAAACGCAAAAAGAAACACAAAAAACACAAUCAUAACAGAAUUAUGAAAGUGUGGAAAAGACAAAACAGAAAGAAAAAGGAUAGAUUCGUUGGGUUGCCUCCCAACAAGCGCUAUUGUUUAACGCCCUUAGCUAGGCAUUGAUAAAUCAAUGAUGCUCUCACAAAAGACAAGAAUAGAAGCAGAACGAGAGCAUCAUAAAGCAUGUGAAAAUCACAUCAAAGUCUAACAUACUUCCUAUGCAUAGGCAUUUUAUAGGAGAACAAAUUGGCAAGACAACCAAUAGUUACCAAAUGCAAGGAAGAAGAAAGAGACAAGAGCAAUCUCAACAUCACGAGAGGUGAUUUGGUAACAUGAAGGUUUCUACCACAAUAUUUUCCUCUCUCAUAGCAAUUACACGUGGGAUCAUAUUCAAAUUCAACAAUAUAGUUAUCCCAUAGGAUAUUCUUUUCAUGAUCCACAUGCAUGCAAAGUUGAUGCUCUUCAACAANNNNNNNNNNNNNNNNNGAUCCACAUGCAUGCAAAGUUGAAGCUCUUCAAAAAUAGUGGGAUUAUCAUCAACUAAAGUCAUGACUUCUCCAAUCCCACUUUUAAUAUUGUUACAAAUAUCAUAUUCAUCAUGAGGUUUGAACAAAUUUUCUAGAUCAUAAGAAAGAUCAUCACCCCAAUAAUGAUUAUUGCACCAAGUAGUGGACAUAGCAAAACUAGCAUCCCCAAGCUAAGGGUUUUGCAUAUUUUUAGCAUAAUUGCCACUAAUAGAAUUUAUAGUGAAACCAUUGCAAUCAUGCUUUUCAUCCAAGGAGCCCUCGUGAAUCACUUCAUAAAUUUCUUCCUCGCAAUUUUCAGAUUCAUGCAUCUCAAGCAAAACUCCAUAAAAAUAGUCAAGUGCCCUCAACUUACUAGCAAUUGGAUCAACAUAAUUGGAUCUCUUAAAGAGAUUAGCAAGUGGGUGAGGAUCCAUAUCACUAGAUUUUCAGCAAGCGAAGAUGCAAGCAUAAUGAAGGCACAUGGAACACAAGCGAACAGAAAGCAAGCGAGAGAAAAGGGUGAACGAAAAGGCAAACGAAAAAGGCAAAGGAGAAAGGCAAAUGAAAGCGGCAAAUGUGAAGUGGGGGAGAGGAAAACGAGAGGCAACUUGCAAAAAAGGUAAAUGCAAGAGAUGAGUUUGUGAGACCUACUUGGAUAGAUCUCUCCUUCCCCGGCAACGGCGCCAGAAAUACUUCUGCUACUGCAACAAAAGACCUUCCAACGGCGCCAGAAAUAGGAGUGUUGAUGGGAGAUCUUGUCUUGAUACUCCUCAGCGACGGCACCAGGAAUCCUUCUGCUACGGCUACGCCUUAAGGGACUUCCUAGGCAAAUAUGCAAUGGAUUUCCCCCGUGGCCUUGGAGCUUUGCAUUGGUGUUCCCUCGAAGCGUAAAGGGUGAUGUAGCGCAGCGGUGGUAAGUAUUUCCCUCAGUUUGAGAACCAACGUAUCGAUCCAGUGAAGGAGUAUCUCAAGUGCCUGCACAAACAUAAAAAGCUUGCUCCCAACGCUAUGAAGGGGUUGUCAAUCCCUUAUAGAUUGUUCGCCAAGUGAGAACUGAAAGCAAAAAAGUAACAAAGCAAAGUAAAAGCGAAGGUGGAACGAUAUGUGUGAAUAGACCCGGGGGCCGUAGUGUUUACUAGUGGAUUCUCUCAUGAAAGCAAGUAGACGGUGGGUGAACAAAUUACUGUCGAGCAAUUGAUAUAACCGCGCAAAGUCGUGGCGUCAUCUAUGGCAAUGAUUAUAUCUAUAGGCAUCAUGUCCAAAACAAGUAGACCAAUACUUUCUGCAUCUACUACUAUUACUCCACACGUCGACCGCUAUCCAGCAUGCAUCUAGUGUAUUAAGUCCAAAAGAACAGAGUAACGCCUUAAGCAAGAUGACAUGAUGUAGAUGGACAAUAUCAUAUCUACGACAAAGCCCACCUUGUUACCCUUGAUGGCAACUACACAAUGUGUGCCUUGUUGCCCCUACUGUCACUAGGAAAGGUCACCACACAGUAAGAACCCAAAACCAAGCACUUCUCCAAUUGCAAGAAUCAUAGAUCUAGUUGGCCAAACAAAACCCAAGACUCGGAGAAACUUACAAGGAUAUCAAAUCAUGCAUAUAAGAAAUCAGCAAAGACUCAAAUAUAUAUCAUAGAUAAUCUGAUCACAAAUCCACAAUUCAUCAGAUCUUGACAAACACACCGCCAAAGAGGAUUACAUCGGAUAGAUCUCCAUGAAGAUCAUGGAGAACUUUGUAUUGAAGAUCCAAGAGAGAGAGAGACGAAGCCAUCUAGCUACUAACUACGGACCCGUAGGUCUGAAGUGAACUACUCACGAGUCAUUGGAGGGGCGAUGAUGUUGAUGUAGAAGCCCUCCAACUCCAAAGUCCCCUCCGGCAGGGCACCGAGAAGGGUCUCCAGAUGAGAUCUUACGGAAACGGAAGCUUGCGGCGUCGGAAAAUUAUUUUCGUGGAUCCUUGAUUUUUUUCUGUAUUUUAGGGAAUAUAUAGGCGAAGGAUCUAGGUCAGGGGGCGCCAGGGAGGCCAGAAGCCUGCCCACCGCCGCCCCCUUGGUGGCGGAUGGGGGGCUUGUGGGCUCCCUGUAGCCCUCCUGGCUUGGCCCACAAGCCCCCUGAGCUUCUUCCGUUCGGGAAAAAUUUAAUUCGGGGAUUUUAUUCCGUUUGGACUCCGUUCCAAAAUCAGAUAUGAAAAGAGCCUCUUCUUCCGUUCGGGAAAAUUUUAAUUCAGGGAUUUUAUUCCGUUUGGAAUCCGUUCCAAAAUCAGAUCUGAAAAGAGCCAAAAACUAAGAAAAAACAGGAACUGGCACUUGGCACUGAAUUAAUAAGUUAGUCCCAAAAAAGAUAUAAAAGGUACAUAAAGCAUCCAAGGAUGACAAGAUAAUAGCAUGAAACCAUCAAAAAUUAUAGAUACGUUCGAGACGUAUCAGCCGUCAACAACAUUCUUCUAGUUUCGGUUGCCACAGAGUGCUAGCAGCAUUCUUUUGGUGCCGUUGCAGGGGAAGGUCUGCUGUCACGGAAUCAGCAUUUUUCUGGCGCCGUUGCUGGGGAGGUCUUGCUAUAUUCUCUGAGUUACUUGGGAUUUAUAUCUCCUGAUCACUAUGAAGAAUCUGAAGGAUCCGAAAACCAAAGUCUUGCCCUCAACUAUGAGGGGACGUAAGGAACAGCCAUCUAGCUCUGCACUUGAUUCACCUUCAGUUAUGAGUAAGUUUGCGACAUCACCUCGUGCUAGAAAUCAUGAUAUGUCGCCUGUGCUUGAUGAUGCUUAUGAUGCUUGAGUUGCUAUGCCUGAUACUGCUAGAGAUGCUAUGCUUGAUACUAUGCCUGAUGAUGUUAUGCUUGAUACCGCUAGAGAUGCUAUGCGUGAUACUGCUUUGCUUGAUGGUGCUAGAGAUGCUAUGCCUGAUACUGCUAGAGAUGCUAUGCCUGAUGAUACAAUGCUUGAUACUCCUAGAGAUGCUACUUUUCCUGAUAUGCCACUAGGGGUAUUCCUUGAUGCUCAUAUUGCUAGAGUUACUGCCAAUGCUCGUGAUGCUUCUGAAACUGCCGAUACUAUUGAGUUAGAACAUGCUUUUGCUCCUGUUAGAUCUAGCUCUCCUAGAUAUGAAUUGCCUGAUAUACCUGAGGGUUAUGUUAUGGAGGGACAGAUAGCUGAGGAUUUUCUUGCGUGUAAGGAUGCCUAUGACGCUGAGAAAUUACUUCUCAAGUGGAAGGAAAAAUCUCUGAAAGCUAGGAUGAAAUACGACCCGAAGUUUGCCACUUCACCUAUCUUUAUCACCGAUAAGGAUNNNNNNNNNNNNNNNNNNNNNNNNNNNNNNNNNNNNNNNNNNNNNNNNNNNNNNNNNNNNNNNNNNNNNNNNNNNNNNNNNNNNNNNNNNNNNNNNNNNNUAUAUAUAUAUAUAUUUGACAUCACAUUUAUAUAAUUCACCACACAUAUAUGAUAUAUAGUUCACCACACAUAUACUUGCCAACACAUAUAUAUAAUUCACCACACAUAUAUGAUAUACAUAUAAAUCAAUGUACAUCCCCAUAUAUCGAAAGAAUCAACAUACAAAGUAUUGCACUGUUUAUCCAUAUAUACAUAUACAUAUAGUUCGACAUUGUUCAUCAACUCAAAUGAAAACUAGAUGAUAUACAUAUAAAGUUCAUCCAUCAACAUUGUUCAACUCCAUGAAUGCCAGCUUCCAUGCAUGUAGUAUAUCCAAUCUGCAAAAAUGUGAAUAAGAAAGUCAGAAGAAAAACAAAAUAUGAUGUUUUUCAGCUAAUUAUGUCAUUUUUAGCGGAAAACAAGCUAAGAAUAUAAUAUUCAUGAGCUAACCAAGGUUCUUAUGCCAUUUUUAGCUUAUUAUAGCAUUUUGGAGCUAAAUGGGUUAAUUAAAGCAAGGAUAAUAUGAAAGAGGAUAAGAAAGAGGAGGAGGAGGAGAAGAAGAAGAAAUCAAGAAGAAGGAGGAGAAGGAGGAUAAGGACUAGAAGGUCCUUGGCCUUCUCCUCCUCCUCCUCCUUCUCCUUCUUCUCUUCUUCUUCUUCUUCUUCUUCUUCUUUCUUUUCAUUUUGCCUAUUUCUUCUCCUCUUCUCCUCUUGUUGGAGCUAAAUUACCUAAUUAUGUCUUUUUGGAGCUAAAUGGGUUAAUUAUCCCAUUUUAGAGGAAAACAAGCUAAGUAUAUAAUAUUCAUGAGCUAACCAAGGUUCUUAUGCCAUUUUGAGCUUAUUAUGGUAUUUUGGAGCUAAAUGGGCUAAUUAUGUCAUUGUUGGGGAAAUUAAAGCAAGGAUAAUAUGAAAGAGGAGAAGAAAGAGGAGGAGGAGGAGAAGAAGAAUAAAUCAAGAAGAAGGAGGAGAAGGAGGAGGAGGAGAAGGAAUAGAAGGUCCUUGGCCUUCUCCUUCUCCUCCUCCUCCUCCUCCUUCUCCUUCUUCUCUUCUUCUUCUUCUUCUUCUUCUUCUUCUUCUUUCUUUUCAUUUUUCCUAUUUCUUUUCCUCUUCUCCUCUUGUUGGAGCUAAAUUACCUAAUUAUGUCUUUUUCGAGCUAAAUGGGUUAAUUAUCCCAUUUUAGAGGAAAACAAGCUAAGUAUAUAAUAUUCAUGAUCUAACCAAGGUUCUUAUGCUAUUUUGAGCAUAUUAUGGUAUUUUGGAGCUAAAUGGGCUAACUAUGUCAUUGUUGGGGAAAUUAAAGCAAGGAUAAUAUGAAAGAGGAGAAGAAAGAGGAGGAGGAGGAGAAGAAGAAGAAAUCAAGAAGAAGGAGGAGAAGGAGGAGGAGGAGAAGGACUAGAAGGUCCUUGGCCUUCUCCUUCUCCUCCUCCUCCUCCUCCUUCUCCUUCUCUUCUUCUGCUUCUUCUUCUUCUUUCUUUUCAUUUUUCCUAUUUCUUAUCCUCUUAUCCUCUUGUUGGAGCUAAAUUACCUAAUUAUGUCUUUUUGGAGCGAAAUGGGCUAAUUAUCCCAUUUUAGAGGAAAACAAGCUAAGUAUAUAAUAUUCAUGAGGUAACCAAGGUUCUUAUGCCAUUUUGAGAUUAUUAUGGUAUUUUGGAGCUAAAUGGGCUAAUUAUGUCAUUGUUGGGGAAAUUAAAGCAAGGAUAAUAUGAAAGAGGAGAAGAAAGAGGAGGAGGAGGAGAAGAAGAAUAAAUCAAGAAGAAGGAGGAGAAGGAGGAGGAGGAGAAGGAAUAGAAGGUCCUUGGCCUUCUCCUUCUCCUCCUCCUCCUCCUCCUUCUCCUUCUUCUCUUCUUCUUCUUCUUCUUCUUUCUUUUCAUUUUUCCUAUUUCUUCCCCUCUUCUCCUCUUGUUGGAGCUAAAUUACCUAAUUAUGUGUUUUUGGAGAUAAAUGGGCUAAUUAUCCCAUUUUAGAGGAAAACAAGCUAAGUAUAUAAUAUUCAUGAGCUAACCAAGGUUCUUAUGCCAUUUUGAGCUUAUUAUGGCAUUUUGGAGCUAAAUGGGCUAAUUAUGUCAUUGUUGGGGAAAUUAAAGCAAGGAUAAUAUGAAAGAGGAUAAGAAAGAGGAGGAGGAGGAGAAGAAGAAGAAAUCAAGAAGGAGGAGGAGGAGGAGGAGGAGGAGGAGGAGGAGGAGGAGGAGAAGGAGGAGAAGGCCAAGGACCUUCUAGUCCUUCUCCUCCUCCUCCUUCUGCUCCUUCUUCUUGAUUUCUUCUUCUUAUACUUCCUCCUCCUCCUUCUCCUUCUUCUCUUCUUCUUCUUCUUCUUCUUCUUCUUCUUUCUUCUCAUUUUUCCUAUUUCUUCUCCUCUUCUCCUCUUGUUGGAGCUAAAUUACCUAACUAUGUCUUUUUGGAGCUAAAUGGGCUAAUUAUCCCAUUUGAGAGGAAAACAAGCUAAGUAUAUAAUAUUCAUGAGCUAACCAAGGUUCUUAUGCCAUUUUGAGCUUAUUAUGGCAUUUUGGAGCUAAAUGGGCUAAUUAUGUCAUUGUUGGGGAAAUUAAAGCAAGGAUAAUAUGAAAGAGGAUAAGAAAGAGGAGGAGGAGGAGAAGAAGAAGAAAUCAAGAAGAAGGAGGAGAAGGAGGAUAAGGACUAGAAGGUCCUUGGCCUUCUCCUCCUUCUACUCCUCCUCCUCCUCCUUCUCCUCCUUCUCCUUCUUGUCUUAUUCUUCUUCUUCUUUCUUUUCAUUUUUCCUAUUUAUUCUCCUCUUCUUGGAGCUAAAUUACCUAAUUAUGUCUUUUUGGAGCUAAAUGGGCUAAUUAUCUCAUUUUAGAGGGAAACAAGCUAAGUAUAUAAUAUUCAUGAGCUAACCAAGGUUCUUAUGCCAUUUUGAGGUUAUUAUGGAGAAGAAAGAGGAGGAGGAGAAGAAUAAGAAAUCAAGAAUAAGGAGGAGAAGGAGGAGAAGGCGGAGGACGAGAAGGACUAGAAGGUCCUUGACCUUCUCCUCCUCCUCCUCCUCCUUCUCCUUCUUCUCUUCUUCUUCUUCUUCUUUCUUGUCAUUUUUCCUAUUUCUUCUCCUCUUCUCCUCUUCACCUCUUCUUGGAGCUAAAUUUCCUAAUUAUGUCUUUUUGGAGCUAAAUGGGCUAAUUAUCUCAUUUUAGACGAAAACAAGCUAAGUAUAUAAUAUUCAUGAGCUAACCAAGGUUCUUAUGCCAUUUUGAGCUUAUUAUGGCAUUUUGGAGCUAAAUGGGCUAAUUAUGUCUUUUUGGGGAAAUUAAAGCAAGGAUAAUAUAAAAGAGGAGAAGAAAGAGGAGGAGGAGGAUAAGAAGAAGAAAUCAAGAAGAAGGAGCAGAAGGAGGAGGAGGAGAAGGACUAGAAGGUCCUUGGCCUUCUCCUCCUUCUCCUCCUCCUCCUCCUCCUCCUCCUCCUUCUCCUUCUUCUCUUCUCCUUCUUCUUCUUUCUUUUCAUUUUUCCUAUUUCUUCUCCUCUUCUCCUCUUCUUGGAGCUAAAUUACCUAAUUAUGUCCUUUUGGAGCUAAAUGGGCUAAAUAUCUCAUUUUAGAGGAAAACAAGCUAAGUAUAUAAUAUUCAUGAGCUAACCAAGGUUCUUUUGCCAUUUUGAGGUUAUUAUGGAAUUUUGGAGCUAAAUGGGCUAAUUAUGUCUUUUUGGGAAAUUAAAGCAAGGAUAAUAUGAAAGAGGAGAAGAGAAACUUACUGUAGUGGUCAUCAAGGAGGAGAAACACCACGGUUGCUCGCGGCGGCUUCGUUUGGAGACGGUUGCCUUGGAGAAGGGUCGUGCGAUGCCGCUCGGGACUUAUUCUGCAGAAAAGAUAUUUUUGCAAUGUCUCAGUUAGCAUGAUGACACUCAAUUAUUAAUACUAGUUUAUAAUUAAACUCACCGUGCCAAUCAAAGAGAAGACGGGCAUCGGGGGUGGGACUUGACCGCUCUNNNNNNNNNNNNNNNNNNNNNNNNNNNNNNNNNNNNNNNNNNNNNNNNNNNNNCUUCUCGCACAGACCCUCAAGAGUGGGUCGUAUUAGUUAGUAAUGAAACAGACAUUACACACAUGGUUUGGCUAAUGUGAAAAAAAACCACAAAAAGCUCGUACAGGGCCCGUUGACCCGCCUCAUUCCGGGCCCUCUCCUCCUCAAUCAAUCGUGUCGUGGUCUGGUCCCUCUCAUCAAGAGCAGCCUGAAGAGCAGCCUGGCUUGCCAAUCUCUCUUUCUCAAGAGCAGCCUGGUUUGCCGCUCUCUCUUUCUGAAGAGAAGCCUGAAAAACCAUUCUUCGUUACCACACUAAUGAUCUAUGGUGACACACAUAAUGAAAUGGAUGAAAGUGUUCUUAGUCCGUACAACUAACCUUGAUGGCAAGUUCGACUGGCUGUGGACAACGCGUUAUCUCAGGACAGCUGCUCGACUGGCGCGGCUUGAUCUUCGGAAGAGUGAGUGGACAAUGUAUUAUCCCAUCUCCAAUGGCUAUCGAGCCAUGGGGCCUCCCGCCACCAGAUAUCAUCACCAGCUCUGGAUCCAAAGGUUCCUGGCUAGGGUUAAAGUCAUCCCCUUUCGUAGCCUUCCCCGCGUCCCAGUAUGCCACGAGCUUCUGGUGGGAUGAUAUGUUGGUGAAGUUAUUGGGAUCAUCUAGGUCAGACUCAGAGAAUGCCUUCGCCUUCUUGUACGAGGCAGUAUGGGCCAUGCCAUAAAGGUCAUACAAGUGUGGCAUCUCCGUCUUAUUGUGAUGCGCCUAAAAGAGAGGAACAAAAUAUUAGCAUCAAGAAUGAACUGCAUAAAUCAUGAAGCAAAUCACAUACCCAAUUUCAUCCAAACUGAAGUAAGUUGGCGCUGCCUUGAUGAUGUGGCACACCAACCAUUUGGCUAUGCCGAUCCUUCGCAUUCUCGUGGACGGCUCGCCAGCUGCCUGUGCACAACUCAUCAACCAAUGCCUCCCAACAAUCCAUCUUAUCCGCACACCAUCUCGGGGGCACCUAUAAUUAUUAGAAAGAAUUUUCAGCGCUACGCCUAUGAAUGAAAUCAAGAAAACUACGUAUAAGGACUUAAGAAUAGGUAAUUACCUUCAUGUAUUGCUCCUUCUUCAGAAACUUUCCGCGACAAUCCUUCUUCUGCUUCUUAAUACCACGCGUGGCGUAGUAAUCUCGAAUAGCCUGUGGCCGAGCCUCGUGGCGCAAGUUCUGUAGUAACCGCCUACACUCAGCCUCGAGAACCUUGGCCUCCUCGUCCUCAUAUCCAUCCUCACACCUAUAGAAGGUCUGCAAUCAAACAUGAAAACACCGAUUAGUACAAUAAUUAGCUAUAUUGUUAAUUUUAGAUUCUGUAAAAGGAUAAUUUACCCAAAAGCUCUUGAUCACCAUCUCGGCCCUCGUGUGGCACAAGACACCAUGUAUAAUCUCCUCCGACGGGGCCUGCGCAGCCUGGUAGUGCUCCCAGGAAAAUCCUAGUGUAGGAACCUAACCCUCACCAGGCAAUGUGACAAACCCCGGGAAAUUUGUCCGGCAAAGCACACCAAGGACGGAGUUCGGCAUGCGGACUCAAGAGGGUGUACCCAUCCCCUGCAGCAUGAUAAGGUCAACGCAUUAGAGAUUUGAACAAACUUGAAGGCAAAAGCUAAAAAAAGAGUAAAUGUACUUACCUAUCUCCUUCAGGUUUAAUCAACGGCCUCUUCUCGCGGGUAGCCGGCGCGACCGGGAGACGUGUACUACCACGCUUGUACACGGUGGCCCCAUCCACCUGCACAUCGCCCUCACUAUCCGUAAGCUCAUCCCCGCCAUCCCCGCCCCCUGAGCCACCCGGACCCUCGGUCCAAUCCGGCAACUCGGUACGAUCCGGCCAGGUCUCCCAUCCGGGCCUCUCCACGUCGGGUGAAGCCUCCGGAACCGUAAUCUCCUCCGACUGCUCCUGGGCCGAAUGCACCUCAACCCGAGGCUUCUCCUAGAUCGGAGUCUCAUGGGACGAAUGCCCGUCAACAACAGGCUCCUGGAACGGAGUCCCCGUAGCCUCCUCCGCAAACGGGUCGACCAUACUAGUCCUAUGCUCGGGUGAAUGAGCUGGUGGCGGUGGCGAGGACGGCUCAAUAGUCCUCCUGGAUCUUCCGCGGCCACCACCUCUCCCUGUACCCUUCCCCUUCUUCCCUACCCGACCAGCACCUCUCCUAGUGGGCAAUGCCGCUGACGAAGAAGAACCCACGGGUGGUGUCGACAGACUGCCUGCCAAGGCUCUACGGAGAGAUAGGGGUGGAAGGGAAGUACCACCCCUCGUGCGGGGCGCGUGGGAAGAACCCGUCGAGCAAUCCGGACCUGCGCCCACCAUCUUUCCACACCUGGUGACCUGCCAUGAUAAAGAUUAAAAGAAAUUAGUACAACACAAAAAAAUUGAAUAACUGACAUGAAUAAUAAUAUGUACAUGAAUAAUAAAGAUUAAAAAAUAUAUAAUUUAAGUUGUGAAUCUUACAAAUUAAUAAUCAUCAUCAAUAAAUGCAUCAUCAUCAUCACUAUCACGCAUGUCUUCAUGAAUGACGUGCUCGUCGGGUUCAACCGCGUGAAGUUGUGAAAGGCCUUCCUUUAAUCGUUGAAGCAUUGACAAGUCAUCUGCAUCAGUAACCUUUACGAGUUCCAGGUCUUCUGGUUCUGGCUCAGGGCUGGAGUCGGAUUCAUUGUCGCUGUCUACUUCCAUGUUCUGGGGUGAAGCACGGCGGUUCUUGAAACGUUUCUUGGAAAGACGUGUUUCUUGGAAGAAUUCUCCAUCAUAUGUGUUUGGGUUAAUGUGAGGUUCAUAAUCCUGUUCAUUUGGGACAGGUGGUCUGACAUGUGGUGGCACUUCAUAAACAACAUACCAACCUUCCAGAUUCUUAUCCGUUUGGCAUGCCCACGGUAGAUAGAAAACUUGGGUCACCUGUUGAGCCGUAAUAUAGACAUUGGGAACAUCUAAAUGGGUGUUUGGAUUGAUUUCGACUAGUCCUAUAUGUUCAUGAGUCCUUCUAGUCUUUUUCGGCUCGAACCAAUAACAUUUGAAGACUACCACUUUCGGUAGGUUUUCACCAUAGAAUUGAAGUUCAUAAAUUGCUUCACUUCUUCCAUAAUACUCGAUAACACCUUCGCCGAUAGCAGAGGCACCACAAUUUGUAGAUUUCCGGUCGGGCAUAGAUAGCUCUUUGCCAAAGGUACGAAAGAGAUACCCAUUGAUGUUGUAUUUCUCAAAUGAACGGACCUUAUAGUCAAAACCAUUAGCGACUUGUCUCAAUUCGGCGUCCAUAGACUCUGAAUUAGCCUACAAGUUUAAUACGAAACGGUUGUUGCAUUAGCCGCAAGUUAGACCAAGAAUGAAAUGGUCCAUUAUUGAUAAUUACCGUUUGUUUGAACCAAGAGAUGAAACCGGGAUAGCCGCCUCCUGUCUUUGACAGAACCUCAUACUCUUUGACAGAAUCAUUUUCGAUCACCACUUCAUCCGAGAAUUUGACGAUGUAACGGCUGUUUGAAAUAUCCGGGAAUAAGAGCAGUUCAAAUGAAUUAGAAGUUAUGGGAAAAUGUGCCGAGAACUCACUCGAUGUACGGCCGCACUUCUGUUAGGUUGUUGAAGAUAUACAACGAAAUGUUCCGCCAUUCUUCGACAUCCAACGUUAUUGGUUUCGAAGCACCGGCUCGUGCGAGCUUCCCUUUGAAUAGGCUGAGGUUGGACCCACCUUUUUUAGAGUCUGCAUCAUUGUGCCGAGGCUUCGGAUUAUGCAAAUGACGAUUUUUGGCUUCGUAGUGUGUUGUCACAAAGUUUGACACCUCCUCAGUUAUGAAUGCCUCAGCCAUCGAUGCUUCAAUUCUAUGCUUAUUUUUACAUUUAGCUCGAAGGGUCUUCUGCAUCCUCUCAGUUGCAUAGCACCAACGAUCUUGCAUGGGCCCACCCAAUCUUGCCUCGGUCGGUAGAUGUAAAAUCAAAUUUUGCAUUGGAUUAAAGAAGCCCGGUGGAAAGAUCUUCUCUAACUUGCACAAAAACUCCGGUGCAAACUCCUACAUGUCUUCUACCACGCCAGGCGACAAUUCUUUCGCACAAAGAACACGGAAGAAAUAGCUCAGCUCCACCAGUACUAGCCAUUCAUCCUCAGGAAUAAAGCCACGUAACAUCACCGGCAUUACCCGCUCUAGCCAUAUGUGCCAAUCAUGACUCUUGAGACCAAAGAUUUUUAAUUUUUCAAGACUCGCUCCCCUCUUUAGAUUCGCUGCAUACCCAUCGGGGAACAUCAAGUGCAUUUUGACCCACAAGAUAAUUUCUCUCAUAGCUGGCCUUCCAAGAUUGAACCAGGCCUUUGGCUUCGACCACUUCUGCUUUCCUUUGCCUUCUCGCAUGUUUUGUAACGGUCUAUGACAUAGUGUCUAUUGAUCGACUCUAGCCUUAAUAUUAUCCUUUGUCUUCCCAUCUAUGUCGAACAAUGUACCAAAAAUAGCCUCUCCGAUAUUCUUUUCAGUGUGCAUCAUGUCGAUAUUGUGUGGAAGAAGGAGGUCUUUGAAGUAAGGCAGAUCCCAGAAGCAUGGCUUGUGAGUCCAGGCGUGUUUUGAAUUAUACCCCUUGAAAUACCCUGGACGCUCUGGAUCAGGCUCGAGGGCGUUUAACUGAUCCAGGAUCUGUUGGCCUGUGAACGCAAGUGGUGCCAAGUUUUUGGCAACUUUACCUUUCGUAAAGUUCUUCUUGUCUUUUCUGAACUGAUGGUCAGGAUCCAGGAACUGUCUAUGCAAGUCAAAGCAAGAAUACUUCCGACCUUCCUGCAACCAAUGAAACUGAAGAGCUGCCUUGCAUUGGGGGCACGGGAACCUUCCAUGCACACACCAUCCAGAGAAUAGUGCAUACGCUGGCAAGUCAUGCAUAGAGUACAUGUACCACACAUGCAUUUUGAAGUUUUCUUUUCUAGCGGCAUCGUAUGUCUUUACCCCAUUAUCCCAAGCUUCUUCCAAUUCAUACUUAAGCGGUUGCAGGUACACAUUCAUAUUCUUCCCCGGAUAAUUGGGCCUGGAAUUAUCAACGUCAGAAAUAUGUUCUUUCUUUGCAUAAUCUGCCCGGGGGGGGGGGAGAUUGAGUGGAAUGACAAAUACAGGCCAACAACUGUAUUGGGUUGCCGUCAUGCCGAAGGGAUUAAAACCAUUAGUGGCGGCGCAGACUCGAGGAUUCCUUGGAUCUGCUGCUUUAUCCUGAUGCAAUCCAUCGAAAUGUUUCCACGCUUCCCCAUCCGAUGUGUGUACCAUCAUCUUAUUCCCAUCCGCAUCUAGUUCGGUUCUUUUGCCCAAUUUGUGCCAUGUCAUCUGUCUGGUUGUCUCUUCGACCAUGAAAAGACGUUGAAGUCUUGGUACGAUUGGCAUAUACUGAAGAACACUAACUGCGAUUUUGGUCUGCCUCUUCUCACCCAUACCGUUGUCUACCACAAGAUACCUGCAAGACUCGCAAUUGGGACAAUAGUCCAAGUGUGCAUACUUCUUCCUAAAUAAGACACAUCCUUUCUCACAUGCAUCUAUCUUCUCAUAGGGCAUCUUAAGUACACGAAGUAUUUUGUCCGACUGGUAUAGGUUUGCAGGCAUGACAGGGCCUUUGGGUAGGAAACGUCCAAAUAGUGUCAUCAUCGCGUCGUAGCAUUCUCUUCCCAAGUUGAAGUGAGCCUUCAGAGCCAUUACUUGUGCAAUUGCAUCCAGCUGACAGAGCUCAGUGUGCUCAUGGAGAGGACGUUUUGAAGACUCCAACAUUUCAUAAAAGGCCUUUGCAGAUUCCUCCAUCUUAUCUUUCGAAUCUCGAGCAUCAUCAAAGUCUUGCACCAUGUCUUCGAUCCCGGUACCAUGCUCGUCCGUGCGACGACGGACCACCUCAGCUCUUGUGUGUUGUAUAGACUUACCAUGAAAUGUCCACACCGUAUAAUUAGGCUUAAAACCCCUCCUCUGCAGGUGUUUAAUCAUUACAACCUCUGUCGUCUUUUUAUAGUUGUCGCAUCCAGGACAGGGGCAAUAGUUUCUUUCCUGGCCAUUUGCGAAUGCGGCUUUCACAAAUUCCUUUGUUUUUACAAACCAUUCUUUCGUCAUCUCUUUCUGACUAAAGUGACCGGUAUACAUCCACGCACGAUCACUCAUCUUGCGUAGCUACUAAAGACAGAAGAAAUAUAUUUAUAUAUAAUUUAGCAUUUAUAUUCAUCGGUUAAUCAGGUUCGCCAUUUUUAUUACGUCCAGGCAACCUACACGCUAAUAGGUAAAGAUAGGUCCUAAUCCCACCCGAGUAUGUGUAAAUUGGGUUCGUUUUCCCAUGCUCUGCUCUGGAUCCAACGCAAAAUUUCGGCAGCACCUCCCCGCUGUUCUCCUGAUACACGUCUCCGCAAUAAACAGAGAGGAUGUGCAUCCGGAGAACAACAGGGAGGCACUGACGAAAUUCCGCAUCGGAUCCAGAGCACAACAUACGGGAAAACGAACCCAAUCUACACAUACUCGGGUUGUCCAUGGAUAAUGUUGGACAAUUCGAAAGGAUGGCGGUUAUAAAUAUGCAAAGACAUGCAUAUUUAUAGAUGUCGCCCUUUCGAACAGGAUACGCAUACUGGUCACGCAUACUCAUGAUUGAAGAAACCUAUAUAUAGCUAGCAAGUUUCAUCGGCACGAAGACCGGGACAGAGCAAAUUAAUGGGGUAGGAGGAGAAGUCAUUUGUGAUCACCAACAAACGUAGGGGCGGAGCUCGUCCAACGCACGUGGAGGUCGUCGAACAACUGCACAUUGAAAUUCACCUGAUCAACACAAAUAUGAUGUUUUUAUAAGAUGAUCAAAAAAUAUGUGACCUAACCCUUAUUUUCUUUUUUUUGUUUUUUCCUCUUAUUCUUCUUCUUCUUCUUCUUCUUCUUCUUAUUUUCUUAUUUUCUUUUUUCCUCUUAUUCUUCUUCUCCUUCUUCUUAUUUUCUUCUCUUCUUCUUCCUCUUCUUCUUCUUAUUCUUCUUUUUAUUCUUAUUUUCUUUUUUCUUUUUCCUCUUAUUCUUCUUCUCCUUCUUCUUCUUUUCUUUUUCUCUUCUUUUUCUUCUUCUUCUUAUUUUCUUUUUUCUUUUUUCCUCUUAUUCUUCUUCUCCUUCUUCUUGUUUUCUUCUUCUCUUCUUCUUCUUCUUCUUCGUCUUCUUAUUUUCUUUUUUCCUCUUAUUGCCGAUUGACUCUGAGAGCGAUCGAGGGGUCGCGGCUUCUCUUCCUCUCCUAUUUUUCUUCUUCUUCUUCUUUCUUCUCCUUCCCUUCCUUUUCCUUCUUCUUCUGAUUUUUUCUUCUCCUUUAUCCUUCUUCUUCUUCUCUUUUCUCCUUCUUCUUCUUCUCCUUUCUCCUUCUUCUUCUUCUCCUUUCUCCUUCUUCUUCUUCUCCUUUCUCCUUCUUCUUCUUCUCCUUUCUCCUUCUUCUUCUUCUCCUUUCUCCUUCUUCUUCUUCUCCUUUCUCCUUCUUCUUCUUCUCCUUUCUCCUUCUUCUUCUUCUCCUUUCUCCUUCUUCUUCUUCUCCUUUCUCCUUCUUCUUCUUCUCCUUUCUCCUUCUUCUUCUUCUCCUUUCUCCUUCUUCUUCUUCUCCUUUCUCCUUCUUCUUCUUCUCCUUUCUCCUUCUUCUUCUUCUCCUUUUCUCCUUUAUUAAACAGGAAACUAACCUAAAUAAACCUAAACUUAAACUGAACCUAAACUAAACUAAAACUAAGCCAAAACCUCAGUAAAACUUAUAACUAAUUAAACAAAAACUAUUAAAAAAAGAAGAAAGAAAACUAACCAGGGGAGGAGGGCCGUAGGGGGAGGAGAGGCCGCAGGGGGAGGAGGGCAGCAGUGGGAGNNNNNNNNNNNNNNNNNNNNNNNNNNNNNNNNNNNNNNNNNNNNNNNNNNNNNNNNNNNNNNNNNNNNNNNNNNNNNNNNNNNNNNNNNNNNNNNNNNNNNNNNNNNNNNNNNNNNNNNNNNNNNNNNNNNNNNNNNNNNNNNNNNNNNNNNNNNNNNNNNNNNNNNNNNNNNNNNNNNNNNNNNNNNNNNNNNNGGCCCCCUCUUUGUCGUCCGCCUCCCGACGACAAAGAGCAUGCAGGCAGACGGCAAAGAAAGUGGCCGUUAGGGGGCCGCCCAUGCUCUUUGCCGUCUGCCUGCAUGCUCUGUGCCGUGAGCUGGCAGACGGCAAAGAGCUGGCUGAUGGCAAAUAGUACCUUUGGCAUCAGCCUGCUCUUUGCCGUCUGGUUUCUGGUAGCUGAUGGCAAAGAGGGUCUUUGCCAUCAGCCAGCAGACGGCAAAGAAGCAGUAGAUGGCAAAUAACUAUUUUCCAGUAGUGCUAGGGGGAUCGUGGCCUCCUCCAUGGCCCUCUACCUUGGUUCUCAAGUCUUCUCGAUCCCUUCUGUUAUGGAAAAAAUCAUCCCGAAGGUUUUAUUCCGUUUGGACUCCGUUUAAUAUUCUUAUCUAAAAAAGGUCAAAAACACGGAAAAAAGCAGAAAUUGGCAGUGGCACUGAGUUAAUAGGUUAGUCUCAAAAAUGAUAUAAAAUAGCAUAUAAAUGCAUAUAAAACAUCCCAAGUUGAUAAUAUAGUAACAUGGAACAACUAAAAAUUAUAGAUAGGUUGGAGACGUAUCAAUAUGCCCCAAAGGUAUCUAUAAUUUCUGAUUGUUCCAUGAUCUUUUGGGUGAUAUUGUUAUAUGUUUUGCUACACUUUUAUAUCAUUUUACACAUAUUUGGACUAACCUACUACCUCAAUGCACCCAGUGCCAGUUUCUGUCUGCUGAUGUCUAUUUUGCAGGGGCUUUUACCCAAUUUUUCAAAGCCCGGAAAAAUGCAAAAAAAUAAUAUAUAAAAAAUCAGCGAAACUGAAGCUUCCGGAUCACCGAAGGAGGCCCAGAGGGGAGCAAGGGGCCUCCCAGGCGGCCUGCUGGCGCGGCCAGGCCCUAGGCCGUGCCAGGAGGUCGCGUGGGUGGGUCCCACGUCCUCUAGUGCCCUCCUUUGGCCUAUAUUUAGAGUACCGAGAGGAAACCCUGGCAGACUUUCUGGAAUCGCAAAUUUCUCCAUCGUUUCGCCGCCGCAGCGCUUCCGAGAUCGGGAGCGUCAGGAGACCUCUUCCCGGCACCCUGUCGGAGGAAGGAUUGACCUCCGGGAGCUUCUCCACCACCAUGGACACUUCCCGGAUGUGCUGUGAGUAGUUCCCCUUGGACCAUGAGUCCAUGACCAGUAGCUAUGUGAUGUCUUCUCUCCAAUCUUGUGCUUCAAUGGUUAGUCCUUGUGAGCUACCCUACAUGAUCAAGGCAUCUAUGUAAUUCUCUUGCUAUUUCUAUGCUUGGUUUGUUGGGAUCCGAUAGAUUAUGAGAUUAUGUUCAGAUUGUUAUGAGUUAUAUAUUUGAUUAUCCUUUUAUAUUAUGUACCUUAGUGAUUCAGGCAUGCUCUCCGUUGUUUUUUAUUGCUUUGGCCAAGUAAUAGAUCGUAACUCCAAGAGGGAGCGCUAUGCAUGAUUGUGGGUUCAGGCCCCUCGAUGUCUAGCUUGAGUGAUAGAAACAUGAGACUAGGGGAUAUGCUUGUUGCCACGAGGGAGAAAAUAACGGUGCUUGUGACCACGGUUGCAAGGUUUGUUUACCUUACGCAUAGUUCGUUAAUGCAGUUGUCCGUUGCUUUGAGUUUACACUUUGGAUGGAACUCGCAACUUAACACCGGAGAUAUGUUCUGGAUAGAUAUCUCAAGGUGGAUGAAUAGUAAGUAGAUGCUGUUGAAUAAAAGGUCUACUUGUCUUGGCGUACUGCCCAUUACUAUUGAACCUCUAACUAUCAAGUAGCAUAAUUAACAUUACGGUGUGAUCAUAAUUGUGUCAAUUGCCCAAGUGUGAUUUGUUUACCCUAGUAUAGUUGUUUAUCAUCUUUUGGGAGAGAGACAUCACUAGUGAACAUCAUGUGACUCCGGUCCAUAUCACCAUCAUUGCUUACACCUCCAUCAUGUACCAUUUUCUUUACUUUUCCGUUGCAAUCACUAUUACCUUCCCGCUUGUGUUUUGAUCCUUUGCAAACUACAAGGCCGGAGAGAUUCACAACCUCUGUGUACUCGUUGGGAGAAAAGUUAUUUGUUGUGUGUGCAGGUCCACAUCUUCUACUGACCAGGACAGGAGACACCUACUUGUUGAGCCUAGGAGUCCUCCUAGUUCGAUAAACCUUAUAGUCUCCGCGUAAGGGAAAUUUCCUGCUNNNNNNNNNNNNNNNNNNNNNNNNNNNNNNNNNNNNNNNNNNNNGCUGCCUACAUCUCCACCUUCCACUUGGGGGUAUCCAACGAGGGGCGAGAAGUAUAUACAUCAACUCGUCAUCAGUGGCAUAAAGUAAGAUGGUAGGUUUCAAAGGGAUUGAAAAGUGAAGAAGAUAGUCUCGUAUAAACUAGGCGUACCAAUGGGUUAUGAAGAUACCCAUUGAUAGCUAUCGAUACAGGGAGUAGGGAUUGCCAUGCAAAUGAUGCACUAGAGCUAUAAGUGCAUGAAAGCUCCACUAAGCUAGGUGGGGUGUGCAUCCAACUUUCUUGCUCAUGAAGGCCUCGGGCAUUUGAGGACGCCUUUCAUCGGAAUAUACAAGCCAAGUUUAUAAUUCUUUUGAUUCCCACUAGCAUAUGAAUGAUGUAACAUGAGACUCUCUACAUGAUGAACAUGGUGCCACUUUUAGGCACAAGUGUGGCAAAGGAUAGUAGCAAAGUCCCUUCUCUCUUAUUCUCUCAUUUCUUUUAUUAUGGUGGGCUCAUUUGGCCCCCCCCCAUCUUUAUUUCCUCACUGGGACAAUGCUCUAAUAAUGAUGAUCAUCUAACUAUUAUUUACUUACAACUCAUGGAUAACUCGAUGUGAUGAAUGAAGCAACAUGACUCCAAUAUGAAUGCCUCUAGCAGUGUACCAGGAUGUCCGAUGAUCUAGCGUGACAUGUAUUCAGCAUAUGAUUUUUGAUGGAUUUUCCACAAUUUCUAUUAUGAAUGGUGUCUAUGCCACAAAUACUAUGUCAGCUCUAUAUGAUCAUGCAAAGCAAUAUGAUGGUGAACGAACUAGUCAUGUGAAAUAAUGAUGCAAUUAAUUUGCAUGGCAAUAUAUCUCAAAAUGGCUAUGGAAAUGCCAUAAUAGGUAGGUAUGGUGGCUGUUUUAAGGAGGAUAUAAUAAAGAUUAUGUGCAAUAGAGUGUAUCAUUUCACGGGGUUUGGAUGCACCAUCGAAAGUUGCACCAAUCCUCGAGGUGAGAAUGGGCUAUGCGUGGUACUAGAGAGGCUAGCAAAAAUGAGGAGGUGAGAUUGCGUAUGUCCAUGGUGUCACAUUAGUCAUAAAGAAAUCAUAUAUUUAUUGCAAAGUUUUAUUAGUAUUAGCAUAAAUCGAAGUACUAGUUGCAUGCCUCGAGGGAGAGGGUUGGUAGGAAUUAACAAUCGCGCGACUCUGACUUGAAACAACACUAGGUUUUCAACGAGGAAUAGAAAUGCUCCCACAUCAUCACCAUGCCCUUUUAAUUUUUCAGAUGUUCAAGAAGUAUUAACAUCUCUUAAUAUCAACACCUCUAUGAAUUAAUGAUUAUGCACUCACACCUUUUCAUAUCACCACAUCAAUAUCAUUAACCACACUUUCUCUACAUGUGCUACAUGAUAGUUUUAAUUGUCAUUUAUUGAACACUCAUUGUUUUUAUCUAGCUUUAUGACCCAUGCAAAUUACCGUAACUAUUUACUAACUAUCAAACAAAUAUAAGUGAAUAACGAGAUCAUAAUAUUUUUAUAAAAUCAACAAACCACCAUGCUCAAAAAGAUAUAAGUGAAGUACUAGAGGAACUCCUAAGCUCAAAAGAUACAAGUGAAGCACAAAUACUAUUCUAACAAAUCAUGAUGAUGUUGUCUCUCUCCCAAACAGGUGUGUACAGAAAACAAUGAUUGUGGAAAACUAAAAGUAAAAUUAAACAAAAGCAAAUGACGCUCCAAGCAAAACUCAUAUCAUGUGAUGAAUAAAAAUGUAGCUCCAAGUAACAUACCGAUGGAUUGAGACGAAAGAGGGUAUGCCUUCCCGGGGCAUCCCCAAGCUUAGGCGUUGAGUCUUCCUAGAAUAUUACCUUGGGGUGCCUUGGGCAUCCCCAAGCUUAGGCUCUUUCCACUUCUCAUUCCUUUGUCCACGGAGAUCAAUACCCACAACUUGAAAACUUCAAUCACACAAAACUCAACAAAACUUUGUGAGAUCCGUUAAUAUAGGCAACAUAAUGAACACUUUUAGGUACUGUUAUAAAUUGAUUCUUCUUUUAUUUUAGCAUAAGGUAUUGUAUUCUAACUUCUCCAUGGCUUAUACCCUAUGCUAUGAUACAUAGCAUAAUCAAAACAAGCAAACUAUGCAUGCAAAAACCGAAUGUGUUUAAAACAUAAUAGUCUCUAGUAAUAUAUUUAACUUCCAUACUUUUGUAACUCCAAUUUUUUUGAAAACCUAGCAAAACCUGAGGAAUUUUUAUAUCAGUACUGUGUUAAAAAUUCAGCUUAAAAGAAUGUUCCAGUAAAAUCAGAGAAAUUCUGCAAUGGGCGUCAAAGUUUUUGUUUUUGCACCGUAUCAAUUAAACUCAUCAUGCAAUUCAUCCCAAAGGCUUUACUUGGCACAAACACUAAUUAAACAUAAAACAUAAUCAUUACAGCAUCAAUAAUUAUGUUAUCACACACUAACAUAAAGUUAAGGAAAAAUUUAAGAUAACUAUUGUGUUGCCUCCCAACAAGUGUUCAUGUUUUACGCCCCUAGCUAGGCAUAUUGCAUUGUUUGAAGUGUUGGAUCCCUUCAUAUCGUUCAAAAUUAGUUCCUACAAAAUUUUACUUAAUAAAUCACCCUCGUCCAGCCUGGUUGAGGCACUCAAGUACUCAAAGGGAUUUAUACAAUCAUUGCUAACAUCACUAUCAUCUAAGGGCUCUUGAUAUAAGACAUGUAUUUCGUCACUAAUAGGUUCCCUAAUAGUAUUUUCUUGCCAAUCUUCACUAAACUCUUCACUAAUUCCUUUAGAAAUCCAUUCAAAUUUAUCACAAGUGUGGAGAAACAAAGAUUGUGUUAAUUGUUUACAAAGAAAAUUCCUCCUCAUUUUCAUAUCAAAUCCGUGAUAGUCAUUAGAUUCCAACCUACGUAUAACAUAUUUAUUAUGAAGGAUAGCUUUUAUGGGAAGAGAUUCAGCUUUUAUUUCAUAGAACAUAAAAAUUUCCUUUGCAUCAAGCAAAAUAUAAUCAAAUUCAUUAAUAAGGAUAGUGGUGGCAAAUUCGUUAAUCUCGGGAUUAUGCAAGCUAGGAAGUCCCAAGAAUAUCUUUUGAAGCAUAGGAUGGAAAGUCACAAAUUUUCUUUCCAUUUUCAAAAUAAGCAUAGUGAUAGCAUCACAUAAUAAUUUGUUUCAUCAAGUAUAUAUUAUCUAAUUAGAGGUGAAGCUAACUAAUACUCAAAGAAUUUUUGGAUGACAUUCUUUCCAAUAAUGUUCCCACUACCCACAUGGUAAAUUUUAGAAUUUAGAGUUGUGUGGGUGUUAGUAGUAGGGACUUGAUCCAUAGGAGGGUUAUGAAUGGGGUUAAUAAAUUCUAACCCCACUUCAUUCAACUCACUAGAACUAUCUUCACUAGCACUUUUAGCAAUAACUUUCUCAAAUUCAGACAUGAUAGUUGUUCUCAAGCAAACUAGAGAGGAGAGAUGCAAUCUAAUGACAAGCUAAGCAAGCAAAGACAAAUAUUUAUGUAUUUUUAUUUUAUUUUAUGAGACAAACUAAAUAUACCAGCAAAUAAAAAUAGGAACAACUGAAUGGAAUUUUAUGUGGAGUUACUUGAUAGUUGGUGAUGAUAUUCCCUGGCAACGGCGCCAGAAAUCCUUCCUCAUACUCGUGGUCUGCAUCGUCUUUUCCAUGAAGAUGAAUGGGUACUUGCAGCACAAAGUGGGUAAGUAUUCCCUCAAUUACGAAACCAUGGUUUAUCAAACCACUAGGAAUUUCAAUCCACUACACACUUCAGUUAGUGUUGAUACGUCCAUUUUGCAACAUGUUUUGUUACUGUUAUUUAUAGUGUUUUUAUGCAUUUUGCCACUUGGUGGAGUAAUUCUAUGUCUUAUCUCUCAUAAUAUGCAAGGUUUACAUCAAGUGGGAGAAUGCCGACAGAUGGAAUUCUGGACUUGAAAAAGCUACGUCAGAGAUACCUAUUCUACACAUCUCCAAUUGGGCUGAAACUUUGCACAGAUUUAUUUUAUAAUAAAUAAAAAUACUGGAGCAAAGAAGUACCGGAGGGGGGCUACCAUGCACCCACUAGACACCAGGGCGCGUGAGGGCCCCCUGGCGCGGCCUGAUGUCUAAUGGACCCCCUGCCCACCUCUGACGAUCAUCUUCUGGCAGAAAUUCUCUUUUACCCUAAAACAAUUAAGAAGAGGACUUUCGGGACGAAGCGCCACCGUCUCGAGGCGGAACCUGGGCAUGAGCACUUUUGCCCUCCGACGGAGUGAUUUGGACGGAGGAAAUUGAGGCCAUCGUCAUCACCAAUAACCCUCUCAUCUUGGGGAGGCCAAUAUCCAUCAACAUCUUCAUCAACACCAUAUCCUCUCAAAACCCUAGUUCAUCUCUUGUACUCUAUCUUGUAUCGGAACCUCGGAUUGGUACCUGGGGUGUGACUUGUAGUGUUGAUUACAUCUUGUAGUUGAUGCUUUCUGGUUUAUUUGGUGGAAGAUCAUAUGUUCAGAUCCAUUAUGCUAUUUAAUACAUCUACGAUCAUGAACAUGGUUAUCACUUGUGAGUAGUUACUUUUGUUCUCGAGGCCACGGGAGAAAUCGUGUUGCAAGUAGUCAUGUGAAGUUGAUAUUCGUUCGAUAUUUUGAUGAUAUGAAUGUUGUGAUUCCCUUAGUGGUGUUAUGUGAACAUCGACUACAUAACACGUCACCGUAUUUUGGCCUAAGUGAAUGCAUUGUGGCAAUGUAAUUAUAGGGUGGAUUGCGAGAGUCACAGAAACUUAAACCCCAGUCUAUGCACCACUUCAUAAGGGGCUGAUUUGGAUCCCUAUGUUUAAUGCUAUGGUUAGAAUUUAUUCUUAAUACUUUCCUCGUAGUUGCGGAUUCUUGAGGGAGGGUUGAUGAUAAGUGGGAGGUUUGUUCAAGUAAGAACAACACCAAAGCACCGGUCCGCCCACACAUCAAAUUAUCAAAAUACCGGACGCGAAUUAUGUUGGGAAACGUCGCAUGGGAAACAAAAAUUUUCUUACGCGCACGAAGACCUAUCAUGGUGAUGUCCAUCUACGAGAGGGGAUGAGUGAUCUACGUACCCUUGUAGAUCGUACAGCAGAAGCGUUAGAGAACGCGGUUGAUGUAGUGGAACGUCCUCACGUCCCUCGAUCCGCCCCGCGAACAAUCCCGCGAUCAGUCCCACGAUCUAGUACCGAACGGACGGCACCUCCGCGUUCAGCACACGUACAGCUCGACGAUGAUCUCGGCCUUCUUGAUCCAGCAAGAGAGACGGAGAGGUAGAAGAGUUCUCCGGCAGCGUGACGGCGCUCCGGAGGUUGGUGAUGAUCUUGUCUCAGCAGGGCUCCGCCCGAGCUCCGCAGAAACACAAUCUAGAGGAAAAACUAUGGAGGUAUGUGUCGGGCAGCCGUGAGAAAGUCGUCUCAAAUCUUCCCUAAAAGCCCCAUAUAUAUAGGAGGAGGGAGGGGGACCUUGCCUUNNNNNNNNNNNNNNNNNNNNNNNNNNNNNNNNNNNNNNNNNNNNNNNNNNNNNNNNNNNNNNNNNNNNNNNNNNNNNNNNNNNNNNNNNNNNNNNNNNNNUCGUGCGCGUAAGAAAAUUUUUGUUUCCCAUGCGACGUUUCCCAACAGUGGCAUCAUGAGCUAGGUUCAUGCGUAGAUGUCUUCUCGAGUAGAACACAAAAGGUUUUGUGGGCGGUGAUGUGCGUUUUGCUGCCCUCCUUAGUCUUUUCUUGAUUCCGCGGUAUUGUUGGAUUGAAGCGGCUUGGACCGACAUUACUCGUACGCUUACGAGAGACUGGUUUCAUCGUUACGAGUAACCCCCUUUGCUCGAAGAUGACUGGCAAGUGACGGUUUCUCCAACUUUAGUUGAAUCGGAUUUGACCAAGGAGGUCCUUGGAUGAGGUUAAAUAGCAACUCAUAUAUCUCCGUUGUGGUGUUUGCGUAAGUAAGAUGCGAUCCUACUAGAUACCCUUGGUCACCGCGUAAAAACAUGCAACAACAAAAUUAGAGGGCGUCUAACUUGUUUUUGCAGGGUAUGAUUGUGAUGUGAUAUGGCCAAUGAUGUGAUGUGAUAUAUUGGAUGUAUGAGAUGAUCAUGUUUUAAUAGAAAUAUCGACUUGCACGUCGAUGGUACGGCAACCGGCAGGAGCCAUAGGGUUGUCUUUAUACUAACAUAUGUGCUUGCAGAUGCGUUUACUAUUUUGCUAGGAUGUAGCUUUAGUAGUAAUAGCAUAAGUAGCACGACAACCCCGAUGGCAACACGUUGAUGGAUGAUCAUGGUGUGGCGCCGGUGACAAGAAGAUCGUGCCGGUGCUUUGGUGAUGGAGAUCAAGAAGCACGUGAUGAUGGCCAUAUCAUGUCACUUAUGAAUUGCAUGUGAUGUUAAUCCUUUUAUGCACCUUAUUUUGCUUAGAACGACGGUAGCAUUAUGAGGUGAUCUCUCACUAAUAUUUCAAUACGAAAUUGUGUUCACCCCGACUGUGCACCGUUGCUACAGUUCGUCGUUUCGAGACACCACGUGAUGAUCGGGUGUGAUAGACUCAACGUUCACAUACAACGGGUGCAAAACAGUUGCGCACGCGGAACACUCGGGUUAAGCUUGACGAGCCUAGCAUGUGCAGACAUGGCCUCGGAACACAUGAGACCGAAAGGUCGAUCAUGAAUCAUAUAGUUGAUAUGAUUAGCAUAGGGAUGCUUACCACUGAAACUACUCUCGACUCACGUGAUGAUCGGACUAGGGAUAGUGUAAGUGGAUCAUGAACCACUCAAAUGACUAGAGAGAUGUACUUUUUGAGUGGGAGUUUAGCAUAUAAUUUGAUUAAGUUGAACUCUAAUUAUCUUGAACAUAGUCUAAGUCCACUUUGAAUAUAUUUGUGUUGUAGAUCAUGGCUCACGCAAGUGUCAUCCUGAAUUUUAAUACGUUCCUAGAGAAAGCUAAGUUGAAAGAUGAUGGAAGCAACUUUGUAGACUGGGCUCGUAAUCUUAAGCUAAUCUUACAAGCUGGAAAGAAGGAUUAUGUCCUUAAUGCUGCGCUAGGAGAUGAACCACCCGCUACGGCUGAUCAGGAUGUUAAGAACGCUUGGUUAGCACGUAAGGAGGACUACUCAAUAGUUCAAUGUGCAGUCUUGUAUGGCUUAGAGCCGGGACUUCAACGUCGCUUUGAGCGCCAUGGAGCAUUUGAGAUGUUCCAGGAGUUGAAGUUUAUCUUUCAGAAGAACGCCCGGAUCGAGAGGUAUGAGACCUCCGAUAAAUUCUAUGCUUGCAAGAUGGAGGAAAACUCGUCUGUCAGUGAACAUGUGCUCAAAAUGUCUGGGUACUCAAACCGUCUAGCUGAACUGGGGAUUGAACUCCCGCAAGAAGCUAUCACUGACAGAAUCCUUCAAUCACUGCCGCCAAGCUAUAAAGGCUUUGUGUUGAACUACAACAUGCAAGGGAUGAACAAGUCUCCCGGCGAGUUGUUUGCGAUGCUGAAAGUCGCAGAGUCUGAACUCCGUAAAGAGCAUCAAGUUUUGAUGGUGAGCAAGACCACUAGUUUCAAGAGAAACGGCAAAGGCAAGAAGGGCAAUUCGAAGAAGAGCGGCAAGCCUGUUGCCAAUCCGCCGAAGAAACCCAAGGCUGGACCUAAGCCUGAAACAGAGUGCUUCUAUUGCAAGGGUAUGGGUCACUGGAAGCGCAAUUGCCCCAAGUAUCUGGCAGAUAAGAAGGCGGGCAAAGAAAAAUCAGGUAUAUUUGAUAUACAUGUUAUUGAUGUGUACUUAACCGGCUCUCGUAGUAGUGCCUGGGUAUUCGAUACCGGUUCUGUUGCUCACAUUUGCAACUCGAAGCAGGAACUGCGGAAUAGACGAAGGCUGGCGAAAGACGAAGUGACGAUGCGCGUAGGAAACGGUUCCAAGGUUGAUGCAAUCGCCGUCGGCACCGUGUCACUUCAACUACCAUCGGGAUUAGUGAUGAACUUAAAUCAUUGUUAUUUAGUGCCUGCGUUGAGCAUGAACAUUAUAUCUGGAUCUUGUUUAUUGCGAGACGGUUACUCUUUUAAGUCUGAGAAUAAUGGUUGUUCUAUUUCUAUGAGUAACAUCUUUUAUGGUCAUGCACCGAAUGUGAGAGGAUUGUUCAUAUUGAAUCUCGAUAGCGAUACGCAUAUACAUAACAUUGAGACCAAAAGAGUUAGAGUAAACAAUGAUAGCGCCAUAUUUUUGUGGCACUGCCGCUUGGGUCAUAUUGGUGUAAAUCGCAUGAAGAAACUCCAUGCUGAUGGACUUUUAGAGUCACUUGACUUUGAUUCACUUGACACGUGCGAACCAUGCCUCAUGGGCAAGAUGACUAAAACUCCGUUCUCCGGAACAAUGGAGCGUGCAAGUGACUUGUUGGAAAUCAUACAUACCGAUGUGUGUGGUCCGAUGAGCGUGGAGGCACGCGGCGGAUAUCGUUAUUUUCUCACCUUCACUGACGAUUUAAGUAGAUAUGGUUAUGUCUACUUGAUGAAGCACAAGUCUGAAACAUUUGAAAAGUUCAAGCAGUUUCAGAGUGAAGUAGAAAAUCAUCGUAACAAGAAGAUCAAGUUCCUGCGGUCUGAUCGUGGGGGUGAAUAUCUGAGUUUCGAGUUUGGUACUCACUUAAGACAAUGUGGAAUUGUUUCGCAGUUAACACCGCCUGGAACACCACAGCGUAAUGGUGUGUCCGAACGUCGUAAUCGUACUUUGUUAGAGAUGGUGCGAUCUAUGAUGUCUCUUACUGAUUUGCCGUUAUCGUUUUGGGGUUAUGCAUUAGAAACAGCUGCAUUCACUUUAAAUAGGGCACCAUCGAAAUCCGUUGAGACGACACCAUACGAACUGUGGUAUGGCAAAAGGCCAAAGUUGUCGUUUCUUAAAGUUUGGGGAUGUGAUGCUUAUGUCAAAAAGCUUCAGCCUGAAAAGCUGGAACCCAAAGCGGAAAAGUGCGUCUUCAUAGGUUACCCAAAAGAGACAGUUGGGUACACCUUCUAUCUCAAUUCCGAGGGCAAAGUGUUUGUUGCUAAGAACGGAACUUUUCUCGAGAAGGAGUUUCUCUCGAGAGAAUUGAGUGGGAGGAAGAUAGAACUUGACGAGGUUGUCGAACCUCUCAUCCCUCUGGAUGGUGGCGCAGGGCAAGGGGAAACCUCUGUCAUUGCANNNNNNNNNNNNNNNNNNNNNNNNNNNNNNNNNNNNNNNNNNNNNNNNNNNNNNNNNNNNNNNNNNNNNNNNNNNNNNNNNNNNNNNNNNNNNNNNNNNNGUAUGGAGGUGACAAAGAGCUCGCCGUAAAAGGUUACGUCGAUGCAAGCUUUGACACAGAUCCGGACGACUCUAAGUCACAAACCGGAUACGUAUUUAUUCUUAAUGGGGGUGCAGUAAGCUGGUGCAGUUCCAAGCAAAGCGUCGUAGCAGAUUCUACAUGUGAAGCGGAGUACAUGGCUGCCUCGGAGGCGGCUAAGGAGGGUGUCUGGAUGAAGCAGUUCAUGACGGAUCUUGGAGUGGUGCCAAGUGCACUGGAUCCAAUAACCUUGUUCUGUGACAACACUGGUGCCAUUGCCUUAGUAAAGGAACCAAGGUUUCACAAGAAGACCAGACACAUCAAACGACGCUUCAACCUCAUCCGCGACUACGUCGAGGAGGAGGACGUAAAUAUAUGCAAAGUGCACACGGAUCUGAAUGUAGCAGACCCGCUGACUAAACCUCUUCCACGGCCAAAACAUGAUCGACACCAGAACUGUAUGGGUGUUAGAUUUAUUACAAUGUAAUUCACAUGGUGAUGUGAGGGCUAGAUUAUUGACUCUAGUGCAAGUGGGAGACUGUUGGAAUUAUGCCCUAGAGGCAAUAAUAAAUGUAUAGUUAUUAUUNNNNNNNNNNNNNNNNNNNNNNNNNNNNNNNNNNNNNNNNNNNNNNNNNNNNNNNNNNNNNNNNNNNNNNNNNNNNNNNNNNNNNNNNNNNNNNNNNNNNCAUCAAAUGUCGCACCCAAAUGCAACUAGGGCGGAAGGGAGGGAGGGUGUAUGUGAAUGUAUGCCACUAGGCAAAUAACUAUAAGUGUUUUCCGUCGAUUGCAACCAUGUGGUGUUCCGUUGCAUGUCCUGAUUAGGUAUGCAACUAUAAGUGUUGUCCCUGAGUGCAACUGCGUUUUCAACGCAACUACAACUCUGUAGUGUUUUGAGGGGCAGAGGAGGGACAGUUGCAUGUCAAACAUUGUACAUGCAAAUGCGAGUGUCAUGUCCGACUGCAAUUUUGUGAUGCUAUGUUGAGGCAGAAGGGUAGUUGUGUGUGUGCCACUAGGCGCGUAACUGCAAGUGUCAUCCUCGACCGCAACUCUAUGUCUUUCAUGUAGCUAUAACUUGAUGGUGUUUUAUCUACUUUUUUACUAUUCUUUUUAUUUCCUUCUAAGUGCUCUUUUAAUGCUUUGUGUGUGUGUGUGUGUGUCCAUUUUUGUGACAUUGUAUUUCCAUUUUUUUACUUUUCAUGCUCUUUUCAAACCAUUUUCUUACUAAUGGAACGACUAUUUCUUUUUUUAUUUCUUUAUUAAACAAAUUUUAUUUUAUUUUAAUUUGAAAAUAGUGUUGUCUAGUUACACAAUCGCCCUGACAACAACUGCAUGUCUUAAACACGACUGCAAGUUAGUGAUAGUACGUUUGGGAAGAGGCGAUUGCAUGUAUACCACUUGGCAAAGAACAAAAAGUGUCAUGUCCCAACUACAACUACAUGUCUGCAACAGAGUUGUAAUUCUACAAUGUUUCAUAGGGGGGACGUGAGGGAGGGGGGUAGUUGCAGUUCUGCGACUAGGCGCGACAUCAAAUGUCGCACCCAAAUGCAACUAGGGCGGAAGGGAGGGAGGGUNNNNNNNNNNNNNNNNNNNNNNNNNNNNNNNNNNNNNNNNNNNNNNNNNNNNNNNNNNNNNNNNNNNNNNNNNNNNNNNNNNNNNNNNNNNNNNNNNNNNCAUGCUUGUUUUGAUUGAAGUGUUGGUAUUUGAAACUCAUUAUUAUUUGCUCGUUAGCUGAUUAUGCCAUUGCUGUUAGUUUACCGUGAGACCAUUGUGUCAUUUUCUUAUGUGGUUAACUUGUGAUCUUGCUGAAAUUCUGGUUAUGAGUUAGACAUAGUUGCAGCAACAAGAUCAAACAGAGUUUGUCAAAGUUUUCCUUUCUCUCUCAGUUUGUCAACUGAGUUGCUUGAGGACAAGCAAGGUUUUAAGCUUGGGGGAAUUGAUACGUCUCCAACGUAUCUACUUUUCCAAACUCUUUUGCCCUUGUUUUGGACUAUAAUUUGCAUGAUUUGAAUGGAACUAACCUGGACUGACACUGUUUUCAACAGAAUUGCCUUGGUGUUAUUUUUGUGCAGAAAUCAAUGUUCUCCAAACGUCCUGAAAAUUUACGGGGAGCAGUUUUGGAAAAUAUCAAAAAUAUCUGCGCCAAGUUCCACCUCAGGGGGUGGGCCAGUGGGCCACAAGCCCCUGCUCCGCCACCACCCCCCUGGUGGCGUGGUGCAGGCUUGUGGGGACCACAGGGCUCUGCCGCCCCCAAUCUCAGGUCUAUAAGAUCCCUUUCGUCCCAGAAAAAAAUAAAAAGAGAUGUUUUCGUCGCGUUUUCGUCACGGAGGCGCCGCUACCACCUGUUCUUCAUCUGGAGGGCAGAUCUGGAGUCCGUCUUGGGCUCCGGAGAGGGGAAAUCGUCGCCAUCAUCAUCAUCAACCUUCUUCCCUCUCCAAUUCCAUGAAGCUCUUUGUAGUUCGUGAGUAAUCUCUUCGUAGGCUCGCUGGGCGGUGAUGAGUAGGAUGAGAUCUAUCAUGUAAUCGAGUUAGUUUUGACGGGAAUUGAUCCCUAGUAUCCACUAUGUUCUGAGAUUGAUGUUGCGACUACUUUGCCAUGCUUAAUACUUGUCACUAGGGCCAGAGUGCCAUGAUUUCAGAUCUGAAAUUAUUAUGUUGUCACCAAUAUAUGUGUGUUUUAGAUCCGAUCUUGCAAGUUGUAGUUACCUNNNNNNNNNNNNNNNNNNNNNNNNNNNNNNNNNNNNNNNNNNNNNNNNNNNNNNNNNNNNNNNNNNNNNNNNNNNNNNNNNNNNNNNNNNNNNNNNNNNNCAAAAGAAACUACCACCUCUUGAGGUACUGUAGCAAACUUGAUUUCUAUUUUUAUUGGUGUUAGAUUACAAUAUUCUCACUUUUCUAUGGCUAGCACCCCCGAUACUAUCCAUAGUUUCAUCAAAAUAAGCAAUCAACACAACAAAAACAAAAUCUAUCAAAAACAAACCAGUCUGUAGCAAUCUGUAUACUUCUGGUAUCUGAAAAAUUCUAAACAAUUACUACAGUUUGGCAAAUUGGCACAUAAACCAGCAUCAAAAAGAAUCAACUCAAAAUAUCUUUUUGGAUAAAAAUGAAAAAUAAUUUCGUGAGCGAACAGUUUCUUUCUUUUUUCCAGCAGGAUCAAACAACCAUCACCAAACUAGUCAUAAAGGUUUUACUUGGCUCAAACACAUAAGGAAACACAAAAGACACAACCAUAACAGAAUUAUGAUGGUGUGCACGCAACAAAACAGAAAGCAAAAAAGCAAAGAUAAAUUCAUUGGGUUGCCUCCCAACAAGCGUUAUUGUUUAACGCCCUUUGUUAGGCAUAAGACGAUAGAAUCACGUAUCGUCGUCUUUGGUACUCAAACCAUAAGUAGCCCUCAUCAUGGAUUCAUUUGGCAAUCUUAUUUUAUUUUUAGGAAAAUGUUCCAUGCCCUUCUUUAAAGGAAAUUUAAAUCUAAUAUUCCCUUCCUUCAUAUCGAUGACAGCAUCAAUAGUCCUUUUUAAAGGUCUACCAAGAAUGAUAGGACAUGUAGGAUUGCAGUCAAUAUCAAGGACAAUGAAAUCUACGGGUACAUAGUUCCUAUUUGCAAUAAUAAGAACAUCAUUGAUCCUUCCCAUAGGUUUCUUAAGAGUAGAAUCCGCAAGAUGCAAAUUAAGAGAGCACUGAUCAAUCUCAUUAAAGCCUAGAACAUCACAUAAAGACUUUGGAAUCGCGGAAACAAUAGCACCCAAAUCACACAAAGCAUUGCAUUCAUAGUUUUGAUCUUGAUUUUGAUAGUAGGUUCCCACUCAUCAUGAAGUUAUCUAGGAAUAGAAACUUCCAAUUCAAGUUUCUCUUCAAGAUAUUUUAUCAUAGCAUCGAUGAUAUGAUCGGUAAAGGCCUUGUUUUGGCUAUAAGCGUGUGGAGAGUUUAGCAUGGAUUGCAUCAAGGAAAUACAUUCAAUCAAAUAGCAACUAUCAUAAUUGAAUUCCUUGAAAUCCAAAGUAGUAGUUUCAUUACUACUCAAAGUUUUGAUAUCCUCUACUCCACUUUCAAUGCUUUUAGCAUCAAGAUGGAUAGACUCUGAAUCAUUGGGGCGUUUUUCAACCAAGGUGGAUUCAUAUCCAGCCCCAUCAUCAUUAGGUUUGACACUAGAAAAUAAGGAUUCAAUGGGAGUCACACCAAGCACUUUAAGAUCUUCGUGAUUCUCAUCACGAGAAAACGCAUUUUUAAGCCAUUCAUGUCUAUCACGAAUUUGGGCGGUUCUUUCUUUACUCUUAUUCUUGGAAACACGCAUAGCUUUCAAAGUUUCAUCCAUAUUGAUCUUGGGAGGAGCACAUCUAACUUUCAAAGCAUCAAUAUCAAGAGACAUUCUAUCAACGCUCCUAGCCAAGUCAUCAAUUCUGAGUAGUUUUUCCUCUAUGGACGCAUUGAAAAUCUUUUGUAAGUUGAUAAACUCUUUAAUAUUACUCUGUAGAUCAGAGGGUAAUUUAUUGUAAUUUCCAUGAGCAUUGUUGUAGGAGUUGCCAAAGUUAUUAGAGGUAUUACUAGGAAAAGGCCUAGGAAUAUAGUUUCCUCUAAAAGCAUUAUUGUUGCCAAAAUUAUUCCUACCAACAAAAUUAACGUCCAAGCUUUCAUAGCUACUCUCAAUCAAGGAAGACAAGGGCAUAUCAUUUGGAUCCAAAGGAGCACCUUUACUAGCAAACAAUUUCAUUAACUCAUCCAUCUUAGCACUCAACGAGUUAAUUUAUUCUAUAGCGUGUACCUUCUUACUAGUAGAUGACCUUUCAGUGUGCCCUUGAGAAUAGUUUGUCAUGAUAUUGUCUAGGAGUUUUGUGGCUUCUCCUAAUGUGAUUUCCAUGAAAGUUCCACCGGAGGCGGAGUCCAAGAUAUUUCAAGAAGCAAAGUGCAAACCAGCGUAGAAGAUUUGUAUAAUCAUCCAAAGACUCAAGCCAUGAGCGGGACAAUUUCUAAUCAUCAAUUUCAUUCUCUCCCAAGAUUGUGAAACAUGUUCAUGAUCAAGUUGCUUAAAAUUCAUGAUAUCAUUACGGAGAGAGAUAAUCUUAGCCGGCGGAAAAUACUUGGAUAUAUAAGCAUCUUUGCACUUGUUCCAAGAAUCAAUACUAUUUUUGGGCAAAGAUGAAAACCAAGUUUUUGCUCGAUCUCGCAAGGAGAACGGAAAUAGCUUCAAUUUAAUCACAUCAUUAUCCACAUCUUUCUUCUUUUGCAUAUCACAUAACUCAAUGAAGGUAUUACGAUGGGAUGCGACAUCUUCACUAGCAAGGUCGGAGAAUUGCUCUUUCAUAACAAGAUUCAACAAAGCAGCAUUGAUUUCAUAUGAUUCCGCACUAGUGGCGGGAGCAAUCGGAGUACUAAUAAAAUCAUUAUUAUUAGUAUUCGAGAAGUCACAAAGUUUGGUGUUUUCAGUCAUGGUGACUUCAGGAUGCAGACAAGCACACAAGCGAACAGAAAGCAAGCGCAAGAAAAGGGCGAACGAAAAAGGCAAAUAUUUUUGUAAAUUUUCAUUUUUCAGAAGUGGGGGAGAUGAAAACGAGAGGCAUAAAAAGUAAAUGCAAGAGAUGAGUUUCCGACACUUACUUGGAUAAGCUUCACUUGAUGCUCCCCGGCAACGGCGCCAGAAAUUCUUCUUGCUACCUCUUGAGCUUGCGUUGGUUUUUUCCCUUGAACAGGAAAGGGUGAUGCAGGACAGUAGAAGUAAUAAUUUCCCUCAGUUUGAGAACCAACGUGUAGAUCCAGUAGGAGUAUCAAGAUGAAGCACCGAUGUACCUGCGCAAAAACAGCAAACUUGCACCCAACGCUACAAAGGGGUUGUCAAUCCCUUCACGAUUGAUUGCAAGGUGAGAUCUGAAGGCGGAAAGUGCAACAAAGUAAAAGUGUAAGGCUGAAAAUAUGAUGUGAAGUAGAGCCGGGGGCCAUAGUGUUCACUAGAGGCUUCUCUCAAGAUAGCAAAUAUUACAGUGGGUGAACGAAUUACUAUCGAGAAAUUGAUAGAACCGCGCAAAGUCAUGACGAUAUAUGAGGCAAUGAUCAUACAUAUAGGCAUCAUGUCCGAGACAAGUAGACCGAUACUUUCUGCACCUACUACUAUUACUCCACACAUCGACCGCUAUCCAGCAUGCAUCUAGUGUAUUGAGUUCAUGACGAAGAGAGUAACGCCUUAAGCAAGAUGACAUGAUGUAGAGGGAUAAACUCAAACCAAUGAUGUAAACCCCAUCAUUUUACCCUUGAUGGCAACAACACGAUGCGUGUCUCGCUACCCCUUCUGUCACUGGGUGAGGUCGCCGCAUGGUAUGAACCCAAAACCAAGCGCUUCUCCCAUUGCAAGAAUCAUAGAUCAAGUUGGCCAAACAAAACCCACAACUCGAAGAGAAUUACAAGGAUAUGAAAUCAUGCAUAUAAGAGAUCAGAAGAAACUCAAAUAAGAUUCAUAAAUACUCUGAUCAUAAAUCCACAAUUCAUCAGAUCUCGACAAACACACCGCAAAAGAAGAUUGCAUCGGAUAGAUCUCCAUGAAGAUCACGGAGAACUUUGUAUUGAACAUCCAAGAGAGAGAAGAAGCCAUCUAGCUACUAGCUAUGGACCCGGAGGUAUAUGGUGAACUACUCACGCAUCAUCGGAGAGGCCAUGGUGUUGAUGAAGAAGCCCUCCGUAUCCGAAUCCCCCCUCCGNNNNNNNNNNNNNNNNNNNNNNNNNNNNNNNNNNNNNNNNNNNNNNNNNNNNNNNNNNNNNNNNNNNNNNNNNNNNNNNNNNNNNNNNNNNNNNNNNNNNCUCUGCUGCUACUGUUGCUACUACUGUCGCUUGCUACUGUUGCUACUUGCUACUGUUGUCACUACUGUUGUUCCUUGCCGCUGCUAUUACUCGUUACACUGUUGCUACCUGCUACAAUCUUGAUCCGCUCGACGUUGAUGGGAAAAGACAGUUUCCGUCAACGGGCAACUUGGCGCCAUUGAUACAAUCGUUAGGAAUAGUCUCCCGUCAACAGAUCGUUUCUGACACCGUUGUUAUCAUACUACUUUGUUGUUACUACUUUGCUUGCAGAUACUUAUCUUUCAGGUCUGGUUGAAUCUGACACAUUCAGCUGCUAAUACUUGAGAGUAUCCUCUCACCUCCUAUAGGCGUACCAACAAAUUUGGGUCGAAUACUCUACCCUCGAAAACUGCUGCGAUCCCACGCGUUGGUGGGCCGUCAACAACAUUCUUCUAGUUUCGAUUGCCGGAGAGUGCUAGCAGCAUUCUUCUGGUGUUGUUGCAGGGGGAGAUCUGCUGUCAUGGAAUCAAAUAUUAAACGGAGUCCGAACGGAAUAAAACCUCUAAAAAGAUUUUUUCCAAAACAGAAGAUACGCAAAAAGCUUGAGAACUAAGGCAGAGCGCACGAGGGGAGGCCACAAGCCCCCUAGGCGCAGCCAGGGAGCCCGCGCCUAGCAGGCUUGUGGGCCCCCUGGGGCUCCUCUGCCCUACUUCUUNNNNNNNNNNUAAAAUCUAAAACCACGGGAGAGAUCCACGAAAAUACUUUUCCGCCGCCGCAAGCUUCUGUCUCCGCAAGAUCCCAUCUGGGGCACGUUCUGGUGCCCUGCCGGAGGGGGAUUCGGAUACGGAGGGCUUCUUCAUCAACACCAUUGCUUCUCCGAUGAUGCGUGGGUAGUUCACUAUAGACCUUCGGGUCCAUAGCUAGUAGCUAGAUAGCUUCUUCUCUCUCUUGGAUCUUCAAUACAAAGUUCUCCAUGAUCUUCAUGGAGAUCUAUCCGAUGUAAUCUUCUUUUGCGGUUUGUUUGUCGAGAUCCGAUGAAUUGUGGAUUUAUGAUCAGAUUAUCUAUGAAUCUUAUUUAAGUUUCUUCUGAUCUUUUAUAUGCAUGAUUUCAUAUCUUUGUAAUUCUCUUCGAGUUGUGGGUUUUGUUUGGCCAACUUGAUCUAUGAUUCUUGCAAUGGGAGAAGUGCUUGGUUUUGGGUUCAUACCGUGCGGUGACCUCACCCAGUGACAGAAGGGGUAGCGAGGCACGCAUCGUGUUGUUGCCAUCAAGGGUAAAAAGAUGGGGUUUAUNNNNNNNNNNNNNNNNNNNNNNNNNNNNNNNNNNNNNNNNNNNNNNNNNNNNNNNNNNNNNNNNNNNNNNNNNNNNNNNNNNNNNNNNNNNNNNNNNNNNCAAUACAAAGUUCUCCAUGAUCUUCAUGGAGAUCUAUCCGAUGUAAUCCUCUUUGGCGGUGUGUUUGUCAAGAUCUGAUGAAUUGUGGAUUUGUGAUCAGAUUAUCUAUGAUAUAUAUUUGAGUCUUUGCUGAUUUCUUAUAUGCAUGAUUUGAUAUCCUUGUAAGUUUCUCCGAGUCUUGGGUUUUGUUUGGCCAACUAGAUCUAUGAUUCUUGCAAUGGGAGAAGUGCUUGGUUUUGUGUUCUUACCGUGUGGUGACCUUUCCCAGUGACAGUAGGGUAACAAGGUGGGCUUUGUCGUAGAUAUGAGAUUGUCCAUCUACAUCAUGUCAUCUUUCUUAAGGCGUUACUCUGUUCUUUUGGACUUAAUACACUAGAUGCAUGCUGGAUAGCGGUCGACGUGUGGAGUAAUAGUACUAGAUGCAGAAAGUAUCGGUCUACUUGUUUUGGACGUGAUGCCUAUAGAUACAAUCAUUGCCAUAGAUGAUGUCACGACUUUGCGCGGUUCUAUCAAUUGCUCGACAGUAAUUUGUUCACCCACCGUCUACUUGCUUUCAUGAGAGAAGCCACUAGUAAACACUACGGCCCCCGGGUCUAUUCACACCUAUCGUUUCCACUUUCGCUUUUACUUUGCUUUGUUACUUUGUUGCUUUCAGUUCUCACUUGGCGAACAAUCUAUAAGGGAUUGACAACCCCUUCAUAGCAUUGGGAGCAAGCUUUUUGUGUUUAUGCAGGCACUUGAGAUACUCCUUCACUGGAUCGAUACCUUUGUUCUCAAACUGAGGGAAAUACUUACCACCGCUGCGCUACAUCACCCUNNNNNNNNNNUGGAGAAGUGCUUGGUUUUGGGUUCUUACUGUGUGGUGACCUUUCCUAGUGACAGUAGGGGCAACAAGGCACACAUUGUGUAGUUGCCAUCAAGGGUAACAAGGUGGGCUUUGUCGUAGAUAUGAUAUUGUCCAUCUACAUCAUGUCAUCUUGCUUAAGGCGUUACUCUGUUCUUUUGGACUUAAUACACUAGAUGCAUGCUGGAUAGCGGUCGACGUGUGGAGUAAUAGUAGUAGAUGCAGAAAGUAUUGGUCUACUUGUUUUGGACAUGAUGCCUAUAGAUAUAAUCAUUGCCAUAGAUGACGCCACGACUUUGCGCGGUUAUAUCAAUUGCUCGACAGUAAUUUGUUCACCCACCGUCUACUUGCUUUCAUGAGAGAAUCCACUAGUAAACACUACGGCCCCCGGGUCUAUUCACACAUAUCGUUCCACCUUCGCUUUUACUUUGCUUUGUUACUUUUUUGCUUUCAGUUCUCACUUGGCGAACAAUCUAUAAGGGAUUGACAACCCCUUCAUAGCGUUGGGAGCAAGCUUUUUAUGUUUGUGCAGGCACUUGAGAUACUCCUUCACUGGAUCGAUACGUUGGUUCUCAAACUGAGGGAAAUACUUACCACCGCUGCGCUACAUCACCCUUUACGCUUCGAGGGAACACCAAUGCAAAGCUCCAAGGCCACGGGGGAAAUCCAUUGCAUAUUUGCCUAGGAAGUCCCUUAAGGCGUAGCCGUAGCAGAAGGAUUCCUGGUGCCGUCGCUGAGGAGUAUCAAGACAAGAUCUCCCAUCAACACUCCUAUUUCUGGCGCCGUUGGAAGGUCUUUUGUUGCAGUAGCAGAAGUAUUUCUGGCGCCGUUGCCGGGGAAGGAGAGAUCUAUCCAAGUAGGUCUCACAAACUCAUCUCUUGCAUUUACCUUUUUUGCAAGUUGCCUCUCGUUUUCCUCUCCCCCACUUCACAUUUGCCGCUUUCAUUUGCCUUUCUCCUUUGCCUUUUUCGUUUGCCUUUUCGUUCACCCUUUUCUCUCGCUUGCUUUCUGUUCGCUUGUGUUCCAUGUGCCUUCAUUAUGCUUGCAUCUUCGCUUGCUGAAAAUCUAGUGAUAUGGAUCCUCACCCACUUGCUAAUCUCUUUAAGAGAUCNNNNNNNNNNAAGUUGAGGGCACUUGACUAUUUUUAUGGAGUUUUGCUUGAGAUGCAUGAAUCUGAAAAUUGCGAGGAAGAAAUUUAUGAAGUGAUUCACGAGGGCUCCUUGGAUGAAAAGCAUGAUUGCAAUGGUUUCACUAUAAAUUCUAUUAGUGGCAAUUAUGCUAAAAAUAUGCAAAACCCUUAGCUUGGGGAUGCUAGUUUUGCUAUGUCCACUACUUGGUGCAAUAAUCAUUAUUGGGGUGAUGAUCUUUCUUAUGAUCUAGAAAAUUUGUUCAAACCUCAUGAUGAAUAUGAUAUUUGUAACAAUAUUAAAAGUGGGAUUGGAGAAGUCAUGACUUUAGUUGAUGAUAAUCCCACUAUUUNNNNNNNNNNNNNNNNNNNNNNNNNNNNNNNNNNNNNNNNNNNNNNNNNNNNNNNNNNNNNNNNNNNNNNNNNNNNNNNNNNNNNNNNNNNNNNNNNNNNAUCUCUGAACCCAUGGCUCCCUUUCUUUACCAUGCUUCCUAGCAGUGAAGUCAUUCUUAUCGUAUCUCUUAGGUUGUGGGUUAUCAGGAGUAACCGUAGGUUCAAUCUCCACAUCCUCAUCAUUGCUAGGUUGAGCAUUAUUAUGAACAUCACUGUCCAUAUUGUCACCAGGUUCAUGUUCAUCACCAGAUUGUGUUUCUGCAUCAGACGCAGAAAUAUCAUUAGGUUCUUCAGGUGUGAUAGUAUUUGGUGAACUGGCAUGUAGGUUACUAUCAUCCUUCUUCUUCUCCUUAGGAUGACUGGGUGUAUCAGCAUUGAUUCCUUGAGAAUCUUGAUCGAUUCUCUUAGGAUGACCUUCAGGAUACAAAGGUUCCUGAGUCAUUUUGCCUCCUCUAGUGAUGACUCUGACAGAGUUGUUAUUUAAUUCAUUGAGUAGGUCAUUCUGAGCUUUAAGUACUUGUUCUACCUGAGUAGUAAUCAUAGAGGCAUAAGCUUCAGAUCAUUGACAUUUCUGUGUACACAAGCACUUAAAUGGCUAAACAUACGAGUACUUUGUUCCAAAUGUCUGCUAACAUAAUCAUUGAAACUCUGUUGUUUGGCAACAAAGUUGUGAAAUUCAUCGAAGCAUAGGCUAGCAGGUUUGUCAAAAGUAAUAUCACUCUCAUCAAACCUACGCAGAGAAUUCACUUCUACUACUUGUAUCGGGUUAUCGAGACCAUGGAUCUCUUCGAUAGGUGGUAGAUUUUUGACAUCUUUAGAUCUAAUGCCUUUCUCUUGCAUAGAUUUCUUGGCUUCUUGCAUAUAUUCGGGACUGAGGAAUAGAAUACCUCUUUUCUUAGGAGUUGGCUUAGGAGGUGGUUCGGGAAUAGUCCAAGCAUUAUCGUUGAUCAAGAUGUAAUUCAGUAGAGUCUCAGCUUGUUCUGCAGUUCGUUCCCUAAAAACACAACCGACACAACUAUCUAGGUGGUCUCUAGAGGCAUCGGUAAGUCCGUUAUAGAGGAUAUCAAGUAUCUCGUUCUUCUUAAGUGGGUGAUCAGGCAAAGCAUUUUGUAGCUGGACGAGGCUCCCCAAGCUUGUGGGAGACUCUCUUCUUGGAGUUGAGCAAAGUUGUAUAUUUUCUGCAAGGAAACUUGCUUCUUAUGGGCAGGGAAAUAUUUCUCAUAGAAGUAAUAGACCAUAUCCUGGGGACUACUCACUCAUCCAGGAGCAAGAGAGGUGAACCAGGCUUUAGCGUCAUCCUUUAGAGAGAAAGGAAACAGCUUAAGGAUAUAGUAGUGGCGGNNNNNNNNNNUCUCACUAGUGAAAAGGGUGGCUAUAUCGUGUAGUUUGGUAAGAUGGAAUACUACCAUCUCAGACUCAUAACCGUGGAAAUGAUUAGAUUCGACUAGAGAGAUUACCUUAGGAUCAACAGAGAAUUCAUANNNNNNNNNNNNNNNNNNNNNNNNNNNNNNNNNNNNNNNNNNNNNNNNNNNNNNNNNNNNNNNNNNNNNNNNNNNNNNNNNNNNNNNNNNNNNNNNNNNNUCAGGGGGCUUGUGGGCCAAGCCAGGAGGGCUACAGGGAGCCCACAAGCCCCCCAUCCGCCACCAAGGGGGCGGCGGUGGGCAGGCUUCUGGCCUCCCUGGCGCCCCCUGACCUAGAUCCUUCGCCUAUAUAUUCCCUAAAAUACAGAAAAAAAUCAAGGAUCCACGAAAAUAAUUUUCCGACGCCGCAAGCUUCCGUUUCCGUAAGAUCUCAUCUGGAGACCCUUCUCGGUGCCCUGCCGGAGGGGACUUUGGAGUUGGAGGGCUUCUACAUCAACAUCAUCGCCCCUCCAAUGACUCGUGAGUAGUUCACUUCAGACCUACGGGUCCGUAGUUAGUAGCUAGAUGGCUUCGUCUCUCUCUCUCUUGGAUCUUCAAUACAAAGUUCUCCAUGAUCUUCAUGGAGNNNNNNNNNNAGUUUUCUCUGUGUUUUUGGCUCUUUUCAUAUCUGAUUUUGGAACGGAGUCCAAACGGAAUAAAAUCCCCGAAUUAAAUUUUUCCCGAACGGAAGAAGCUCAGGGGGCUUGUGGGCCAAGCCAGGAGGGCUACAGGGAGCCCACAAGCCCCCCAUCCGCGACCAGGGGGCGGCGGUGGGCAGGCUUGUGGCCUCCCUGGCGCCCCCCUGGCCUAGAUCCUUCGCCUAUAUAUUCCCGAAAAUACAGAAAAAAAAUCAAGGGAUCCACGAAAAUACUUUUCCGCCGUCGCAAGCUUCCGUUUCCGCGAUAUCUCAUCUGGAGACCCUUCCCGGUGCCCUGCCGGAGGGGACUUUGGAGUUGGAGGGCUUCUACAUCAANNNNNNNNNNNNNNNNNNNNNNNNNNNNNNNNNNNNNNNNNNNNNNNNNNNNNNNNNNNNNNNNNNNNNNNNNNNNNNNNNNNNNNNNNNNNNNNNNNNNCCCAACAAUGACAUAAUUAGCCCAUUUAGCUCCAAAAUACCAUAAUAAUCUCAAAAUGGCAUAAGAACCUUGGUUACCUCAUGAAUAUUAUAUACUUAGCUUGUUUUCCUCUAAAAUGGGAUAAUUAGCCCAUUUCGCUCCAAAAAGACAUAAUUAGGUAAUUUAGCUCCAACAAGAGGAUAAGAGGAUAAGAAAUAGGAAAAAUGAAAAGAAAGAAGAAGAAGAAGCAGAAGAAGAGAAGGAGAAGGAGGAGGAGGAGGAGGAGGUGAAGGAGAAGGCCAAGGACCUUCUAGUCCUUCUCCUCCUCCUCCUUCUCCUCCUUCUUCUUGAUUUCUUCUUCUUCUCCUCCUCCUCCUCUUUCUUCUUAUCUUUCAUAUUAUCCUUGCUUUAAUUUCCCCAACAAUGACAUAGUUAGCCCAUUUAGCUCCAAAAUACCAUAAUAUGCUCAAAAUAGCAUAAGAACCUUGGUUAGAUCAUGAAUAUUAUAUACUUAGCUUGUUUUCCUCUAAAAUGGGAUAAUUAACCCAUUUAGCUCGAAAAAGACAUAAUUAGGUAAUUUAGCUCCAACAAGAGGAGAAGAGGAAAAGAAAUAGGAAAAAUGAAAAGAAAGAAGAAGAAGAAGAAGAAGAAGAAGAAGAAGAGAAGAAGGAGAAGGAGGAGGAGGAGNNNNNNNNNNNNNNNNNNNNNNNNNNNNNNNNNNNNNNNNNNNNNNNNNNNNNNNNNNNNNNNNNNNNNNNNNNNNNNNNNNNNNNNNNNNNNNNNNNNNCCCUUAGUGGGCUGGUGGGACAGCCCACCAAUCCCCUAUGCGCCAAGAGAGAAAAAAUCAAAGGAAAGGAAAAAAAAGGAAGAAGUGGGAAAGGGGAAGGACUCCCUCCCACCAAACCAAGUAGGACUCGGUUUGGGGGGGGGGAGAGUCCUCCCCCCUGGCUCGGCCGACCCCNNNNNNNNNNNNNNNNNNNNNNNNNNNNNNNNNNNNNNNNNNNNNNNNNNNNNNNNNNNNNNNNNNNNNNNNNNNNNNNNNNNNNNNNNNNNNNNNNNNNNNNNNNNNNNNNNNNNNNNNAUCCCUUGGACCCCAAGGCAAGGUCCCCCUCCCUCCUCCUAUAUAUAUGGGGCUUUUAGGGAAGAUUUGAGACGACUUUCUCACGGCUGCCCGACACAUACCUCCAUAGUUUUUCCUCUAGAUUGUGUUUCUGCGGAGCUCGGGCGGAGCCCUGCUGAGACAAGAUCAUCACCAACCUCCGGAGCGCCGUCACGCUGCCGGAGAACUCUUCUACCUCUCCGUCUCUCUUGCUGGAUCAAGAAGGCCGAGAUCAUCGUCGAGCUGUACGUGUGCUGAACGCGGAGGUGCCGUCCGUUCGGUACUAGAUCGUGGGACUGAUCGCGGGAUUGUUCGCGGGGCGGAUCGAGGNNNNNNNNNNNNNNNNNNNNNNNNNNNNNNNNNNNNNNNNNNNNNNNNNNNNNNNNNNNNNNNNNNNNNNNNNNNNNNNNNNNNNNNNNNNNNNNNNNNNAGCGGUCAAGUCCCACCCCCGAUGCCCGUCUUCUCUUUGAUUGGCACGGUGAGUUUAAUUAUAAACUAGUAUUAAUAAUUGAGUGUCAUCAUGCUAACUGAGACAUUGCAAAAAUAUCUUUUCUGCAGAAUAAGUCCCGAGCGGCAUCGCACGACCCUUCUCCAAGGCAACCGUCUCCAAACGAAGCCGCCGCGAGCAACCGUGGUGUUUCUCCUCCUUGAUGACCACUACAGUAAGUUUCUCUUCUCCUCUUUCAUAUUAUCCUUGCUUUAAUUUCCCAAAAAGACAUAAUUAGCCCAUUUAGCUCCAAAAUUCCAUAAUAACCUCAAAAUGGCAAAAGAACCUUGGUUAGCUCAUGAAUAUUAUAUACUUAGCUUGUUUUCCUCUAAAAUGAGAUAUUUAGCCCAUUUAGCUCCAAAAGGACAUAAUUAGGUAAUUUAGCUCCAAGAAGAGGAGAAGAGGAGAAGAAAUAGGAAAAAUGAAAAGAAAGAAGAAGAAGGAGAAGAGAAGAAGGAGAAGGAGGAGGAGGAGGAGGAGGAGGAGGAGAAGGAGGAGAAGGCCAAGGACCUUCUAGUCCUUCUCCUCCUCCUCCUUCUGCUCCUUCUUCUUGAUUUCUUCUUCUUAUCCUCCUCCUCCUCUUUCUUCUCCUCUUUUAUAUUAUCCUUGCUUUAAUUUCCCCAAAAAGACAUAAUUAGCCCAUUUAGCUCCAAAAUGCCAUAAUAACCUCAAAAUGGCAUAAGAACCUUGGUUAGCUCAUGAAUAUUAUAUACUUAGCUUGUUUCCCUCUAAAAUGAGAUAAUUAGCCCAUUUAGCUCCAAAAAGACAUAAUUAGGAAAUUUAGCUCCAAGAAGAGGUGAAGAGGAGAAGAGGAGAAGAAAUAGGAAAAAUGACAAGAAAGAAGAAGAAGAAGAAGAGAAGAAGGAGAAGGAGGAGGAGGAGGAGGAGAAGGUCAAGGACCUUCUAGUCCUUCUCGUCCUCCGCCUUCUCCUCCUUCUCCUCCUUAUUCUUGAUUUCUUAUUCUUCUCCUCCUCCUCUUUCUUCUCCAUAAUAACCUCAAAAUGGCAUAAGAACCUUGGUUAGCUCAUGAAUAUUAUAUACUUAGCUUGUUUCCCUCUAAAAUGAGAUAAUUAGCCCAUUUAGCUCCAAAAAGACAUAAUUAGGUAAUUUAGCUCCAAGAAGAGGAGAAUAAAUAGGAAAAAUGAAAAGAAAGAAGAAGAAGAAUAAGACAAGAAGGAGAAGGAGGAGAAGGAGGAGGAGGAGGAGUAGAAGGAGGAGAAGGCCAAGGACCUUCUAGUCCUUCUCCUCCUUCUCCUCCUUCUUCUUGAUUUCUUCUUCUUCUCCUCCUCCCCCUCUUUCUUCUCCUCUUUCAUAUUAUCCUUUCUUUAAUUUCCCCAACAAUGACAUAAUUAGCCCAUUUAGCUCCAAAAUGCCAUAAUAAGCUCAAAAUGGCAUAAGAACCUUGGUUAGCUCAUGAAUANNNNNNNNNNCAAAUGGGAUAAUUAGCCCAUUUAGCUCCAAAAAGACAUAGUUAGGUAAUUUAGCUCCAACAAGAGGAGAAGAGGAGAAGAAAUAGGAAAAAUGAGAAGAAAGAAGAAGAAGAAGAAGAAGAAGAAGAAGAGAAGAAGGAGAAGGAGGAGGAGGAGAAGGAGAAGGCCAAGGACCUUCUAGUCCUUCUCCUCCUCCUCCUUCUCCUCCUUCUCCUCCUUCUUGAUUUCUUCUUCUUCUCCUCCUCCUCCUCCUCUUUCUUCUCCUAUUCCAUAUUAUCCUUGCUUUAAUUUCCCCAACAAUGACAUAAUUAGCCCAUUUAGCUCCAAAAUACCAUAAUAACCUCAAAAUGGCAUAAGAACCUUGGUUAGCUCAUGAAUAUUAUAUACUUAGCUUGUUUCCCUCUAAAAUGGGAUAAUUAGCCCAUUUAUCUCCAAAAACACAUAAUUAGGUAAUUUAGCUCCAACAAGAGGAGAAGAGGGGAAGAAAUAGGAAAAAUGAAAAGAAAGAAGAAGAAGAAGAAGAAGAGAAGAAGGAGAAGGAGGAGGAGGAGGNNNNNNNNNNNNNNNNNNNNNNNNNNNNNNNNNNNNNNNNNNNNNNNNNNNNNNNNNNNNNNNNNNNNNNNNNNNNNNNNNNNNNNNNNNNNNNNNNNNNAGGGAGUCACAAGCCCUCACGCCGCCACCCCCCCCCCCCNNNNNNNNNNNNNNNNNNNNNNNNNNNNNNNNNNNNNNNNNNNNNNNNNNNNNNNNNNNNNNNNNNNNNNNNNNNNNNNNNNNNNNNNNNNNNNNNNNNNNNNNNNNNNNNNNNNNGGCCCAACUGACGCAAUUCCACCGCCAUAAAUUCCUAUAAAUUCAUAAACCUCCAGAAAGAAACCUAGAUCGGGAGUUCCGCCGCCGCAAGCCUCUGUAGCCACCAAAAACCAAUCUGGAGGCCGUUCUGGCACCCUGCCGGAGGAGGAAUCCAUCUCCGGUGGCCAUCUUCAUCAUCCUGGCGAUCUCCAGGACGAGGAGGGAGUAGUUCUCCCUCGGGCUGAGGAUAUGUACCAGUACCUAUGUGUUUGAUCUCUCUCUCUCGUGUUCUUGAGAUGUCUUGAUCUCGAUGUACCAUGGGCUUUGCUACUAUAGUUGGAUCUUAUGAUGUUCUUCCCCCUCUCCCUCUUGUAAUGAAUUGAGUUUCCCCCUUGGAGUUAUCUUAUCGGAUUGAGUCUUUGAGAACACUUGAUGUAUGUCUUGCACGUGUCUAUCUGCUGUGAUCAACUUGCGGGUUCGUGACAUUGGGAACCUAUGCAUAUGGGUUGGCACACGUGGAUUCAUGUGAGUACUUGAUGUGUGUUUUGGUGAUCAACUUGCGGGUUCGUGACAUUGGGAACCUAUGCACAGGGGUUGGCACACGUUUUGACUCUCUGGUAGAAACUUUGGGGCACUCUUUGAAGUUCUAUGUGUUGGUUGAAUAGAUGAUUCGGAGAUUGUGUGAUGCAUAUCGUAUAAUCAUACCCACGGAUACUUGAGGUGACAAUGGAGUAUAUAGGUGACAUUAGGGUCUUGGUUGAUAUGUAUCUUAAGGUGUUAUUCUAGUACGAACUCUAUGAUGGACCGAACGGAAAGAAUAGCUUCGUGUUAUUUUACUACGGACUCUUGAAUAGAUCGAUCAGAAAGAAUAACUUUGUGGUGGUUUCGUACCCGACAAUAAUCUCUUCGUUUGUUCCCCGCUAUUAGUGACUUUGGAGUGACUCUUUGUUACAUGUUGAGGGCUAGUUAUAUGAUCCAAUUAUGUUAUCAUUGUUGAGAGAACUUCACUAGUGAAAGUAUGAACCCUAGGCCUUGUUUCCACGCAUUGCAAUACCGUUCUUGCUCACUUUUACCAUUGCAAUACCUUGAUGUUUUUGUAAUUUCAGAUUACAAAAACCUAUAUCUACCAUCCAUAUUGCACUUGUAUCACCAUCUCUUCGCCGAACUAGUGCACCUAUACAACUUACCAUUGUAUUAGGUGUAUUGGGGACACAAGAGACUCUUUGUUAUUUGGUUGCAGGGUUGCUUGAGAGAGACCAUCUUCAUCCUACGCCUCCUGCGGAUUGAUAAACCUUAGGUCACCCACUUGAGGGAAAACUGCUACUGUCCUACAACCCUCUGCACUUGGAGGCCCAACAACGUCUACAAGGAGAAGGUUGUGUAGUAGACAUCAGGUAGCGAGGCACGCAUCGUGUUGUUGCCAUCAAGGGUAAAAAGAUGGGGUUUACAUCGUUGGUUUGAGUUUAUCCCUCUACAUCAUGUCAUUUUGCUUAAGGCGUUACUCUCUUCGUCAUAAACUCAAUACACUAGAUGCAUGCUGGAUAGCGGUCGAUGUGUGAAGUAAUAAUAGUAGAUGCAGAAAGUAUCGGUCUACUUGUCUCGGACGUGAUGCCUANNNNNNNNNNGUCAUGACUUUGCGCGGUUCUAUCAAUUGAUCGACAGUAAUUUGUUCACCCACCGUAAUAUUUGCUAUUUUGAGAGAAGCCUCUAGUGAACACUAUGGCUCCCGGGUCUACUUCAAUAAUAUUUUCAGCCUUACAAUUUUACUUCGUUGCACUUUCCGGCUUCAGAUCUCACUUUGCAAUCAAUCUUGAAGGGAUUAACAACCCCUUUAUAGCGUUGGGUGCAAGCUUGUUUGUGUUUGCGCAGGUACUCUGGACACUUGGCUUGAUUCUCCUACUUGAUUGAUACCUUGGCUCUCAAAACUAAGGGAAAUACUUACUGCUACUGUGCUGCAUCACCCUUUCCUCUUCAAGGGAAAAACCAACGCAAGCUCAAGAGGCAGCAGAAGGAUUUCUGGCGGCGUUGCCGGGGAGGAUCAAGUCAAGAAUAGUCUCCCGUCAACGUGUCAAUUUCUGGCACCGGGGAUUAUUCUAGGUGAAGCUCAUCCAAGUAAGUGUCGCAAACUCAUCUCUUGCAUUUACUUUUUUGCCUCUCGUUUUCCUCUCCCCCACUUCUGAAAAACAAAAAUUUACAAAAAUAUUUGCCUUUUUCGUUUGCCCUUUUCUUUCACUUGCUUUCUGUUUGCUUGUGUUGCCAUGUGCCUUCAAUAUGCUUGCAUCUUCGCUUGUUGAAAAUCUAUUGAUAUGGAUUCUCAUCCACUUGCUAAUCUCUUUAAGAGAUCAAAUUAUGUUGAUCCAAUUGCUNNNNNNNNNNNNNNNNNNNNNNNNNNNNNNNNNNNNNNNNNNNNNNNNNNNNNNNNNNNNNNNNNNNNNNNNNNNNNNNNNNNNNNNNNNNNNNNNNNNNUAAUGCAACAUCACACACAAGCCUUGCAAGCAAUGUAACUUAGUGUAAGUUGCGGGAUCUUGUAUUACGGAACGAGUAAAGAGACUUGCCGGUAAACGAGGUUGAAAUAGGUAUACGGAUACUGACGAUCGAAUCUCGGGCAAGUAACAUACCGAAGGACAAAGGGAAUGACAUACGGGAUUAUACGAAUCCUUGGCACUGAGAUUCAAACUAUAAGAUCUUCGUAGAAUAUGUAGGAUCCAAUAUGGGCAUCCAGGUCCNNNNNNNNNNUGAAUCCUUGGCACUGAGGUUCAAACGAUAAGAUCUUCGUAGAAUAUGUAGGAUCCAAUAUGGGCAUCCAGGUCCCGAUAUUGGAUACUAAGGAGUCUCUCGGGUCAUGUCUACAUAGUUCUCGAACCCGCAGGGUCUNNNNNNNNNNCUGUUGGAUAUUGACCGAGGAGUCUCUCGGGUCAUGUCUACAUAGUUCUCGAACCCGCAGGGUCUGCACACUUAAGGUUCGACGUUGUUUUAUGCAUAUUUGAGUUAUAUGGUUGGUUAUCGAAUGUUGUUCGGAGUCCCGGAUGAGAUGAAGGACGUCACGAGGGUUUCCGGAAUGGUCCGGAAACGAAGAUUGAUAUAUAGGAUGACCUCAUUUGAUUACCGGAAGGUUUUCGGAAUUACCGGGAAUGUACCGGGAAUGACGAAUGGGUUCCGGGAGUUCACCGGGGGGGGGGGGCAACCCCCCCNNNNNNNNNNNNNNNNNNNNNNNNNNNNNNNNNNNNNNNNNNNNNNNNNNNNNNNNNNNNNNNNNNNNNNNNNNNNNNNNNNNNNNNNNNNNNNNNNNNNGUAUCAGGCAUAGCAUCAGGCAUAGUAUCAAGCAUAGCAUCUCUAGCAGUAGUAUCACAAGCAUCAUCAAGCACAGGCGAUAUAUCAAGAUUUCUAGCAGGAGGUGAUGUCGCAAACUUACUCAUAACUGAAGGUGAAUCAAGUGCAGAGCUAGAUGGCAAUUCCUUACCUCCCCUCGUAGUUGAGGGCAAGACUUUGGUCUUCGGAUCCUUCAGAUUCUUCAUAGUGAUCAGCACAUAUAAAUCCCAAGUGACUCAGAGAAUAUAGCAAUACCUCCCCGGCAACGGCGCCAGAAAAAUGCUGAUCGUGCAAUCUCUGGCGUUAAAUAGACGAAUGCUUAUGACAACAAACCUUCUCCUGCAACGGCACCAGAAGAAUGCUGCUAGCACUCCCCGGCAAUGAAACUGGAAGAACAUUGUUGAUGGCCCACCAACGUGUGGGUUCGCAGCAAUUUUCGAGGGUAGAGUAUUCGACCCAAUUUGUUGAUAAGCCUAAGGAGGUGAGAGUAUACUCUCAAGUAUUAGCAGCUGAAUUUGUCAGAUUCAACCACACCUGAAAGAUUAGUAUCUACAAGAACAGUAGUAACAGCAAAGUAAUAUGAUAACAACGGUGUGAGAAAUGAUCUGUUGACGGCAGACUAUUCCUAACGAUCGUAUCAAUGGCGCCUUCGUUGCCGCGUCGACAAGAGUUUUCAAUUCUCGUCAACGGUAGGUGAACCAACAGUGUAGCAGGUAGCAGCAGUGUAACGAGCAAUAGCAGUGGCAAGGAACAACAGUAGUGACAGCGGUAGCAAGUAGCAGCAGUAGCAAGCAAUAGUAGUAACAACAGUAGUAGUAGCAGCAGCAGAGCAAAACAAGUAACAGCAGUAGCAACAGUAGUAGCAGCAGUAGGACAAACUCGUUGGCAAUGGGUCGGUGAUUUGUUUGGAUGAUAUUCAUCAUGCAAUAGCUAUAACACGGAGAGAUAAGUGGCUAGCUCUCAUUCAUCAAUGUGAUGUAGGCAUGCAUUCCGUGUGUCGUCAUACGUGCUUAGGGAAAAGAACUUGCAUGACAUCUAUUGUCCAUCCCUCCCGUGGCAGCGGGGUCCAAAAGGAAACUACGGGAUAUUAAGGUUCUCCUUUUAAUAAAGAACCGGACCAACGCAUUAGCACUUGGUGAACACAUGAACUCCUCAAACUUUGGUUAUCACCGGGAGUGGUUCCGGUUAUUGUCACUCCGGGGUUGUCGGAUCAUAACACAUAGUAGGUAGCUACAACUUGCAAGAUCGGAUCUAAAACACACAUAUAUUGGUGACAACAUAAUAAUUUCAGAUCUGAAAUCAUGGCACUCGGGCCCUAGUGACAAACAUUAAGCAUGGCAAAGUAGUAGCAACAUCAAUCUCAGAACAUAGUGGAUACUAGGGAUAAAUCCCCAUCAAAACUAACUCGAUUACAUGAUAGAUCUCAUCCUACUCAUCACCGCCCAGCGAGCCUACGAAUAGAUUACUCACGAAUGACGAAGAGCUUCAUGGAAUUGGAUAGGGAAGAAGCUUGAUGAUGACGAUGGCGACGAUUUCCCCUCUCCGGAGCCCAAGACGGACUCCAGAUCUGCCCUCCAAAUGAAGAACAGGUGGUGGCGGCUCCUCCAUAUCGAAAACGCGAUGAAAACUUCUCUUUUUAUUUUUUCUGGGACGAAAGUGUGACAGCCCGAUGCCGAUGUUCCAGAAGAUUCCCGUUCUAUUCCGUUUUCGUCGUGUGUCUAUUUUAUUUUGUCGCAUCAUCAUCGCAUCAUGCGCAUCAUCUGCAUUGCAUCGGCAUCUCCGUUGCCGCCAGUUUUCAAACUUGCAUCCGUUGUUAGUUGCCGGUUCGCGUCGUUAUCUGUUCUGAGCUCGACCGCACAUGCACGCGCCCGCGGCUUCGUCAAAACCCUGUUUUAAAAGUGUGCGUAAAACUUUCUGUCAUCAGGGUGAAACUUCGCAUGCGGUCGCGAUUAGUUAUAGCCAGGCCGCUUGUCGAAUUUCGUCGCGAUCGAAGUUCGUCUCGUACCCGAACGAUCGACCGUAGCGGCACCGUAUUCGGUCUACCGUCGGACGUUUGUCGGUGUUUUAAAAAUUGUUGCCGCGCCGCCCAUUUCCCCUCUCCUCUCCGGAUAUCCCCUCUACAAAGCCACUCGCCCGUUCUCGCGUUCGGAAUCGUCCGAAUUCGACCGCACGGUUGGAUCCGGAACAGAAUUCCGGGUAACCUAGCCCCCUCAUUUGUUAUAAAUAGACCCAUCCUCCUAUUUUUUUUAGGUAGCCACCCCUUUGCCUCGGGAUCCGCGCCCCACCUGACCCUAGCGCAGCCAACCCCCUCCUUCCACCUCCAGCCGUCAGGCCCGCCAGAGCCCGGGUCAGGCCCGCCGAAGCCCAUAUGGGCCCGUGGCUAACCCCUAGCCGAGCUCCUCUCCAACCCCGCCGCGUGCAGGUCGCCGCCGCCAACCCGGCUAGCCGCCGGCCUCCUCCCGGUCUCCAGCCCCAUCGUCGGCCGGUGCCCCAGCCCGGCUGCACCGCCCCGUCCCCAGCGCCUCGCCGGAGGAGAGCAUCUGUGCCUGGGAGCAGCUCCUCCGCCGCCACCGUUCUGCUUCCCCGUCGGCGCCUCCCUGCAAGUCGUGCGUUGCCGCGCCAGGGCCCGCCGUGCCUCGCGCCGGAGCGCCGCCGCCUCGGCCUCCGUGGUCGCCUGAGGCCUCGCCGGGCGGGCUCCCGUCGCCGCCGUCCGCUGGAGGCCCCGCCGCCGCCAGGUUCGUGCCCUCGGGCACGACGAGGGACUCUGUCCCAGCACCUCCAACAACCCCCCCCCCCNNNNNNNNNNNNNNNNNNNNNNNNNNNNNNNNNNNNNNNNNNNNNNNNNNNNNNNNNNNNNNNNNNNNNNNNNNNNNNNNNNNNNNNNNNNNNNNNNNNNCUCCCUUCCGCCCUAGUUGCAUUUGGGUGCGACAUUUGAUGUCGCGCCUAGUCGCAGAACUGCAACUACCCCCCUCCCUCACGUCCCCCCUAUGAAACAUUGUAGAAUUACAACUCUGUUGCAGACAUGUAGUUGUAGUUGGGACAUGACACUUUUUGUUCUUUGCCAAGUGGUAUACAUGCAAUCGCCUCUUCCCAAACGUACUAUCACUAACUUGCAGUCGUGUUUAAGACAUGCAGUUGUUGUCAGGGCGAUUGUGUAACUAGACAACACUAUUUUCAAAUUAAAAUAAAAUAAAAUUUGUUUAAUAAAGAAAUAAAAAAAGAAAUAGUCGUUCCAUUAGUAAGAAAAUGGUUUGAAAAGAGCAUGAAAAGUAAAAAAAUGGAAAUACAAUGUCACAAAAAUGGACACACACACACACACACAAAGCAUUAAAAGAGCACUUAGAAGGAAAUAAAAAGAAUAGUAAAAAAGUAGAUAAAACACCAUCAAGUUAUAGCUACAUGGAAGACAUAGAGUUGCGGUCGAGGAUGACACUUGCAGUUACGCGCCUAGUGGCACACACACAACUACCCUUCUGCCUCAACAUAGCAUUACAAAAUUGCAGUCGGACAUGACACUCGCAUUUGCAUGUAUAAUGUUUGACAUGCAACUGUCCCUCCUCUGCCCAUCAAAACACCACAGAGUUGUAGUUGCGUUGAAAACACAGUUACACACUCAGGGACAACACUUAUAGUUGCAUACCUAAUCAGGACAUGCAACGGAACACCACAUGGUUGCAAUCGACGGAAUACACUUAUAGUUAUGUGCCUAGUGGCAUACAUUCACAUACACCCUCCAUGUCAAAUACACCAUAGGUUUGUAGUGGUGUAAUAGACAUGCAACUACAAUUGAGACAUGACACAUGCAAUCAUGUGUCUAGUAGUAGACAUGCAACAUCGUCAUGUACCGGGUUUUCAAAAUUGCGCAAAGACAAGUACCUGCAAUGGGGCAUGUGUGCAACUAUAGUUGCACAUGAGUUAUAUUAAAAAAUGUUUGUGUAAUAAAAAAUUACAUUAAAAAUAUAUGUGUUUUAAUUUAAUGAUUUUAAAACUAUUCACACCCUAUAUAGAAACAUAUAAUUUCAAAUUCAUAAUCAGUUUAACAAACAUCACUUAGAAAAUGAACAUGAGAAGAAAAAAGGAAUACAAAUGUAACCUAAAAAUGAAAUAAAAUGGGAAAAGAGAAAGAAAAAACUAAAAUUCCUGAAAAAAAAACUAGAGAAAUAAAAGAAAUGCAAUGUUGAUAUACAUUUAAAGAAAAACUGAAAAGGCCGCAACAACCGGAUCGGUGACUGGUUAAACCCACAACAACAAAAUGCAGAAAAUAAUACUUCCUUCAUAAACUAAUAUAAAAGUAUUUAAAACACUACUUUAAUAAUCUAAAAGCUUUUAAUUAGUUUACAGAGGGAAUACAAAACUGUGAGGCCCAAUGACUAGCUAAAGCCCAUACAACAAACAAAAACAACACCGAACAAAUAAAAAAGCCCAAGCUCAUGCAACCUGAACGCUUAAACCCUUCAUAAAAGGGAGUAACUUGUUGGCUAGCGUUUUUCUUGGGAGCCUUCAGCGAUCAAUCCGGGGCGCCGUCACUUGAUGCAUUUUCCACCGUCGUCAUAUGUCACGUUUUGAGCGUUUCUUUCAGAUUCUAUUUUUUAUUUUAUUAUUUCGCAGGCGUUUUUGGCUUUGUCGGUGUUUCUGUUUUUUACCGGUCUUUCUUAGCUUUUGAACAAAAAAAAUCAACUUUUUUACGUAAAAGAAGUCCUCUUCUAUCUUGCCUGUCGAAAACGGAAAAAGGAGACAUGUGUUUUCUUUUUUUCUUUCAUAAGAGAUACGGUUUUGCUUUUGUAAAAGGCACGGAUUUAGUUUCGCGAGAGGCACGGCCGUGUUUUUCAGAAACGGAAAAACGUGUGUUUUUCAUGAAAGACACGGUUUUGCUUCCUCAAGAGGCAAGGAUUUGCUUUCGCGGGAGGUAACGCGUUUUUUAUUUUUGUUUUCGUUCACGAGAAGCACGCUUUUCUUCCGCGAGAGGCACGAAUUUGCUUUCGUUUGUGCCUCUCAGAAAUAAAAAAAACGUGUUUUCUGUUUAUUUUGCUUUUGCAAGAGGCACAUAUUUGAUUCCGCGAGAGGCACGGUUUUGCUUCUGUGAAAGGGACAUAUUUACUUCCGCUAGAGGUAUGAUCGUGCUUCUCAGAAAUGAGAAAAAAUAAGUUUUUUUCUUAUGUGAGCGGCACGUUUUUUCGUCUGGUUUUUUUCGUGAACUUUUUUUCGUCAAAACCUAUCAACAUUGAAUCUAGUUUUGAAGAUCUAGAUCUCGACGCAAUGAAUCCACUAGUAAAAUGGUUCGAGAUUUGGAUGCACGUUUUAAGUGAUAAAACAUUUGAAAAUAACGGAUCUACGAAAAAAGAAAAUCUCGCAGAUUUUUUUAACACGGUACAGAUGCAAGCGCUCAUAUACACGCGCAUGCACUCACUCCUAUGAACGUAGACACGCACACCCUAUCCCUAUGAUCACCUUCGAGAGACUGGCCUGGUAUUUCAUCUUGAGAUUUAGGAAGUCGCCGUAGGCGCCUCAUCGCCGAGGGGAACGUCUCCUUCCACUGAAAGAAUAUCGCCAGAAAUACUGAAAUAAAUUUAGAAAUAAUGCAAGCACCACGACUUGAAUCCUAGUGAGCUGGGAAUACCACUGUCCUCUAACCAUUCAACCACAGCUUGGCUUGCAAAAGAUUUCACAUGUUACGACAAGUAACAGACAUACAUAACGCCAUUUGUCACAACCUAUAAAAGAUGGAAGUAAUUUUUAAAAGAAAUAGUCUUUAAUUAAUGGUUUUGUUCCUAAACGCGACUUAACAGUAAUGUUAUAAAAUCGAUUGAGACUUGCAAAAUCUCAAUCGACUGAGAGGAUUAGCCACGCCGUGAAAGUUAUUGAGUUAAACAAUAGCCAUUAAAGAAGGGCCCUUAAUAAAAGGGAAUUGUUUCUGGCCGGUGCGCCGGCCCAAUGCGGCUCGCGCGCUGAGCGCUGACUGGGCAUGCAACAUUUUUAUGUCUAAAAUGUUGCAACCAGCGUCAUAUUUGCUACAAUCGUUUUUAUUUGCUACAUUUGUUCAGUAAAAAAACUGCAUAUACAUUUGGCUGCAACUCCAGUUCGUCGGAUUUUUCGUUACAAUCGAUGUUUUUUACUUUUGCUACAACCGUGUUAAUUUUUGCUACAACCGGCAUCAUUUUUUGCUACAACCGUUCACUAAAAAGUUGCAUACACGUUCACGUAGAUAUUUGUUACAACCGGCGUUUGACUUGUUACCACGCAACAUCAGCUUCGUUUUUUUGUUACGAUCACGUAGAUGUUUUUGUUUACUAUAUUUUUUGUUUUUUGUUACAACUGUUAAAAAAAUUACUGCAUCGUGUCGGAUUUUUGCUGCAUCGAAAACAAAUGUUGCAUGUAGAUCCAACGGUGCGGACGCGCGGGAUUGAUGAAUCGUACGGUCCGCGCGCGACCGUUUCGGCGUGCGCGCCAGCGCAUAGGGCUGCCCUUAAUAGAAGGACAACAGGACACAAAUUCGAAAGAUUGUCCCGGUGUUGCUUUGAUCCUCCUCCAAAGUAAAAUGGACGAACGAGGCAUCCAUCACCGAGUGCCAUCCACUUGAUCUCCAUCCAACGGUGCAGGCACGCCAAAUCCUUCACUACCAGACAGUUGGACGCCGGUUCAUAGCCACCCCCGCCUGGCCAUCCAGAUAAGGCGCCACGGCCACUUGCCGCCCAAAGCCUCUGCCUGCCAUCAAUGGAGAUCACCGCCUCAUGGCGCUUCCUCCCCGUCGCGUCCUCGCUGCCACCCGCUCUGCUCCUAGCCAGGCGGCAGGCGUCGUGCCCCUGGUCUCUUCAACAGCCGGCGAUCUCCAAGUCCAGGAUCCUCUGCCGUCUCCAUGACAAG